rnacentral:lncRNA from 1 species
UAAAGGGUGUGGUGUUUCUGAAGUCGGAGGAGCCUUGACUCCGCAGCCAGCCUUUCAAUAAGUAAAAUUUGUUUCUGAAGCUUUGCAAUGCCCUUCAUGAGAAAAAACCUAUACAGUGGAAAUUUCUAUUUCUAUGAUACUCAUGCCUGCAAUGUGGCAUUACAGCUUUCUUGUUCCUGAAUCAUGGUACGUGACAUAUUUUUUCCUUGUCAAUGCACAUAGCCGGGGUUCAAGUUAUCGACCCCGGAGCCGCUGCUUGAUUUUACUGUUGAUUUCGACCACGUCCAUAGUAUAUUUUGCCUUGUCCCCGCCACAAAGUUGUGUAAACCACAGCCGCGUUCUUUGCAGUUUUGGAUGGCCCCCCCUCGGUUCCAUUUGUUUAUCAAGGGUAUCUACAGUGCAUGGGAUAUCCAGCGGAUCUACCUUUCGUCCUUGCUUUGAGAUUCAUGUUUUUUUGGGGGUUUCGGCUAAUAUUUGUCUUGUUUCAGACGUAUUGCAUAAUGUUUCGUUGGUUGUUUCCUUUUUCUAAAGUGUACCAUCAUAAGAGCAACUCCAACACGGCGAUCCAUUUUGUCCGCUUGCGUAUUUUUGGGUCGCCAUGGACGAAAAUGCUGGCCCAAUGCGGCGACCCGGGACAAAAAUGCUGGCCCAACGCGCCGACCCAUUUGCAAAACACGUCUGCAGCGCCGCUGGCAUGGGCCGGCCCAACUCGCGCUUGUUGAAGUGAAAAAAUUACAAAAAUCAAUGGAUCGAUGGUGAUUCGAACUCACGAUCGCGUUGUUGCGAGUCCACCUCGCUAACCACUUGACCAAACUAACUUUCUUAUCCACUAAGAGAAAACAGUUCUAGUUAACCAUCUCGCGCAGUUAAACAUUAAUAUAUACUUAAUACAAAAUAUCUCAAAAAAUAAAACGUAAAUUCGAAAAAAAGUUCAUCAAAUUUAAGAAAAGUUUAAAAAAAUUAAAAAGGUUCAUCGGUUUUAAAAAAAAAGUUCAUUCAAUUCGAAAAAAGUUCACCAAAUUUGAAGAAAGUUCAUCGCAUUCAAAAAAAAGUUCAUCAGAUUCGAAAAAAGUUCAUCGGUUUUUGAAAAAAGUUCAUCGAAUUCAAGAAAAGUUCAUCGCAUUUGAAAAAAAGUUCACCAGAUUCGAAAAAAGUUCAUUGGUUUUGAAAAAAGUUCAUCAAAAUCGAAAAAAGUUCAUCGAAUUCGAAAAAAGUUCAUCAAAAUUGAAAAAAAAGUUCAUCAGAUUUUGAAAAAAAAUCAUUCGAUUUGGCCAAAAGAAAUAGAAAACCGAACAAAAAUAGUUCCAAAUAAAAAGGAAAUGGAAAAGGAGAAAAGAGGGAAGGACAUAGAAGAAAAAGGUGAAGAAGGGCAGUUGUGCACAUGAUAUGGCUUUAGUCUAGUGGUUAGUGCAAUCACCUCUCGAGCAGGAGGUCGCUGGUUCGAUCCAUCCUAGCGCACCUCCUUUUUUCUUUUAAGAAAGCAGGUAAGAGAUAGCAAGAUGGGCCGAGCCCUAUUCGAUGCGCCUGCAGGCGCCGGUUGGCGAACCGGCGCAUAUGCGUCAAAUAGGAUAUGCCUUCGCGGCGUCCCCACACAGUGGCGGAGCUAGCAUUUGACACCAGAGUGGGCCGCCUCAAAAAAUCUUCAGAUUGCUCUUCGGCCACAUGUGCAGUCCCCUUCCCACAUACUAGCUUUACUCUGUAGAUUCCUAGCAUGUCUCUCGACGCGAUAAUAUGGGUAUGAUUUCAUCAGUUCAUCUAUAUGUGCUGGAACUAAUCAUAUUCGUCUACAGCUGAAAAACAGAACUCAUCUAUGUAAUAUAUAAACAUGGCAUCUCCCUUUCCAUUUCCUGUCAGAGUCAGACAAACAAAGCAAUUUAACUAGAAUCGGUCGAAGGGAAUUUGAGGUCAGUACCUCUCUCUCAGUCUCCCAAUAAUCUGUUCGCCUGAGUGGACUGGGCGUCGUGGCCCGUGGGUGACUCGCUGGCUCCGGCAAGCAGUAGCAAGGCCAGGGCGACUGCCAGCUGGGCGCGCUGCUGCCGCAGGCGUUAGGGCGGUUCCUCCUGGUGGCCGGCGAGGCGACGCCGCAACGGCGAAGCAAGGAAGCAGGUAGCAGGCGGCGAAUCGGAAUCGAGCCAGACAAGGGUUGUGCGGCCUCCUCGUGUGGUGCGGUGCGCCUGUGCGCUGUGCGUGUUGUGCGUUCGGCCUUCUUUCUUCCCAACUGCUCUUUCUGCCUUGCUGGGCUUCUUUCCCACUAGCCCAUGUCUUACUAAUCCUAUUCUAUGCAGACCGGCCCAAAAUCCCAGGGUGGCCGCGGCCCACCCUGUCCACCCUGUGGCUCCGCCACUGUUCCCACAUAGCGGCCGGUCAACUACCCACGCGUCUUUACUAAUGACGACUACAGACCGCGGGCCCAGGCGUCAGUGGUGGCGGGCUUCCUUUUUCAAUCCGAGUGUGCGGGUGAGGGGGGGGGGUCAUCCUCUUCAAGCCUCCCGUCCCCAUCUGGCCACCCUUUUGCUUCCCCGUUGGCGACAACCCUAGCCAGCCUUCUGCACGCCACCAUGGGCAUCUUCGCCGGCAAGAACAAGGGCAAAGCCCCCGCUGGUCCUUCAUGCCCCCUGCUUUCGUCGGCGUCUGCCUGCUCGGCGAGGCAGCGAAUAAGCGCAUUGCAUCCCCUCCCGGACCCCGACGUCACCCUGUCACAUGACUGGCAUUUGGAUCCGGAAAGGAUCCCACUGCCGUGGACGGCGCGGGCGCACACGAAGGAGGUGUGGCGCCGAUGGCAGCAGCUGACGCUGGAGCAGCGCCUCAACCCCGCCUACGCAGCAGACUCUCCUGAGUGGGAGGUUUGCUUCGCCCUCGAGCACGAGGAGCAGCGCCGGCACGAUGUCCAGCACGUGCGGGCUGGCACCCCAUUGCCCCUCGUCGUGCGCGACGAGGACCAGGAGGAGGAGGCCGCCUACCAGGCGGCGUUGGCGGCUGUCCUAAAUGAAAGCGAAGACAAAGAGCGGCACAAGGCGGAGGAGGAAUAGGCGGCAUACCAGGCGCGCCUGUCGGAGGCCAUCGCACUCUCCGCUUCCGGAGACUGCGGCGUGCCACCGCUGGCGCUGCCGUCCCCCGUCAAGCCCGAGCCAACGCCAUCCCCUAUGUCGGCGCCCCAACGAUGGACUUGGCAAGGAGAGGUGCGCGAGUGGGUUAGCGCGCCACCCAUCUAGUUUGGGACGACGUUGGCGCAGGAGCGAACCUACCUCAAGCAGCGGCGAAAAGCGUCGGCUGGUGGAGGAGCGCCACGAGGGCGAGCGCCUGGAGCAGUGGGAGCGCGACGUGGAAGAGGAGGAGCGCCGGGCCUGAGCUGCCCAGCUGGUGGCAGUCACGCCUACGCCGCAGGACAUCGCCACAACCUGGGAGUCGGCGUUCCCAUGGGCUGGCCCGGCGUCAACGCUCAUCGACCUCACUGGCCCCGACCAUGACGACAAGGACGCCGCGGGCAGCACGCCUCCUCCUUGUUUUUAGUUUAAAUAAAUGUUUUAAAUUAAUGUAAUGUGGACUCAUGAACUCUCGCCGGCCUUUGUGGCCGACAUUUAUGUUUAAUUAACGUUAUUAAUUUCAAAAUACUUGCGUUAUUCAUAUUUUCGUGCGCGAACUCAAAAAAUGGGUCGGUCCGUUAGGCCGACCCAAAAGGACAAAAAACGGACAAAAUGACGCGUCCGUUUGGGCCGGCCGGUUGGAGUUGCUCUAAUGUAUCGAUUGUGGAUGUUUUUCCAGUGCAUUGAUUGUUGAUGUUUUUCCAGUGCUUAUAGUCGUCGUUAGCUGGUCUAUGGAACUAGAUAUAAUUUUUAUUAUUUCUGAUGUCCGUUGUAUUGCCAUGAUUGAACAUGAAUAGAUCGAAAGUUUUAAAAGAAAAAUACGCAAUUGGAUGGUCAAAUAAAGUAGAUGUGAGGGAUGAUAUUCAUUAAUGAGUUUUUUUUUGACAUCCUAUUUAUUAAUGAGGUUCAUUGAACAUCUACUACCUGCCGGGGGCAUGACAAUGGGCCCUCCUUUUCAUGUACAAAUCGACGAUAGGCUCUUCGAGGCCAUCAGACACAUCUCGACUGUCACUAGCUGAUCGGUCCGGACACCUUGCCAUGGGUACCUGGAUUGCCUCUGUUGUGAUCUCGUGUUUAACCUAUCAGCUUGGUCGGUGCCUUUAUAAAAUACUCUAGGGGUUCGAUUCAAACACCCCUUUCGAAUAUAUACAGAAUCCAAUAGCCGCUGGGAUUCAAGGAGGGGCCGAACGUCCCAACCAGCCGGAGAGGAGGAUGUGUCCAAUGGUGCUACUCAACUCUCCACGCUUGCAGUUGCAACGGCGGUGAUUGGGACGAACGGGACGGGGCCGGUUGGGUCGACGACUCCUCGCCGUGGCGUGCUGAUCCAAACGAACGCUGACGUGUGCGGACAAUAAAUGUAACUGAUCGUGCGGAAGAGAGAAAGCAGCAACAACAAAAAGAAGCAGCAGAGCAGCAGGAGGGUCAGCUGCUUACUUCAGCAAACAGAAAACAGAAAGAGAAGAAGCGAAGAUUGCUACGAUCUUCUUAGUGCUUAUGAAAGCGGAUGCUCUUAUGCGAAACAUAACGAAUGUAAUGGAUCCACAAAACUAUAAAAUACUAGAAUUUGCCGUGCUAACAAGUUGUCAUUUGGCAUUUUACGUCCACCUUACAACUUCUGGAUAAGAGCAUGAUUAUCCAUGCUUAUUUUAGGACCGAAUAACUUAUUGUUCAGUUAUGUCUUACUCUCUCUCCCCAUUCUUUGAGAAGGUUCAUAAAUUUUGUCAGAAGUUAAGCUGUGCAUAGCUUGAUCCAACUAAGUGGAACUUUUAAACGGUGCUUAGUUUUUAUAGAGAAAACCGUCAACAACUACAAUACUAAGUACUACUCCCUCUGUCCCAUAAUACAAGAGCGUUUUUGACACUAAUGCAGUGUAAAAAACGUUCUUAUAUUAUGGGACGGAGGGAGUAGUAGAUAUAACGGUAAUUAAGUUUGGCUCCUAGGGGCCAAAACGCCGCUCUUUAGAUAUAAUCCAAAAAUACAUUUUAUACUAUUGCGUAUCUAAUGUCACAACUCUAGCUUAGCCCUUGCUUGUCUUUGCUUAAGCUUCCAUGCAUCAUGUUUAAAUUCUCAUUAAACUUGAAAUAGGGAUUAACAAACCCUAGCAUUCCCCCUGGAAAUACCAGGUUCAACUGAAAAUUGUUUCAAUGAAACCAAAUGAUCACAAAAUGUUCAUCAUAUCUGAUUGGUCUUGAACCUCUGCAAAAAAUGAUGCACAUUUUUCUAGGUUACUUUGGAUUUUUGAAUUAAAUCAUAAGGUAUUUGCAUUUGAACAUUUAAAUGCUAUAAAUAUUUUUAAAUGUUCAAAUAAUCUUGAAACAUUUGAGGGUUGUUGGAGAUAAUUUCACAAGUGCCCACAAUUAUUUUCGGGAUUUUACAAAAUGAUUUGGUAUUUUUACUAAAUCAAAACAAUGCAAAAUAAAUAGAAAACUGAAAUAAAUAAAACACACACACACACACACACACACACACACAGAGGCCCCAGGCCACUUACCUAGCUAGGCCGGCCCACCUGGCCCAUGCCAGUCACCACCUACCUUUGCCCGUAGGCAGAGGAGGGGGGCAACGCACCGCCGUCGAGCUCGCCACGCCACCUCCCUGCUUGCCUGCGUCGCCUAGGACAUCGCGACGCCUAGCCCUUUCUCCUCGGCGCCGCCCCGACCCCCUGGACAUGCACUCUCCCCCUGGCUCUCUCCCUCGCCCUCUCCCCGACAUGGCCGACGCAGCCGCGCGCUCGCCGCCGCCGUAGUCAUAGCCACCGUCGCUACCUCGUCGCCUCGCCGUGUCCCUAAGCAUCACCGUCGUCCGCUGCUUCUCCUCGACCGAGCCCCGAGCGCUCGCACGCCCCGGAGACGCCUCACCGAGCUCAUCCCCGACCGCCGUCGCCGGAGAUCCCCCUCGCCGCCCUGCCCAGCUCUGACCGUCCCUGAGCUCGCCGUCUACUCUGCCGUGAUCGCAGUGAGUGUAGGAUCGAAAGUAUGUCUAGAGGGGGGUGAUUAGACUACUUGACCAAAUAAAAACUUAACCUUUUCCCAAUUUUAGUUCUUGGCAUAUUUUAACAAUUUAGCACAAGUCAAGCAAUCUUAAUACAAUUCAAGCAAGCCUGCAAUGAGUAUAUAAGCAGCGGAAAGUAAAGCAUGCAACUUGCAAGAAUGUAAAGGGAUGGGAUUGCAGAGUGCAAACGCAAUAGGAGACACGGAUGUUUUUGGCAUGGUUCUGAUAGGUGGUGCUAUCGUACAUCCAUGUUGAUGGAGACUUCAACCCACAAAGGGUAAUGGCUACACGAGUCCAGAGAGGGCUCCACCCACGAAGGGUCCACGAAGAAGCAACCUUGUCUAUCCCACCAUGGCCAUCGCCCACAAAGGACUUGCCUCACUAGGGUAGAUCUUCAUGAAGUAGGCGAUCUCCUUGCCCUUACAAACUCCUUGGUUCAACUCCACAAUCUUGUCGGAGGCUCCCAAGUGACACCUAACCAAUCUAGUAGACACCACUCUCCAAAAGGUAAUAGAUGGUGUGUUGAUGAUGAACUCCUUGUUCUUGUGCUUCAAAUGAUAGUCUCCCCAACACUCAACUCACUCUCAUAGGAUUGGAUUUGGUGGAAAGAUGAUUUGAGUGGAAAGCAACUUGGGGAAGGCUAGAGAUUGGAUUGGAAUAUCUUGGUCUCAACACAUGAGUAGGUGGCUCUCUAUCAGAAAAUGAGUAGUGGAAGUGUAGGCACGAUCUGAUGGCUUCCCUCACGAAUGAGGAGAGGGUGGAGGGGUAUAUAUAGCCUCCACACAAAAUCUAACCGUUACACACAAUAUACCAAACUCGGUGGUACCGAAUCACAAAACUCGGUCAGAUCGAUUCAGUACAUAUGUGACCAUUAGGAAAUUUCGGUGGGACCGCAUGUCAUCUCGGUGGGACCGAUAUCAUUAGGGUUAGGGCAUAACUUUGGUAAUAAGCUAAUAGGGAGUUGGUCAGGCAAACUCGAUGGGACCGAUUCGCUCAUCUCGGUGGGACCGAAGCGUUACGAAGGGAGUUUGCAUUGCAGACUCGGUGGGACCGAUCGCUCAUCUCGGUUAGACCGAAACGUUACGAAGGGAAACAGAGAGUUUGCAACCCCAUCUCGGUGAGACCGAGGUCACUAUCGGUGAGACCGAAGUGACUAGAGUUUCUGGCAGUGGCUAUGUUAAAUGAACUCGGUGGCACAGGAUGGAUCAAAUCGGUGGGGCCGAGUUUGACUUUUGGUUUUGGAGAUAUGUGGAUAUGAGAAAGUGGUUGAGGGCUUUUGGGGCAUAUCACUAAGCAUUUUGAGCAAGCAAGCCAUUAAGCAACACCUCAUCCCCUUUUAAUAGUAUUGGCUUUCCUAUAGACUCAAUGUGAUCUUGGAUCACUAAAAUAGAAAAUGUAGAGUCUUGGACUUUAGAGCUUGACCCAAUCUUUUGUCCUUAGCAUUUUGAGGGGUCCACAAUCCUAAUACAUGCCAUGCCAAUCAUUGAACUUUCCUAAAAUAUUUAUCUUGAGAAGGCAUUAGUUCAAUGAGCUAUAUGUUGUUAAUCAUUACCAAAACUACCCAGGGAUAGUUGCACUUUCAAUCUCCCCCUUUUUGGUAAUUGAUGAAAACAUAUAGAUCAAAGCUUCGAGAAAUGAUAAUAAUAUUGAAAUACAUCAUCGCUUUGAGAAGUAUGUGACAAACAAGAGCUCCCCCUAAAUUUGUGCAUUAUUUAAAAUUUGCUUUGGACUGCAAAUGCACAAUGUGUUAGGAUCAUGGGUCACUCUUCCGUGUCACAUACAUCUUGGUGGAGCGCUCAAAAUGAUAACAAUUAAAAACAUGCACUCAUCACUAAGCAAAGUGAAUGAUCAUAAAUGGAUAUGAAGGAUAAUAUCAUUCAAGCACACAUUAAAUGUAGCAUAUGAUCAAACACAUGAUCAUCCAAGUAUCUCACAAAAGACAUAGUGUAUCAAGCAAACACACAAUAAAGUUCAAGCAAAUAAAGUGCAAAGAGAGACAAAACAACACUCUCUCUCUAGAAGACUAUGAUCUAUACAUAUUUCUCCCCCUUUGGCAACAAGUUACCAAAAAGUUAAAAAUAUCAUAGUGCUAUGCGUUUCUCAGGCUUGGUCUUCAUGAGGUGGUGUAGAGAUGACUCCAAGGACAAAAGCUUCUGUUGAUGUAGCUGGAGCUGGUGGAGUGGCUACUGGAGCUGGUGGCAUUGAAGUUGUGGCUGCUGGUGCAAAUGUAGUAGCUCUUGUAUCUGGAACAUGCACUGCAGCAGACCUCUGAUUCUGGGCACUCUAGUGAAAACAUCUAUGGUAGACUUGCCUUUCUUCUCCUCCACUUCCUCCUGAAGUUGCUCAACUACUGACUGAAUCUCUGUGACUUUAACAUCAAGAUCGUAGAAUUUCUGCUCAAUGAUCCUCUACAAGCUCUCCUAGUUUUGUGUCAGGGUGGCCAAGCCCUUCUCAAUCCUCAAGGUGGACUGGAUCAGAUAUCCAAGCUGAUCUUGCUUGCUCUUCAAGAACACCUGAGAUGCCUCUUAAGCACUUGGUAUCUUUGUAGCUUUCUCUGCCCUUGCAUUCUCUCUCUUCUCAUGUGCUUGCACUGAGGAGGGAUCUUCCUCAUUCAUGACAACAAUGUUAUCCUCAAAAUCCGGCCUGAGGGGUAAAUGCUCCUUGUCCAACAGACAUGUGCCUGUGCCCAUCUUGGAGUUGAUGAGCACCUGAAUUUGUGGAGCAUACCCACAAGACCUCUUUUGAUCUGCAUCUGUCCUCUUGAUUGUUUCCACAAUCAAACUCAUCAUGUUGGGGAUAUAACUAUUAGGUAUGACCCGCCCAGGAGGGGCCGAGUUAUACCUAUGAAGACUCUUGAAGCCCAAGACAAGGCUUGAAGAUGGCGGUUCAGUUAAGGUCCCAAGGCCCAGAGGCGACCUAAGGCCCGUAGAGAUAAACCGCCAUAUGUACAUGACUUGUAUUGUAAGGCAAGAAUAGUUACAGACCGAGCCGGACACUGUUUAUGAGCUGGCCGAGACUCUAUGAGCCGCUGGGCAUCGACCUCUGUAUAUAAAGGGAUGACCCGGCGGCGGUUCAGGGCAAGUAAGAUCAAAUCGAGAGCUAGGUCAAGCUAUUUCGCUCCCUGGUAAUCGAGACAUAAGCAAUCCCACUCAAAACUGGAUCGUAGGCUUUUACCUUCACCGUAAGGGGCCGAACCAGUAUAAACCCCGUGUCCUUUGUCCCGAUUAACCCCUUUAAGCUUCCUAGUUGUGAUGGCUCCACAACUAAGUCCUUCCACUAGGACAUCUAAUGUGACAAUUCCAUGACAGUUGGCGCCCACCGUGGGGCUAGCGCAUGUUUGAUUUGAGUUCUUAAAGGGCAGCUUUGAAGGGCUCAAGGGAUGCGUUGUGGGACGGAUGACCAAGAGUCGUCGCGGCAAGCUCUACAUUGACGAUGCAGGCUGGGGCCCCCACGCCGACUCAAUUGAGUACGGGUACUGGGUCCCCUUCGGUGGAAUCCACGUCUUCAUCGGCAAGUUUGGCGAGCCGGGCCCUGAGCUGGACAUCUGCACCGACCUUGUCAAGACGGCUCAGCGUGCGAGACCCGCCCGGGCUCAGCCUGCCGUGAAGCGUGCCUUCGUGGGAUGCAUCCACGGAGGACUCUCUGAAGGAUCUGCAUUUGCCGGUGAGACGUCCAUCUACUCUAAUGGCGAGUUGUCCAUAGGUGAGACGGAUUCGUUGUAUCAAUUGCAAGACGGCAGACUUGGGGGCUGUUCCAAUGGCAGCAGUAUUCCGGACCUCCUUGAGCCGUCGAGUAGAGUUGGGAUCUUCAUGGAUGGCACGCAACCCGUUCAAAAUUCUACAACUGCGGCAGCGAUAACCUCCGGGUCAGCGGCAGCUAGGGCAGGAGGCCCUGUGCGCCCGCCAGCUCAGGUGCUGAUGGGUCUCAUGGAUAAGAUGACCGCUCUGUUAGCCGUCGCGGUCAACCCGGCGGAUCAAGCUCAACAUGAUGCGGAAGUGGCAUAGUUAAAAUAAGAUAUUGUGCAGGCUAAGGAAGACCUGGCAGCGGAAGAUAUCAGGAUGACCGCAGAGCGGGCAACCCUAGAUGCUCAGGCUCAGCGGAUUCAGACGCAGACUUUCCGGCUCACGAUGGAUCAGAAUGCAUCCAAUGAGGUCAUGAGGAGAAGACACCAGAAGACUCAGUCUCGGCUGCCUCUAGUUUAUGAUCCUCAAAACCUCUUCCAUACACCCGGUGCAGGGCCCAGUAACCCGCCGGAGAUAGACCGGGUUGCAGCACCCGGGGCUGAAAUGCCGGUUCAGCCACGUAUGAUGGAACUUACCCGAAUGAAUACCGCUUCGCCUUAGUAUGUACCAACACCACCGGGUCAUUACUCUAACCCGUUGGAGAACAUGAUUGCUGCGGCGACACGAUUGGCAACUCUCUCGGUGGAGGGCGACUCUCCGACGGCGGUUGAAACUCGAAGGAUCAGAGAGCUUCUUCAGACGGCUUUGGCACAGCAGGAGGCGUACUCAUAUAGCCAAGACAGGAUUCAUUCGUCCCCUCGUGCAAGCCGAAGCCCGAGUUAUAGCCGGCACAUGGAUCCAAUGGCCAUUUCAAGCAACGCCUGGCGCCGUAACCAACUGGGCGGGCAUGACCCAACACGUGAUGGAGCUCUUAACUUGAUUGAUCAGGAUAGACUACGUCAAGAGGCUGAGCGGGCGGCUUAGCAGGUGGCUGAGCAGGCGGCUCAACGAGCGGCUUACCAGUCUUUUCCGGUUUACCCGACGACUUCUAUUGAGGCAGGCGUGACCACUUGCACCGGGGGGUCCCUUGUCUAGUGCCGGCUCUACAUAACAAGCGUUUUCCAAGGAUUUUAAGGGGCCUCGAAAGGUGCCAAACUACACGGCCGACUUAUAGCGUGGAGCAUGGAUUGAAAGCUAUGAGAUGGCUAUGGAGCUGCUGGAGGUCAGUGACGCUGCGAUGGCCAAGUACUUCACCAUGAUGUUGGACGGAACGGCCCGUACUUGGUUGAAGGGGCAGCCGCCUAAUUCCAUUGGUUCAUGGGCAGAGUUAAAAGCCCGGUUCAUUCAGAACUUCAAGGAUACGUGCAAACAGCCUAUGUCAAUUGUGGAUUUGACUAAUUGCAAGUAAGAGGAGGGUGAGUCCACUACCCAUUGGGUGCGUCGGGUCAAGGCCAUAAUACAUCUGUCUGAUAAGAUGGAUGCCGGCUCUGCAGUCUUAAUGUUGGAGAAAAAUUGUCGUUUUACGCCUGUGAAGAUGAAGUUGGGGCGGCUCAAGCGCGAUUGUAAUGACAUGGGCCAGCUGAUGGCGGCUCUAGUCAAAUAUGCCGACUCUGAUAGUACCAAGGAUCCCGAGUCUGAUGAUGAGAAGAUAGGGAAGGGCAAGAAGAACGGCAACGCCAAGGGGCCUCAACAUAACCCGACAAAUCAAGGAGGUAAUAAUAAAUGUAAAGCUGACGGUAGCUUGGAGUUUGUGGCUAACACCAAUACGCAGGGCAACAAUCAGCGACGUAAGGGGAGACCACCUCCUCGGUCCGGCGGGUCAAGCCCCACGCUUGAGCAGUUACUAAAUGAGCCCUGCCCAAGGCAUGACACUCAAUAGAAGCCGGCCACUCACCUAUGGAAGGAUUGUACGAUCAUGAAGGCUUUCAAGAAUUCGAACAUGUUCGACGGUAAUCAUGGGCAGGGCAGCGGCUCAGGUGGCGGCGGCUUUCAUGGCCCGGAAGGCGGUUCAAAUUCCAAUUUUCAAAGCUCUCAGGGUAAUCAAGGUGGUUAUAACCAGCAAUCUGGCCAGGGAGGUCAGCAGCAGUAGCAGGGUGGAUAUCAGAGUAAUCCGAAGCAGCUGAAUAGUGGACAAUAUCAUGUGUUUACUACCAGCUUGUGUAAAUGGGACCAUCAGCUUCAUAAGAGGGCUGUGAACGCUGUUGAGCCAACAAUUCCUCGUUAUUUGAGAUGGUCUGAGCAGCCUAUUCUAUGGAGUAGGGAAGAUCACCCUCCCUGGGUUGACAAUCUGGGUCACUUGGCCUUGGUGGUGGCACCUCAUGUUGGUGGAUGCAAAUUCACUAAGGUGCUCAUGGAUGGAGGCACUAGCAUCAACAUCCUCUAUUAUGAGACUUUUCGCCGCAUGGAUUUGACUGACAAAAAUCUCAAGACUUCCAACACUGUUUUUCAUGGAGUGGUCCCUGGUAAGUCGGCAUACCCAGUGGGUAAGAUUGAGCUGGAGGUAGCCUUUGGAGAUGAGCAUGAUUCUAAGGCUAAGAAGUUAACCUUUGAGGUGGUCAAAAUCAAGAGCCCGUAUCACGCCCUGUUCGGACGACCGGCUUAUGCCAAAUUCAUGGCAUGACCGCGUUAUGUUUACUUGCAACUCAAGAUGCCGGGUCAUAAAGGCACCAUCACAGUGCAUAGAAGUAGGAAGAUAGCCUUGGAAUGUGAGGAAGGCGAUGCUGCUUAUGCUGAAUCUGUUUGUGCGACAGAAGAGUUGAAGUUCUACAAGGACAAUGUUGACCCGGCAGACAUGACGUCUUUGAAGAAACCAACCAUAGAGCAUGAGCCCGCAAUGAAGUUUAAAUCGGCCGAUGACACUAAGCUUGUUGAUUUUUUUCCAGGCGACUCAUCUGAGCAGUUCAGUAUCAGUGCCAAUAUGGAUCCCAAAUAGGAAAGCGCGCUCAUCGAGUUCAUCCGUGAGAACCGGAACAUCUUUGCAUGGAAACCUUCUGACAUGCCGGGUGUACCGAGAGAACUCGCUGAGCACACUCUUAAUAUUGAUCCAAAGUUUAAGCCGGUCAAGCAGUUUCUUCAGCGAUUCAACGAAGAUAGGCGUAAGGCCAUUGGCGAGGAAGUGGCCUGGCUCUUGGCGGCCGGGUUCAUUAUUGAAGUUUUUCAUCCAGAGUGGCUGGCUAACCCGGUGCUGGUGCUUAAGAAGAAUGGCACUUGGUGUAUGCGUGUGGAUUACAUAGAUUUAAAUAAAGCUUGUCCGGUUGAUCCCUUUGCUCUCCCUCGUAUUGAUCAAAUCAUUGAUGCUACGACGGGUUGUGAGCGUUUGAGCUUUUUGGAUGCUUACUCUGGUUACCAUCAGAUCAAGAUGGCAGUUUGAAAGCACAGGUGCUCCCUAGGUGGUUUUGGUAAUUAAUGUCAACAUAUCUCUUGUUGGACUAACACUUUUAUCUAGUAUAUUUCAGAUAAGUUCAACAAUGGAGUGGCGUGGACUAAAGGAUGUGGCAACUCCUUCAAGAUGCUAAGGACAAAGGAUUGGCUCAAGCUUCAAGCUCAAGACUCUUCAUUUUACAUUUUAGUGAUCCAAGAUCACAUUGAGUCUAUAGGAAAAUCCAAUACUAUCAAGGAGGGAUGAGGUGUUGCUUAAUGAGUUUCUUGCUCCACAGUGCUUAGUGAUAUGCUCCAAAACCCUCAACUACUUUCCCACUUCCACACAUAUGUCCUAAACCUAAAGUCAAACUCGGCCAUACCGAUUCUUUCUAUCCAGCGCCACCGAGUUCAGAUGACAUAGCCACUGCCACAAACCCUAGGCAAAUCGGUCUAACCGAUAGGGAUCUCGGUCUCACCGAGAUGGGAUUGUAAUCUCUCUGUGUAUGUCCAUUAUCAAAGUCGGUCUCACCGAGUUUGAGCAAUCGGCACUACCGAGAUUACAAUGCAAACUUCCUGGUUGACUCAUUACCAAAAUCGGUCCCGCCGAGUUUGAGUAAUCGGUCCAACCGAGUUUGCCUGACCAACUCUCUGGUUAGCUAAUUACCAAAAUCGGUCUCACCGAGUUUGUGUAACUGGUCUCACCGAGAUUAUGUUAUGCCCUAACCCUAACCAUGUCGGUCCUACCCAGUUGCAUUUCGGUCCCACCGAAAAUCCUAACGGUCACUAGGUUUACUGAAUCGGUCCGACUGAGUUUGUUGAUUCGGUCCCAUCGAGUUUGGUAAAUUAUGUGUAACGGUUAGAUUUUGUGUGGAGGCUAUAUAUACCCCUCCACCUCCUCUUCAUUCAUUAAGAGAGCCAUCAGAAUGAACCUACACUUCCAGCAUCCUAUUUCUGAGAGAGAACUACCUACUCAUGUGUUGAGGCCAAGAUAUUCCAUUCCUACCAUAUGAAUCUUGAUCUCUAGCCUUCCCCAAGUUGCUUUCCACUCAAAUCUUCUUUCCACCAGAUCCAAAUCCCAUGAGAGAGAGUUGAGUGUUGGGGAGACUAUCAUUUGAAGCACGAGAGCAAGGAGUUCAUCAUCAAUGCACCAUUUGUUACUUCUUGGAGAGUGGUGUCUCCUAGAUUGGCUAGGUGUCACUUGGGAGCCUCCGACAAGAUUGUGGAGUUGAACCAAGGAGUUUGUAAGGGCAAGGAGAUCGCCUACUUCAUGAAGAUCUACCGCUAGUGAGGCAAGUCCUUCGUGGGCGACGACCAUGGUAGGAUACACAAGGUUGCUUCUUCGUGGACCCUUCGCGGGUGGAGCCCUCCGUGGACUCGCGCAACCGUUACCCUUCGUGAGUUGAAGUCUCCAUCAACGUGGAUGUACGAUAGCACCACCUAUCGAAACCACGCCAAAAACAUCCAUGUCUCCAAUUGCAUUUGAAUCCUCCAAAACCCUUCCCUUUACAUUCUUGCAAGUUGCAUGCUUUACUUUCCGCUGCUCAUAUACUCUUUGCAUGCUUGCUUGCUAUAUAUUGUAAAUGUUAAACUUGUGCCUAAACUCCGCUUAAACUUAAAAAGGUUAAAAACUGCAACUUUGGUACUUAGUGUCUAAUCACCCCCCUCUAGACACCUCUUCUCAAGGUCCUACAAGUGGUAUCAAAGCAUUGAUCUCCAUUGCCUUGGUUUAAUCACCAUUUGAGGAAGAUGGAUGAGUCUACUUUGGGGAGUCUUAUACAUAGAGUGCCUAUUCUUGAUGGAGAGUAUUUUCAUGAGUGGAAAAAUGAGAUGCUUGUAAUUUUCAAUCAAUAUCAUUUGAACAAGUACAUUGCUAGCCCUUGUGCACCACAUGUUGAUCCUAUGCAUCCUACUCUUGAUGAGUCAAUUGACAUGAUUAGGAAUUUUAGAACUGUUAAUCUUAUCACUAGAGGCUUGCCUAGAAACUUGAUUAUAAACUUGCCUACUCUUGAGUGUGCCUACACUAUAUGGAAAUUUCUUGAGGAACGAUUUCCAAAUUAUUCCUUGAAAAAUCUAGAUGAAAUUCUCCAUAAGUCUAUUGCCUUGAGUAAGAUGAAUACUAGUGAUCCUAUGUUUGGUGAUCGUCUAUUUGAACUUACAAACCUUAUGCGUGCCAAAGGAGAUGUUGGAAUUAUGGUGAUAUUAUUUCCGAAGCUAUAAGAAUUCAUAAGCAAGAUCAUUGUCAAACUCACUCUAACGAAUCACCCUCUCUAGGAUUUGAUCCACCACAUGACGAUGUUGAACAUGGAUACUAUGAUGAGGAUGAUGAUAGUGACUUCGAUCUUGAUGAUGCAAUGAGACACUUUGGUCUUAUGGCAAAUCUUCGGGGAUAUAUGUCAGGAGGAAAGGAAUGGGUUCUUGAUAGUGGAUGUAUCGAUCACAUGACCGGAGAUAAAGACAUGUUUCGUGAGCUUGCUGAAAAUGAUAGUCCUCGAAAGUAUGUCACUUUCGGUGACAACUCAAAGGGUAAGGUGGUUGGCCUCGGUAAGGUGGCCAUAUCACACGAUAGCUCCAUACAAAAUAUCAUGCUCGUUGAAUCUCUUGGCUACAACUUACUUUCAGUAUCUAGACUUGCUGAUUUCGGUUUCAAUGUCCUAUUUACUGAAGUAGAUUGCCAAGUGUUUCGUUGAGACAAUCAUAAAAUGGUCUUUACCGGUAUACGUAGAGGUGAUCUAUACAUUGUUGAUUUCACUAAAAAGGCUCAACCUAAAACUUGCUUCAUUGCUAAAUCCUCAAAAGGUUGGUUAUGGCGUAGACGACUAGGUCAUGUUGGUAUCCGAAACCUUGACAAGCUUAUUAAAGGAAAUCAUAUCCUUGGUGUUAAAGAUGUCAUAUUUGAUAAGGAUAGACUUUGCAGUGCUUGUCAAGCAGGUAAACAGGUUGGAGGAAGGCAUCCCGUGAAGAACAUCAUGACCACAAGGAGGCCACUUGAGCUACUUCACAUGGAUCUUUUUGGUCCCAACUCUUACAAGAAUCUCGGUGGAAAUUCUUUUGGUCAGUUAUAGUUGAUGAUUUUUCAAGAUUUACGUGGGUGUUCUUUCUCGAUGAUAAAUCGCAGGUCCAAAAGAUCUUCAAAAACUUCGCUAGGAAGGCCCAAAAUCAAUUUGAAGUGAAGAUCAAGAAGGUUCGCAGCGACAACGAAAUGGAGUUCAAGAACGCAAAUGUGGACACCUUGCUUGACGAAGAAGGGAUUUCACACGAGUUCUUGACUACGUACACACCUCAACAAAAUGGAGUUGUUGAGAGGAAGAACCGGACGCUCAUCGAAAUGGCGAGAACGAUGCUUGAUGAGUACAAGACACCAAAGCACUUUUGGGCAGAAGCGGUUGAGACAGCUUGUCAUGCAACAAAUCGCUUGUAUCUUCACAAGCUGCUCGGCAAGACAGCAUACGAGCUCCUCACCGGUAACAAACCCCAAGUUGGAUACUUUCGAGUAUUCGGCUCAAAGUGCUACAUUCUUGAUAAGCAUCAUCGUUCUAAAUUUGCUCCUAAGUCUCAUGAAGGUUUCCUACUAGGUUAUGGCUCAAACUCUCACACUUACCGUGUCUACAACAAUUUCACCCGAAAGGUUGAAGAGACGGUAGAUGUGAAGUUUGAUGAAUCUAACGGCUCGCAAGUAGAGCAAUUGCCAAUUGAUGUAGGAGACAAAGAUCCUUCGGAAGCAAUCCAAGACUUGUCUAUUGGCAAGGUCCGUCUAACGGAGGUGAAGGAGAGUACCUCGUACGUCCAAGUGGAAGCUUCUACUUCAUGACAAGGUGAACCAAGAGUUGAUACGGAAGCAUCCACAAGUGGGACACACCAAGAUGAAGAAAACGAGGAAGUGCAUCAACAUGAACGUCAACAACCUCCUUCUCCACCACGACAAGAGAACGGCAACGCCAACAAUGAAGAAGGCCAAGAAGAAGAACAAGAUGAAGAAGAAGUUCAACCAAGAUCCAAGCAAAAGCUUUCACGAGUUCGAGCAAGAAUUGCUAAAGACCAUCCCGUCGAGCAAAUCUACAAUGAUAUUCAAACUGGGAGAAUCACUCGCUCUAAAACUCGUUUAGCUAACUUUUGUGAAAACUAUUCUUUCAUCUCUAGCAUUGAAACUAUGAAGGUCGAAGAAGCAUUGGAAGAUCCGGAUUGGAUAAAUGCUAUGCAUGAAGAGCUACACAACUUUGAGAGGAACCAAUUUUGGACAUUGGUUGAGAAGCCCGACAACAACCACAACAUCAUCGAUACCAAAUGGGUGUUUCGCAACAAGCAAGAUGAAGAUGGACAAGUAGUUCGCAACAAAGCACGUCUCGUCGCCCAAGGCUACACACAAGUCGAAGGUAUGGACUACGGUGAGACUUAUGCUCCCGUUGCUAGACUUGAGUCCAUUCGCAUCUUACUUGCCUAUGCUAAUCACCAUGAUAUCACCUUGUACCAAAUGUACAUUAAAAGUGCUUUUCUAAAUGGUGAAAUAGAGGAGGAAGUUUAUGUUAAGCAACCUCCCGGCUUUGUCAAUCCUAAGAAACCCAAUCAUGUUUACAAACUUCACAAAGCCCUUUAUGGUCUUAAACAAGCUCCUAGAGCAUGGUAUAAAUGCUUGACCAAGUUCCUUAUUGAAAAAGGCUUUGAAAUUGGGAAAAUUGAUUCUACUCUUUUUACUAAAAGGGUUAAUGGAGAACUAUUUGUGUGCCAAAUCUAUGUUGAUGAUAUUAUAUUUGGUUCAACUAACCCUCAUUUUAGUGAAAAGUUUGGGAAGCUAAUGUCGGAGAAGUUUGAGAUGUCUAUGAUGAGUGAACUCAAAUUCUUUCUUGGGUUGCAAAUCAAGCAAACUAAGGAAGGUACUUUUGUCUCUCAAACAAAGUACACCAAGGACUUAUUCAAGAAGUUCAAUAUGCAAGAAUGCAAAGGUAUGACUACACCCAUUCCUACUAGUGGACAUCUUGACUUAAGCAAAGAUGAUGAACCGGUUGAUCAAAAAGUUUAUCGCUCUAUGAUUGGUUCAUUGUUAUAUCUAUGUGCUUCAUGUACCGAUAUUAUGCUAAGUGUGUGCAUGUGUGCACGAUAUCAAGCUGCUCCUAAAGAAUGUCAUCUUAAGGCCGUGAAAAGGACAGUGAGAUACUUAAUUCAUACACCAAAUUUUGGCAUUUGGUAUCCUAAGAGGGCCUCUUUCGAUCUUGUUGGCUACUCCGACUCGGACUGCGCCGGAGACAAGGUUGAUAGAAAGUCCACUCCGGGUACUUGUCAAUUUCUUGGUAGAUCUCUUGUGUCUUGGUCCUCCAAGAAACAAAACUCGGUAUCCUUAUCCACCGCCAAAGCGGAAUACAUUGUCGCUGGUUCAUGUUGUGCUCAAUUACUUUGGAUGACCCAAACUCUUAAAGAUUAUGGGAUAUAUGUGAAACAUGUUCCAUUGCUUUGUGACAAUGGAAGUGCUAUCAAAAUUGGUCAUAAUCCCGUGCAACAUUCUCGAACUAAGCAUAUUGAAGUUCGUCAUCAUUUCAUUCGAGAUCAUGUUGCUAAGGGUGACAUUGAUCUUAAGCAUGUUUGCACCGAAAAGCAAUUAGCGGAUAUAUUCACUAAACCUCUUGAUGAUAAAGUGUUUUGCAGGCUAAGAGGAGAAUUGAACAUCAUUGAUGCUUCAAACUUGGAGUAGAAACUCCAUUGGAUACAUGUAAGACAUGAGCUUAUGACUAAUCCUUGAUUUUUUCUCUUAUGAAGAAAAUCUUGUGUCUUGGAUAUAUUUGUAUCUUGCAUGUUAUCUAACCCAUGUAGGUACUUGGAUGAAUCUAAUUCCAUGAGCUUGUAACCUACUCAUAUCUUGAGCAAUCUCUACAUCACCAAGUCUCUACACAAAGGUGGUUGAAGACAAGGAAGCACGAAACCAUUCAAACAUAUCCUUUGAAAAAUUCUAUGUUGAGCUUCAUGAUUGUCAUUUUUGGAUACACAAGUGCUCUUCCUUGCAAGAACUAACCCAUGUAGGUAGAUGGACUCAAAUUCCAAGUGGUGCUCCAAACUCUUGAUGAGCUACAUCAACCUUGAGCAACCCACACAAGUUCAACUGCAUGGUCAACAUCACCAACCAAGGUAUGUUAUUCCAUCUUAGAGAAGCUUUACUCCAAGUCAUGAGCUAAAGCAACUUGACAAGAUGUGAAUACAUCAAGAUGCUUAAACGAAAAAUGGUAACCCUAUUUUGAGCUUAAACGAUGAGUAUGACCUAUGAUCAAGUGAUCUCACUUGACUCCUAAGUCAAUAUACUCUAACAUAGGUGACUUUGUCGCCGACCAUCUCUAGAUGAAGUUCUCUCAUGUUCUUCUCUGUGUUUUUGCAUUUGUCUCAUGCAUAUUUGUUUCCCCUUUCAAAAAAAAAGUUCAUCUAGAUUUCUUUAUGUUUGCUCUGCAUUUUCUGCAUCCAAUUCAUUGCAUAUCAUUCAGUAAAUUCCUUGCAAAUCUUUGUGAGAUCUUAUUAGUCUAGUGAGCUGAGGUGACAACUGUUUUCCCUGCGAUGAACUCGGUUACACUUAUUUGUUAUUUUUGGUCCAACCGAAUCCUUUGGUACAACCGAAUCAUACCACUCAGUGCCACCGAUUUCACAACAGGAAAAAUAGUUUGCCACUUAUUCUGUGUUUCUUCUGAUCCAGCUCCACUCAAUGAAUCUUGUCCUCUACAAGCAUCAAAUUUUUAUCAUUGCCUUGUGCUGUGACUCAAGGACCAAACCCAUUCGACAGAUUCCAGAGAACCCUUCUUGGAAAUUGAUGUCAAAGGGGGAGAGAGAGAUCACAUCAAAGCUUAUCAUUUAGAGAGAGAUCACAUCAGAGAAAGAGUAUAUCACCUCCUCAGGGGGAGAGAGAGAUCUCCAGGGGGAGAGAAUACUCAAGUAGAAAGUAUUUCUCAAGGAUCCCAGAUGCCUGGUGUUCAAGAGGAGAGAUGCCACAUGUCUUCUUGAGGGGAAAGACAUGUUCAUAUGUGCUUAUUUGCAUUAGCUUGCAUCAGCUCUGUUCAUUUAUAUCUUUCAGCUCUGAUUUUCUGUUUCCUAUCUUCUCCCAGUAUCCUAUGCUAGAUUCAGGGGGAGCAAGACAUCUAAGGGAAAGAAAUCAUUUAAAUUCAUUGCAUAUCUUUAUUCUUGGGGACAUGUCUAAUCCAAUGUGGUACUUAGUACUCACUCUCUACAUGUCAUCCCAGUCUUGGUAUUCUUGCGGUUUCUUCUGUUUGCUCUGGCUAGUAGAUGUACCUGUGUUAUCUAACCUUGUUUAUGCAGGUUCAUUCCAUCCUAAGCCAACUCAAGACUACAAGGUAAGUAUAUGCAUCACAAUCAUGUUUAUGAGGAAUUCAUGCUGAUGUACAUACUGUUUGCAAGGACUCAUGGGCAUGAAGGUAUUUUCUUCAAUAUUCUUUGCUCUGAUGCAUGUGGCCAAGAUACAUGUAACACAUUGCCUGCUCUAUCAUGGUUAUGCUCUCACAUGCUUCUAUUUUCAAUAUUCACAUGAUUGCAUACAUGUAGGGGGAGCCUAUGCUUGUUACAUGUCUUUCCAAAGCUUUACUUGCCAUUCUUUAUAUCUUCAUCUAAAGCUUUGAUGUAUGUUGUCAUCAAUUACCAAAAAGGGGGAGAUUGAAAGCACAUGUGCUCCCUAGGUGGUUUUGGUAAUUAAUGUCAACAUAUCUCUUGUUGGACUAACACUUUUAUCUAGUAUAUUUCAGAUAAGUUCAACAAUGGAGUGGCAUGGACUAAAGGAUGUGGCAACUCCUUCAAGAUGCUAAGGACAAAGGAUUGGCUCAAGCUUCAAGCUCAAGACUCUUCAUUUUACAUUUUAGUGAUCCAAGAUCACAUUGAGUCUAUAGGAAAAUCCAAUACUAUCAAGGAGGGAUGAGGUGUUGCUUAAUGAGUUUCUUGCUCCACAGUGCUUAAUGAUAUGCUCCAAAACCCUCAACUACUUUCCCACUUCCACACAUAUGUCCUAAACCUACAGUCAAACUUGGCCAUACCGAUUCUUUCUAUCUGGCGCCACCGAGUUCAGAUGACAUAGCCACUGCCACAAACCCUAGGCAAAUCGGUCUCACUGAUAGGGAUCUCGGUCUCACCGAGAUGGGAUUGUAAUCUCUCUGUGUAUGUCCAUUAUCAAAGUCGGUCUCACCGAGUUUGAGCAAUUGGUACUACCGAGAUUACAAUGCAAACUUCCUGGUUGACUCAUUACCAAAUUCGGUCCCACCGAGUUUGAGUAAUCGGUCCAACCAAGUUUGCCUAACCAACUCUCUGGUUAGCUAAUUACCAAAAUCGGUCUCACCGAGUUUGUGUAAUCGGUCUCACCGAGAUUACGUUAUGCCCUAACCCUAACCAUAUCGGUCCUACCGAGUUGCAUUUCGGUCCCACCGAAAAUCCUAACGGUCACUAGGUUUACUGAAUCGGUCCGACCGAGUUUGUUGAUUCGGUCCCACCGAGUUUGGUAAAUUAUGUGUAACGGUUAGAUUUUGUGUGGAGGCUAUAUAUACCCCUCCACCUCCUCUUCAUUCGUUGAGAGAGCCAUCAGAACGAACCUACACUUCCAGCAUCCUAUUUCUGAGAGAGAACUACCUACUCAUGUGUUGAGGCCAAGAUAUUCCAUUCCUACCAUAUGAAUCUUGAUCUCUAGCCUUCCCCAAGUUGCUUUCCACUCAAAUCUUCUUUCCACCAGAUCCAAAUCCCAUGAGAGAGAGUUGAGUGUUGGGGAGACUAUCAUUUGAAGCACAAGAGCAAGGAGUUCAUCAUCAAUGCACCAUUUGUUACUUCUUGGAGAGUGGUGUCUCCUAGAUUGGCUAGGUAUCACUUGGGAGCCUCCGACAAGAUUGUGGAGUUGAACCAAGGAGUUUGUAAGGGCAAGGAGAUCGCCUACUUUGUGAAGAUCUACCGCUAGUGAGGCAAGUCCUUCGUGGGCGACGACCAUGGUGGGAUAGACAAGGUUGCUUCUUCGUGGAUCCUUCGUGGGUGGAGCCCUCCGUGGACUCGCGCAACCGUUACCCACGUGGGUUGAAGUCUCCAUCAACGUGGAUGUACGAUAGCACCACCUAUCGGACCCACGCCAAAAACAUUUGUGUCUCCAAUUGCGUUUGAAUCCUCCAAAACCCUUCCCUUUACAUUCUUGCAAGUUGCAUGCUUUAUUUUCCGCUGCUCAUAUACUCUUUGCAUGCUUGCUUGCUAUAUAAUGUGAAUGUUAAACUUGUGCCUAAACUCCACUUAAACUUAAAAAGGUUAAAAACUGCAACUUUGGUACUUAGUGUGUAAUCACCCCCCCUCUAGACACCUCUUCUCAAGGUCCUACACAGUUAAGGACCAAGAGAAGAAGACUUUCAUUACUCUGUUUGGAGCCUUCUACUUUGUGUCUAUGCCUUUUGGGAUUAAGAGUGCCCAGGUGACUUAUUAGCGGUGUGUACAGAAUUGCCUUCACAAUCAGAUUAGGCGCAAUGUUCAUGCUUAUGUGGACGACAUUGUGGUAAAAUCCAGAGAGAAGGAGACCUUGAUAGAUGACCUGAAAGAGACCUUUGAUAAUCUCCAGGUCUAGAAGAUGAUGCUUAACCCGGCCAAGUGCGUUUUUGGUGUUCCAACAGGCAAGCUUUUGGGUUUUCUGGUUUCCAAUAGAGGCAUUGAGGCUAAUCCGGAGAAGAUCAACUCAAUCACCUCUCUGGCUAAGCCGGUGUGCAUCAAUGAUGUUCAACGUUUGGCGGGUCAUAUUGCUUCUUUAAGCCGGUUCAUAAGCCGGUUAGGUGAGAAGGCCAUACCACUGUAUCAAAUGAUGAAGAAGACAGAUGACUUCGUCUGGAGUGAUGCUGCUAAUGCUGCCUUUGAAGAUUUGAAGAGACAACUAGCUGAGCCGCUAGUCCUUGCUGCUCCCAUUGAUAAGGAGACGUUAUUGUUAUAUGUAGCUGCUAACACACGGGCUGUUAGUGUGGCCAUCGUGGUGGAGCGCAAGGAGGCUGGCAAGGAACAUCCGGUUCAACGGCCGGUUUACUACAUCAGUGAGGUGCUUAUUGAAUCCAAGCAAAGGUAUACACAUUGACAGAAGCUCAUUUAUGGGGUGUUCAUGGCAAGCUGGAAGCUUAAGCAAUAUUUCCAGGGUCAUCCCAUCACUGUGGUCAGUUCUGCUCCUUUAGGAGAUAUCAUUCAAAACAGAGAAGCUACAGGAUGAUUCGCCAAGUGGGCCAUUGAACUUGGGCCUCAUGGUUUAAAGUACGUGCCACAUACUGCUAUCAAGUCUCAAGCACUAGUGAACUUCAUCAACGAUUGGACAGAACUGCAGAUGCCUGAAGAGAAGCCAGACAACACAUAUUGGACUAUUCACUUUGUUGGGUCCAGGCAACUGGAGGGCUCGGGGGCUGGAGUUGUUUUAGCUUCCUCUCGAGGUGACAAAUUUUGUUAUGUGCUACGGUUGAUGUUUCCCUGUACUAACAAUGCAGCUGAGUAUGAGGCCUUGCUCCAUGGUCUUCGAAUGGCUAAGGAGAUGAAUUUAAGCCGGGUAAGGUGCUUUGGCGACUCAGAUUUGGUGGCUCAACAAGUCUCAAGCAAGUGGGAUUCCAAGGAUCCUCUCAUGGCGGCUUAUCACCAUGAAGUUGAUGCCAUUGCCGGACAUUUCAAGGGUUACCAAGUGGAGCACAUCGACUGCAGAAAGAACAAGGCAGCUGAUGCCUUAAGCCGGCUGGGGUCUCAACAUAAGUUGGUGCUGCCUAAUACUUUCUUGGAUAUUCUGCAUAAUCCCGCUGUCAAGUUGCCUACAGAGGAAGACUUGGCUAUUCCUGACCCGGAAGCACAAUUGGUGGCGGCUCUUCACGUCAUCCCAGAUUGGACAGUGCCAUACUUGGCUUACAUGACCCGGGGCGAGUUGCCUGAGGAUGAAACCUUGGCCAAGCAGAUAACCUGAUGGUCUAAGUCAAUGACAAUUUCCAAUGGCGAGUUACAUCAUCGCAGUGUCUCUGGGGUGUUCUAGCAUUGUGUUUCUCCUGAGGAAGGUCAAGAAAUUCUUUGUGAGAUUCAUGAAGGAUAUUGUGGCCAUCAUGCCGGCUCAAAAUCCCUUGUGGCCAAGGCUUUCCGUCAUGGAUUUUAUUGGCUGACGGCUCAUGCUGAUGCAGAGGAUCUGGUUAGUAAAUGUGACGGUUGUCAGAAGUUCUCGAGACGUGCUCACGUGCCAGCUCAAGAGUUGAGGAUGAUUCCAAUUACUUGGCCGUUUGUAGUCUAGGGACUUGACAUGGUUGGGCCUUUCAAAAGGUCCAAAGAUAAAAAGACCCACCUCUUGGUGGCGGUUGACAAGUUCACAAAGUGGGUUGAGGCAGAGCCAGUUAGUAAGUGUGACGCAGCCACGACGGUUCAAUUCAUGAAGAAGGUGAUAUUUCGCUUUGGCUUUCCACACAGCAUUAUAACUGACAAUGGCACCAAUCUAUCCAAAGGCGCCAUGGAAGAGUUUUGUCAACGAGAGCAUAUUCGGCUUGAUGUUUCAUCAGUGGCUCAUCCCCAGUCCAAUGUUCAAGCUGAGAGAGCCAAUCAGGAAUUCUUGAAAGGCAUUAAGCCCCGGCUUUUGGUCCCCUUGCAGCGGACGCCGGGUUGUUGGGUUGAGGAGUUGCCCUCCGUGAUAUGGAGCAUCAAUACUACUCCUAAUAGGUCGACGGUUUAUAUGCCUUUCUUCAUGGUUUACGGAGCCGAGACAGUUCUCCCUAGUGACAUCCAUCAUGACUCGCCCCGCGUGGCGGCUUACGUUGAAGCUGAUAACGAACAAGCUCAUCAGGAUGCAUUGGACCUGCUAGAUGAAAAGCGUGACUUGGCAGCAGCCCGCUCGGCGAUUUACCAAGAGGGUCUGCACCACUAUCACAGCCGCCGGGUUAAGUCCAAAACCUUUUAGGAAUGCACCGGCUCAUCCAGGAUCAAACUGAUGCACACAAAUUAUCCCCACCUUGGUAAGGGCCUUGUGUAGUCAGCAAGAACUUGAAAAUGGGUCAUACUACCUUAUCGAUGUUCGAGAGCACAAAGACUCACGUAAGUCGGAGGAGGAGACCCGCCGGUCAUGGAAUAUCGCUCAUCUGCAGCCUUACUACACUUGAGCCACCGGCUCUCAUGAUGUACAUAUUUUGACGAUUUAUAUAAUAUUAUAAAUAAUAAAGCAGGACCUCUGUCCUUUUCAUUCUCAAUGAUCAUAUGUCUUUAUCAUUGUCAUUUCCAACAACCAAUUGGGGGCUGAUCGUAUUCGAAUCUAGCUUAACCCUUUUGCUUCGGCUCAUGAUCGUAUUCGAAUCUAGCCGUUAAACCUCAUGAUCACUAGGGGGCUUCCUGUUCAAACAUAGGUCGUAUUCGAACCAAAGAGAACAUAGCUAUCGGUACCCUCUUGAUCGGCACACUGCCAAGCUCAUUAGGGGGCUUCUUGAUCGUAUUCGAAUCAUAGCUCAAGCCCUUUUGGGAACCGACUUUGAUCGUAUUUGAAUCAGAUUCUUUAAAAAACUCUCAAGGUCAUUAGGGGGCUUCCUGUUCAAACAUAGGUCGUAAUCAAACCAAAGAGAACAUAGCUGUCGGUACCCUCUUGAUCGGCGCAAGGCCAAAGCCAUAGGGGGCUACAUGAUCGUAUUCGAAUCCUAGCUUAACCCCUUUGGAACAGUUUACUGUUCAUAUUCGAAUCAUAAGCCUUGAUUGUUUCUUCUUAUCUGGUUUAUGUUUUAUUUGAAAGCAACCUUUAUUUGACUUGAGACUUUUUUGUUCAAAGAUCUAAGUGUAAAUGUGCUUUAAAUUUAACCCGGCUUGAUUUUGGAUGAUAAGUCGCCAACAUAUGAGAAUCAUCAUAUAUUUGGAAGUGUUGGUUUCCAAAGAUUAGGUUAUCACCCUUACUGUUCGGGUCACAUAAACCGGCAGUACAAAACUCAAAGAUCACAGGUAUGGUAUUAUAGUUGUGUUUCAAAAUUAUAUUUCACAACAGGCUUAUCUGUGAUUCUUUUCUCCAUAUUAAUGGUUAUAUGUAAAAAUAUUAUGACCCGCCUUGCGGUAAGCCGCCAAGGGACCUUGUGAUCUAUUUCUGUGUGCAGGACAAUUCAGAGACUUGCUAAAGCAUAAGGAAAACUGAUGAUAAGGGCGAAUAUAAGAUGGCGGAUUAACAGUGUUAAGCACUAAAUACGUGCACAAUGGCAUGGCAAAACAAAGUUAUUUCUACCCUAUUACAUGACUCCCCAAGUCCAAAAAGGUUAAUAUUGUUUUUCAGCAGAUCACAUGUAUGAGCCGCCUGGCGGAUUAGUUCUCGUGUUGACCCGAAGCGUCCGGGUCAGCCCUCUCCACUUCUUCGCCCUGUUCCCUUUCCUGGAAGGUUGAUGAUGACCAGUCAAUGCCAUUCAAAGCUUCAAAUUCAGCUUCAUCAUCAAUUACUCGGGCCGGGUCAACUUUAGGGGCGAAGGUAUGCUUACGGAUUGGGGGGAUCAGGCUGGUCACUUCAUAAUGUGGCAUGGGAAUUCUUCGGUUAUCUGCGUCAUAACCCGGCUGAUACUUGGUGAGAUCUGCUUCAUCAGCUAUCAGGGUAGCCACGGGGCGUAUCUCCUUCACACAAGUGGUGAAGUCUUCCUGGUCAAAGGGAGUGCCAUCCUCCUUAAAGCUUGGAUAACCAGUGGCGAUGUCGGCCGGGUCUAACUCCGGUACCCAAGCUUUGGCCCGACUUAAGGCAGCCACGACUCCGGCUCUUGCAGACGAUCGUCUCAUUUCAGUGAAUCACUGGGGCAGCACAAAGAGUUUCCUUAGCACAUCUACCAAGAGUAAGGGCACUUCAUUGGACAGGGACACUAUGGAUAAGGCAUGCUGAGACCCGGUGUAGAGUUGUUCCACCAGCGUGUAAACCGCCUUCAGCUUGAUCAGCAUAUCUUUGUUAAGAUUUGAACUUCUGGGGCCGGCAUAAGCAAUGUCAGGUGAGUUAAUGACAAGUUAUAUGAUCACUACAAGGAUUCACAUAUUUGACACUUGCAGGGUGACUUACCAAAGAUUGCUGAGACCAUCUGAGAGACAUGGCACUUUAAGCCAGAUAAUUCAGCGGUCGCCUCUUCAAGAGCCGCCUCUGCCUUCUCAGCUCGAUUGAUCAAAACAAUCUUUUCGUUAGCAUAGACCUUUUUCUCCAUUUCAAAGUCUUUUUUCAGUGUCUCUUGUUUAGAUAUACUGAAUUCAAACUUGGAGUUGGCUCUUUGGGUUUCUGUCUCUUGUGCUUCCAGGCGGUUCUUCAAAUUAGAUACUUCAGAUUCAAGUUGACUGGUGGUGGCUUGUACAAAUACCGGGUCAAAGUCAUGACUAUUAUCAUACAAUAUUAAGUCCCAAGCCUUUUGCAAACAACAACACUUGGCACUUGGGGGCUAAUGUCUACCGAAGAAUUUUACUUAAGUCUGCGGUUCAUGAGAGAAGUUCCAAGCACUUUGCAAGCAAGAGUACUUGGCACUUGGGGGCUAAUGCAUAUUGCUGUUAAAGUUUCUCAAGUAUCUUAUUCUAUACAAGCAUAUGAAGAACCGGCUCAACCAUGCUGAUUAAGUCUGCCCUUGGGGACUAUAGAGUAAGCCAUUUUUCUUACAUGUUAUCCAAAUAUAUCACUAAUGUUAUUUAGCUUGUUUCUAAGUCUACAACAUAUUCAUCAUAAGCAAUAGACUUGGGGGCUGGCAUAGUAAGGAUAAUCUAGUAUAGAGAAAUGAUUAUACCUCAAACUUCUGGUGCAUCUGCUUCACCAUGUCAAUUUCGACGUCACGACUGCUGUGUACUUGGCUCAUAUAGCCAGAAAAAACUUCUCCAAUACUCAUGUGAGUAUAGUCAACAACAUCAAACUUGGCCUUGAGACGUUCCAGGUGCUCUUCUUUAGCAGAACAUUUGGCCAGCACAGUUGGUCUCCCCGGCUCAACGUAGUCGGUCUUGGUGAUCUCGACGUCAGGGUCUUGAGGAUCAUCCAUCCUAAUCGGGCUAGGGACUUCUGGGUUUUCAAAGCCAUCGACGGCUCGUCAACAGGCGGGUCAGCAAUUGGCGUCGGCGUGUCAUGAGCUGGCUCAAGUGGCAGCUCAUGAGUUGAGGUUUUAGGUGCGGUCGUUCCAAAUUUCAGCUCUUCGGCUGGUUUGUUCUUCUUCACCUUUUUGCUGGGCUUUGCUUUUCCACUGCAUAAGAUCAAAAGGUUAGUGCAAAUACAACAAAUUGAAAUGAACACAGGAUAAGCAGGUUGUUAUUACGCCAGAGCAGUUUUGAAAGCCGGCAGAUUUGACUGCAUUGAGUCGCCAGAGGAAGGUGAAGUUUCCUGAUAAUUUGAGUCAUAAGAAUUGAGUGGUUGACGAGUGAGACCCGCCAAAUGGUAAAAGGGGUUUAAAUCAGAGGUGACUUCAUUCUGGCGCUUCCUUGGGGUAUUCGGUAAGCCGGAGGAGAGUUACGCAUCCUUGCUGGUCCGGGUCUGCCUCCGGCUCUCAUGAAUCUGUCGCUUCAAAAGAAAUUGAGGAUCUUGAUAAGCUAAGGGAUGUGAAAAUCUUACUUUCUGGGUUACUCGUCGGAUUUUCUAUCUUGCAAAGGCUCGGAGUCAGAGGAAAUGAUAGUUACCUCUUCAUCCUUUCCAUGACUUGUUCCUGUGUCCUCCUGCUAAUAAUCAGUAUCAAUAAGAUGGUUAAAAAAGGAGCCAAGAGAGUCAAGGGCUACCUCCGACUCAGAAGAAUCUUCUAGCUGAAGCAAGUCAGGGGCGGUGGCCUUCUUGCCCUUCUUCCUCGCAGCCUAUUUCCUGGCGGCUCUCUUGGCCUUCCUGGCUUUCUUCGUAGCCUCAUGAUCAUAUUUAACCUUCCAGAAUUUAUCACAAUCCUGUGAAAAUCAGCAAAAGUAUGAGUAUAGAUGAAACAUCAAAAUAUGAAGGUAAUUUAUUCCGAUGGGCGGCGGCUUCCCGCUGGAGCUGGGUUAGCUUCGCAGAAGGGGCUUAAGCCCACCUUUUCGCAGUCUGCUAGGCUUUCAUUCAGGAGAGACUUGGUCAUGUCGUUGAUGACGUGGUCAGGCAAAUCGUCAGAACUAUGCCGCAGAUGGUCAUCUUUCUUGCCUGUGUAGGUGCACAUCAAGCCGGGGCGGCGGCUCAAUGGAACGACCCGCCAAGCGAGCCAAACCCGGACUAAGUCGAUGCUAGUUAGCCUGUUCCCUAGAAGAGCCUUGGUUUUAGCCAGGGUGGGGGCGAGUAUCUUGCGUUCGGCGACUGUUAUCUUGUCAGGAAGUGGAUGUUUGGACUCCAUAGGCAGAGCACGAAAGCCGGGCAGAGGAUUUUCAUCAGCCCGCGAGGUGUCUUGACAAUAGAACCAUGUCUGGUUCCAAUCUUUGGGAUGACCUGGUGGGUUGGCAUAAAGAAAAGUUACAUCUCUCGGGCAUUGGAUUGAGACACCACCAAGUUCCAAGCUUUGUCCAUUGGCACACUCAUUCUGGCGGUUCAAAUAAAAUAACUCUCUGAAGAGUAGUAUGUUGGGUUCUUCUCCAAGAUAUACUUCACUGAACACUUGAAAAUUGCAAAUAUUAAACACGGAAUUGGGUCCGAUGUCCCGAGGACGGAGGUCAAAAAAGUGCAGGACGUCCCUAAAGAAUUUUGAGCCGGAUGGUGAAAAACCCUUGUUCAUAUGAUCAGUGAAUACAAUGACCUCCCCCGCUUUGGGCUGGGGAAUUUCCUCCGUCGGGUCAGGAGCACGAUAUGACAUAACUUCCUUCUUCGGUAGAUAGCCGGUCAUCACAAAAUCAUCAAGCGUACUGUCUGUGAUGAUGGAUUUGACCCAGUUGCAUGAAGUGGGUUGUUUUGGUGCCAUUGUGAUGAAAGCCUAAGAGAGAGUAAAAUUUUCUAGUUCAAAUUUAAGCUGGAGAAAAGCAUUAUAGUGCAUAUUCAAGAUGGCGGCUUAUAAAGGGGCCUAAUGGUAUAAGGCUAAUUAUGUCAGAUUAUUUAAGCCGCCAUGGGUAGUCAUGAUUAUCAAUUGAGCGUUGCCUUUUAAGCCGGUGAUGAGAGUCGCCAUGGCUAGGUGGAUCUAACAAAUACAGUUUAGCCUAAGUGUUGCAUAAACAAGUUUCACAGUUUGCAGCUAUUAUUUUGGAUCAAACGACUGUUUAGAAAAGAAAAUAUUCUAGACCUAAAAACAAAGUACAGAUGAGUUCAUUAGUUAUAAUGAGGCCUUUUUACAAGAAAAAGGGAUCUGCUAGUAUUGAAAAUGGACGCGAAACAGCUACCGCAUGAGUUUCAUACUUCUUUUGGAUCAAAGGAGGUUGCGGUGAAGAAACUACGAAGAACCCGUGAUGAACAUCAAAGAAUAUAGGAGAACUCGCAAACCCUAAUGUAGAUCUAAGGGGCGGAAAGAUGAAGACUUAUGAUUGCAGAUCUACUGUGGAGGGUCGCCGCCGUUCUCUGGACUGAUUCAGGUCGAUGCAACGGCCGAGGUCGAGGAAGAAGAGGUGCACUACAGCGGCGGCGGAGCUUGAGUACCAGUAAGGUUGCAAGAGGAAGAAGAUGAGCAAGGGGAGAAUGAGGAAAGACAUAGUCGUGUCUAUUUAUAAGAGAAGACUGAUAAGUGGGUGCAAAAAACGAGGAGGCCGAAAAAAGGGUUAUCCAGCUACAAGGACGCCUCGAUUCUCGGGAUGGUCAUUAAGAUAAGGAUCCACUGAGAUGCGUUGGAUAAAAACAUGCAUUAAUGGCAGGUGACAUCAUGGCGGGUUACCACAAAUUCAAAGGAUGACGUCAUGGCGGGUUACAAAAAUUUCAUACAAGCAAAGAAGCAGAAGAUUUUUCUUUAGUGUUGAAGAUUGACAUGAACCAGUUCAAAUCAAACUGGGGCCUCAUGUUGGGGGUAUAACUAUUAGGUAUGAACCGCCCAGGAGGGGCCGAGUUAUACAUAUGAAGACUCUUGAAGCCCAAGACAAGGCUUGAAGAUGGCGGUUCAGUUAAGGGCCCAAGGCCUAGAGGCGACUUAAGGCCCGUAGAGAUAAACCGCCAUAUGUACAUGACUUGUAUCGUAAGGCAAGAAUAGUUAGAGACCGAUCCGGACACUGUUUAUGAGCCGGCCGGGACUCUGUGAGCCGCUGGGCGUCGACCUCUGUAUAUAAAGGGACGACCCGACGGCGGUUCAGGGCAAGUAAGAUCAGAUCGAGAUCUAGGUCAAGCGAUUUUGCUCCCUGGUAAUCGAGACAUAAGCAAUCCCACUCAAAACUAGAUCGUAGGCUUUUACCUUCAUCGUAAGGGGCUGAACCAGUAUAAACCUAGUGUCCUUUGUCCCGAUUAACCCCUUUAAGAUUCCUAGUUGCGAUGGCUCCAUGACUAAGUCCUUCCACUAGGACAUCUGACGUGAAAAUUCCACGACACAUCACUUUGAACUUUUGAGGGACAUCAAAUAUAUGCAGCAAGUUGAUGAAGUGUCCUCUUAUCAUUCUGUGAUCUCCAUAUUUUGACAAAAGAGUGUGCCAUAGAAUGGUAUUUAUAGUAGGCAGCCCUGACAGCAAGUGCUUCACUAAGCCAAACUUGUGAGUUUCCAGGUUUGCAUCAGGAAUCUCUUUGUACAUGCUUGCCAUUGAGUUAUGGUCUUUCUUCUUCUUGGCAUACACAUCCAAGUCAUCUUCAUGAUAUUCUGGGGCAUUGAUCAAUCUAGCCCACUCAUCAACUUUGGACUGGUACCUUGUACCCUCUGACAUCCAUACAAUUCUUCCAUCUGGAUAGAAAUGAGUAGUAGAGUAAAAUUGCAUGAUUAGUUCAUAAUUCCACUUUGUGAGAUUCUGGCCAACAAACUUGUCCACUUCGCAGGCCUUGAAGCUGUCAUAAACACCUAGGAAGUGAUCUUCAUUUUCUCUAAUGUAGGUCCAGUCAACUCAUCUCAUGUCACACACCAUGGGCUUCUUGUCAAGCAGGAUUGUCUCAUAGAAAUCUUGCUGUUCCUUUGUGUGGAACCUGUAAUCCAUAGCAGUUCUCCUCCUUACAGCAUAUGGGUCAUUCUUCCUCUGCUGUCUCAGUCCUGCAUCCUUCUUGAUCCUCAUGUCUUCUGCCACUGGAUGUGCAUCAUUGUGGCCUGGGAUAUUUGGAUUUAGUUUCCUUAGCACUUGGGCUUCAGCUUCCUCUUCAACUUCAGGCACUGGGGCCUUGUUCUUCUCCUCAGCAGGUAUGUUCCUUGUACUCCUCCUGGGUGCAGUCUUCGUGGCUGGAGCAGCAGCUUUGGGAGUAUAUUUGGGCUUAGCAGCAGCCCCUGACUUAAUAGCAUCUCCCAUGAGCUUUUGUACCUUAGGUGCUGGAGCAGCAUCCUCUUCCUCUUCAUCAUCAAAUCUCACCAUAGUAGACUUUCCAAGUACUUUAGUUGUUGUUGUUCUUGCCCUCUUCUUCUUCUUGUCCUCACCAGCUGCCUCUUCUUCAGAUUCAAUGGUGAACUUCAUAGUUUCACCUAUGGCAACUUUCCUUGGCUUGGAUGUGGGCACUCUCCUUGCUGGUGCCUUUUUGUUCAUGCCUAGAUUAGUUGAUGCAGUAGUGCCAAACUCUUUCUUCACCACUUUCUUCUUGGUAGUGGCCUCAUCCUCAGCUGCAACAUAGUCUUCAUCCUCUGAUUCAGAAGUUCUCUUCUUCCUUGCUCUAGUAGCUGCCUUGGGCAAGUUACUAGGUGUGCUCCUGCUGCCCUCAUCAUAACCGCUGGAGGUACUAGUGCCCUCACUCAACUGCUCUUCCUGUUCAGACCUGUUCUGGCUGUCAUUCUGGUCAGACAUCUUGCAGGCAAACUAUUAGCAGACCCUGUGAAUAGGUUUUAGAUGAGGUAGAGUAGAUGAGCAUCACAAAGUACAGAGAUUUUUCAAAUCAAAUUGAGUCAAAAACUUAGUUUUAGUUCUCUACAGAAGUGAUCUCGGAGCUAUCGAAUUGACAAACUCGAUAAUACCGAAGCAACACUUGGAACCUAAACUACUGAACUCGGUUGGACCGAGUCAUAGUACGGUGGCACCGAGAUUGCUAGGGUUUCACAGAAUCCUGAACUCGGUUACACCGAUUUGCAAUUUUCGGUCAGACAUAAUAGAGCAUGUGCAAUGGCCUAAGCCAAAUCGGUGAGACCGAUUUCUAUGACUCGGUCGGUCCGAGAUGAGUUCUGCGGAGAGCAAACCCUAAAAUUUUCGAAUCAAUCUAGGCCUAAGGGAGAUUUAGCUGGAUAGAUUAAUCUCAUUCGUGGAAAGAAACAUGGCAUUGUCCUUGUGUUAGGAAUCGAAGUUAAAAAGACAACACAAGGGGUCAAACAUGUACCCUAGAGCGGCGAGUGUUUGCUACGGUAGCGACGGCGGAGCAGAAUCCAUUGACGACGGCAAAUUCCAACGACAGGAGGUCAUUGGUGGCGAGAAGACGAUCCGGAGACCUGAGGAGGCAGAGCAGGACACGCGCGGGCUGAGAGGAUUUGAAGUAAUUUUCAAAAUCUCACCCAUGGGUAUAUAUAUCCCGACCCCUUCGAUGUGACCGAGUGGAACAACUCGGUGGCACCGAGAUUGCAGAAUCGCAAGCGGUUGCUGCAACUCAGUGUGACCGAAGUGUUCAAAUCGGUUGCACUGAGAUGAAAACCUAGAUCAACUUAGUGAACUCGAUGUGACCAAAAUGUAUGUCUCACUCAGACCGAAAUGCACAAAGAGGUUUUGGAAGUUUAAGUCUAUGACGAAUCGGGGACUCCGAGUGCUCCUCACACAAAGUGGUUCGAUCUGACUUGAUCAAACUUUGUGAGGUAGCAUGAAUAGAGUUUGAGACAAGAGAAGCAUAGAUAGCUAGAGAAGGUUCUUAGGCAUUAUUGUCCAUCCACUUGGCAAAAGAAAAGAGGAAACCAAAUAAACAAAACAACAAGUGGAUGCCCUCGCAUGAGUGAAAUAUGCAAACGACAUGCUCACACAAUAAGAUGGCAAAUGAAACGUGUCAAAGCAUGCACAACCAAUUAUAGCAUCUAUCAAACAAUUGGCGAUGACUAGGUCAUCUAUAUAUGAGUAUAUUGACUUAGGAGUCAAAUGAGAACAUUUGAUCAUAGGUCAUACUCAUCGUUUAAGCACAAGUGGGGUUACCACUUUUACAUAAAGAAUUGUUGUGUUCACACCAUUAGAGUUGCUUUAGCUCAAUUCUCUAGAGUAAAGCUCCCCUAGAUGUGAGAUCCCCCCUUAAGAGGGAUGAACUAACCUUGGGUUUUGUCGAUGAUGAAUUCAUGUAGGUGUUGAAGAUGUGGAUGCUCAAUUUUAUUGUAGAUCACUUGGAGCAAUCCAUUGGAGUGAGUUGCACUUUCAAUACCUUGUCCCUUGUCUUACCAACAAGAGGGUUUGUGACUCCUUGAACUAGUGCAAGAUGUGGAAGUUGAUUGCACUUGUCCUUGCCAAAAUGAUGUGAGUGAAGUAUAUUGGCGGAGUCACCCUCAAGAACUCUCUAGUCCUUCUUAUUUGGGAUCCACAUCAUCUUGAUGGGAAUCCUUGGGGUUGUAGUGGAACUUGAUGAAGUAGAACUUGAUGUAGUCUUGGGAACCCACUUGACCAAGUCCUUGGGAGCUUCUUAAAAUGCAUCAAUCUCCUCUUGAAGCUUGUCCUUGCCUCUUUGCUUGUGGUCUUGUGGUGGAAGAUCAUCUUGAGCUUGUGUCCCUUGGAAAGAAGUAGGAUCAAACUUCUAUUGUUGGGGAACAAACUUCGUCUUGGUGUAUUGAUCUUCUUCCCACUCAACUCCAUUGGAAUUGAACUUUCGUUCAAAACCAACACCUUGAUUCUUCCGGUGCCUUCCUUGCUUGCGUACAAUUUCCUCAAAUUGCUUACUUCCAGCAAGGCUCUUGUAGACACCCUUCUCUACAAUUCCCUUCAAUAAGCUAUUUUCUUUCUCAAGUGUAACUUGGCUAAGAGAAUCAUUAGUGGAAUCAAUAGAACUACUAGAAGCAACAAACAUUGGAUUUAGCAUGAUUAUUGUUACUACUAGAAGAAGAAUCUUUCUUACUCUUGUUGCUAGAUUUUACUUGAGGCACGUGCGUAGAUAAGAGUAAAUGCUUGGCAAUGUAAGAAUAACUUUUCUUGCGAAGAUCAUCAUUGAUUGCCUUUAAAAACUCAUGCUCUUGCUCAAGGUUGAGAUUUUCAAAGCAUAACUUCUCAUGAGUCUUUAAAAGUUCUCGAUGAUCUUCCAAGAUAGUUUCAUGAGCUAACUUAAGAGUUUUUAGUUAUUUAGUUAGAUGCUCAAUCUUCUCCUUAUCAUCGUCAUUCGUUUUAUCUUGAUUAGCAUGAUUAAUUGACGUUUCAUCAUAGUAUUCAUCACUACAGUUGUCAACAAGUAAAUCAUCAUCACCUAACAAGUCAUCUUCAUCACUAUUGAAAUCAACAUACUCGGGGUGUGAUACCCCUGGGCCUUUAGCCAUGAAGCAUCUUCCAAUUCCUUCACUUGGUGAGUCAAAUAUGUCGUAGGAGUUGGUUGACACAAGUGCUAGACCGGCAACACCUUCAUCUUGAGUAUAUUUGAAGUCAAAGUGAUAGCUUCUCUCGGAGUGAUGGUCAAAGUCGGAGUCGGAUACCCAUUCACCAACAUGAGCUUGAUGUCUUUGCUUUGUGUAGCUCUUUGAUGAUUCUUCGUUCAUAACGAUCAUCUCCACUCCUCCUCUCUCUUGGUGGUGAUUCUUCUCUUCUACUUCUCCUUUUGGGUGAAUCUUCUCUCCUUUUGUAAGGAGCCGUACACUCAUUGGAAUAGUGUCUGUGACACCCCAAAAUUUUAACCUUUGUUUUAUUAAUUAAAUUUUUUCCAGGAAACUUAAACUUUUGUUUUCUGGAUUUUCUUUUGAUUUUAGAACCUUUCUUCCCUUUAUUUUUUAUGGAGUUUUUACCUCAUGUGAAAAACUUCCCAAUUUUAUUGGACUCAUUUUCCCUCUCAAAUAAAACAAUUCUUUUAUUAGUGGGAUUAUUUGCAUAAUUAUUUUUCCCCGAUGCCUUAUUUCUUUAAAAAUGAUUUUUUUAGCUUCAGGGCCUCUUUUGCACUACAACCAUUUGAUAAAUUCAUUCAAAAAUUCCACAAAAAAAUUGGAGAUGUCAUGUGAUGUUUUUAAAACACUUUUAUGCAAAAAUAUAUUUCAUUCCUUGGAAACUUUGAGUUCUGCACCAAGUUUUCAAAUCUGUUCCAGUGGACAGUUUUGCACUACAGCCUAAUUAAAUAUUUCUUUAAAGCCUCCACCAAAAUUAUGGGAUGUCAGUGGUAGCGUGCCAUCCAACUUUAUGCAAAAACCUAGUGUUGUUCUUUGGAAAAAAUUGAGUGAAUCAACCUCUUUUUCAUUCUGGACCAGCCUUGUGUUUUCUACUGCAACCCUAUUUAUUUUUGCCCUAGUGACCUUGUGCUUUCACCUGCUUCUAGUCAACCCUGCAAAACCCCUAAGUCCAGGAGCAUGCACCCUUUGGGACAUUUUUGGUUCAUAUAAUGAUGCCAUUUACUCCCUGUCCAGAAUUGAAGUUUUGCAAAACUUGCACUAGCAAGUUUCUUCAAUUGUAAAACUAACCUCACCACCCUCUCUUGCAUCUAAAGAGACCCCACUCUUGAAGUUUUGACCACCCCAAGUACUUCCUAGAUGCCUCUGGCAUUUUGUCGAACACCCUGUGUGUAUAGACAUAUUUGGCAUGGUUGAAGGUUUUGUGUUGUGAACUUUUCCCUUGCCCCAAACCAAGUUGUCCAGUAGCCUUCUGCAUGCCUCUAACCUAGUCCUGUGGAUUUGUGGUGGCUCUCUAGCAACUUUAGUUGCCCUGGCAUUUCGUCAAACGAGUGCCGUGCACGCCCAGAGCGUGAGCAGAGCACGCGUUUUGCACGUGCUCGCGCCCGAGCCAACACACCCCCUGGAUAAGUUUCCCCAAGCUCAUCCAAAUUCUCUCCCUCUCGCCACGUCACGCUAGAAGCCCCGACCGCCUCCUCGCCCCCUGCAGCGCUGCCAGCAAGCCGCUUGGCAGCACGCCCGCGGCCGCAUCCGCCACCGCCAUGGGCAGCACCGCCCAAACCACCACAACGCGCCAACUCGCCUCCUUCGACAGUGGAGUGAUCGUCGUUAGCCCCUGGAGCUAGCCAGCCACCGCCACGUUGCUCUGCAGCACAAUAGGGCGGUCCGCCGACGAGCUCAUCCACGGCCGCCGCGAACCGACUUGAAAGCGCUAAAAAAGGAAGCCCCUCGAGCUCCUCCGAGCACACAGGCAGCCUCACACCAUUCCCCUAGUGCCCCGUUGCCAUCAAUUGAAGAGGAGAAGGCCAUCUUCAACCUCUCCGGUCAACUCGGCCGCCGCCUCGUUCCGGUUCACCCCGGCGCCACCAGGGCCUCCCCCACCUUUCCAUCACCACCACUCGGCUCCACAUCGUCUUGCGGAGCCACCCAGACCCCAAACAAUGAUGGAGCGUCACCCUAGCCCAAACCCCCAAAUCCAUCGAAGCUUUCCUCUGCCGCAGAGCUCACCGUCGGCGAUUUCCUCCACCUCCGACGACUCUACAACCACCAGGAGGACCGCCGCUGAUCCGCGGAUCCAUCCCCGUCCUCAACUCCCCGCGAGGAACCUCCGUUCGCCGGCGACAGUCGCCGGAGUCCCGCCUGUGACACUCCAAAAGUUUUGUGAAUUUUUUUUUCCAGAAAGAGCCUUGCUUGGUUUGAAAGAAGGUCAUUUAAACCCUUCCUAAAAACCAUCUUCUAAGUUUGCCCUCUCAAAAAUCUUUUUCUUGAAUUUAGUUUCUUUUAAAAAGAAAACCUUUUUGAUUUUUGGUCUUUCAUUUGAUUUUUAUCCACUCUGGUUUUACCAUGCCUCCUAUGGUAAAACUCCCCCAAAAACCCCUCCACCCACUUUGGUACUACCCAAGCAUUCUGUCCAAACUAAUAAAAUCCAUUUUUGGAUUUUAUUCCAAUUAUUUCUCCUUCCAAAAUAAUUCUGUCUUUUCUUUUGGGCCUAGGUGAUUUGCAAAGCAAGUACCCUAAUGCUUUUGACUUUUGACCUCAACUCAACACCCCUGGAUAGUCCUUUGUACCCACAACCCAGAACCAUCUUGAUCCACUCCUCUCCUUUUCAAAUAUUUCAAAUUUCACUCACUGCAAGUUUGGACCAGAUUUGCCAAAUUUGGUGAAAUUCAUAUCUACACCUCUCCAAAAAUUCCACAAAUAUUCAGGCAGCCUCUAGAUGCAAUGAGAGGCCCCUCCACCAAAAACCAGCUCAGGGAAAAAUCCCUACAUGCCUAGAUCAUUCUGUCGAACACCUUGCAUGCACUGUUUCUGUUCAUCUUCAGUUAAGUUCAGAGUUUCAGUGUCGAUCUUCGUCAAAAAUUCAGUCACAUGCUCACAGUGCUCUUGGCACGUUGCUCGCAGCCUGGCCUGCUUGUCUGGAGCUUCACACGCGCGCUUGGCGCCUUCCUGGUGUCGGCGGCGCCCUGGCCCACCUGCGCCGGCGUGCUUUGCGGCGGCCGUAGCACCGUAACGGCCGACAGGGAGCAAAACGGCGGCUCAACGCCGUUCGGUGCCGCCCAAGCGUCCUCGUAGCUCUGUGUGGCCACCUCCUUGCCAGCGCACGCAUGCGGCACCGUAGCCGUGGCCUGACACGCGCAGAGCACGUUCUCUGCCGUCGACGGGCCGUGUGGCCGUUCCGUCGAGGGAAGGCCGUAAACCUUCCUCCCGUGCUGAGCUGGACCCUAAAAUGGCACCACUACUCCACCUAGGCUAUGCUCAAGCUCCGAAGCCGCCCGUCCAGCCACAGCGCCGCCGUAAUCAACUCGCCGGACUUAUCCGUUCGCGGCAACCGACUCGGGCCGGCUAUAUAUAGCACCCCCGAGCCUGCUCUAGCCCCCACACGACUCCACCACCUCACUAGACCCCGCCUAGCCACUGGGAGAGCCACGAGGGGCCCUUCUUCCCCGACUCCGGCCGCCCCGUUCCGCCACGGCCUCCACCUCGAUUCACUCCGUUGAGGCCGUCUCCGACGCCCUAACUUCGUCAGCAACCCUCUCGAGCAACUAGGAGACUAACCCCCACUCCUAUUUGAUCACCGCAGCUUCCCUCCGGCGAGAUCCACGACUGCCCGAACCGCCGUCCGCCGGAGCAAGGGCCGCCGUCGACACAGUGCUCGCCGGCGACCACCACCACCUCCCACAGACGGGGAAUGGCGCCCUGAACACGGAGGUACUCUCCGAUCUCCCUGCCUCACCGUGGAUCGCCGCCGGCGACCAUCGUGGCUCUCGGGCGCCGACGAGCCCCGACUCCCUCGUUUGAAAUUUCAAACCUGACGGGUGGGACCCGCCCGUCAGCCUCUCCUUUGUUUUUUUUGAAUCGUUUACUGAAAGCGUACUCUGGCAAAUACGCUUCCACUCUGAACCGUUUUUCUGGAUUUUUCUGCAAAGCCCCCUGGAAGUUUUCUGUUUCAUUACAAAUGGGUCCUUGGGUUAAAAACCUUAUAACCUUUUAACAGAAAGGAAUUUUUGAGUGAUUCUUUUUCUGUCCUCUUCAAAUUUUUGUCUAGUUAUUUAUCAUAUUUAUUUGAAAAAUAUUUGGAACACUUUUAUGUACACUCACGGUAUUUACGUUGCGUACGUAUUUUUCUUAUACUAUAGAUACCGGAGGAGGUGACGGAGCUGCAAACUUCGCACAGUUAGACUCCGACUACUCCGAGCUAGGAAAGCAUGUUUGAACUCUUGAUAUGAUGAGUGGUGUUGCAUGUUUGCAUUUUAGUAUGGUCAUGGCAUGUUUAUGAACAUCACUUUGAAUGUUAUAUUUCAUGCACAUAAUCGGAAAGUAAGUUUCGGAAAGCAUUAUGUUGUUGGAUACAUAUUUUCAUAGCCAUGUGUUGGCAUAAGGAUGGGUAAGAUGGCAGUGUUGUGACAUGCUAGUCUUAUGCCAGAUUAUUUGACUUCCAUGUCAUCGUGAAACAAAUCACAUUCCCAUUCAUUCCUUCCUAUACUGUCAUAUGUUUUCCGAAAGGAUUAUGGCAUAGUAAGUUGCAAAUCGUUUUCCUGGUACACACCAAAUAGAGAGGCCAGGGUGAGGGUUCCAUGGCCCUGGAUUAAAGCCCGUCAUCCGGUCAGGGGGCAUGGGUGUUUCCGGUUGGGACCGAGAGGGGGGCAACCCUUAGAGCGCGCGUAUAGAAAUUUGAUCCCAUGCUAUUCGAGGUUGUGGCCUCCCCGUCUCAAAGUUUUUCUUGGACAUCGUCCAGGGUGAUUCCUGGCAUCGUAAGGUGAAAUGGGUGUGUACUAGUUAAAUGUGUUUCUACUGAAAUACCGUAAACGGAACUAGUCCUUCGUGACUACAGAAAUCCGUUGGCCGUGGUCAGUUCAUCCAAACUCUGCAGAGUCUCACAUCUUUCAAUUAUCUUGUGCUUUGUCCAAAUUCUAUAUUCAUCUUAUCUUGUCAGGUAUCAACCUCAGUGACAAAAACUCCGGUGGGAUUUAUGUGUGAUAAAUCUGGUUAAAAGAUUAUUCUUGUGGAUGGACUAAUCUUGUUAUUUACAUUGAUUACAAGCCCUGUCUGCGAUGUCGCUCAGACGUCCGACGGUGGCAUACCUGUUAUUUACUUUUGUUAUAGGCCCUGUCUGUGAUGUCGCUCAGACGUCCGACGGUGGCAUACCUGUUAUUUACUUCGGUUAAAGCCCUUUAUGUGAUGUCGCCCAGACGUCCGACUGUGGCAUUUCUUUUAAAGCCCUUUAUGUGAUGUCGCCCAGACGUCCGACUGUGGCAUUUUCUUUUAAAGCCCUUUAUGUGAUGUCGCUCAGACGUCCGACUNNNNNNNNNNNNNNNNNNNNNNNNNNNNNNNNNNNNNNNNNNNNNNNNNNNNNNNNNNNNNNNNNNNNNNNNNNNNNNNNNNNNNNNNNNNNNNNNNNNNNNNNNNNNNNNNNNNNNNNNNNNNNNNNNNNNNNNNNNNNNNNNNNNNNNNNNNNNNNNNNNNNNNNNNNNNNNNNNNNNNNNNNNNNNNNNNNNNNNNNNNNNNNNNNNNNNNNNNNNNNNNNNNNNNNNNUAAAGCCCUUUAUGUGAUGUUGCUCAGACGUCUGACUGUGGCAUUUCUUUUAAAGCCCUUUAUGUGAUGUGGCUCAGACGUCCGACUAUGGCAUUUCUUUUAAAGCCCUUUAUGUGAUGUCGCUCAAACGUCCGACUGUGGCAUUUCCUUUAAGCCCUUUUUGUGGUGUCGCUUAGACACCCGACUGCGGCAUGCAUUUUAUUUAUUUACCUUUCGAGGCGUCGCUCCAGACACCCGAUCAGUUUUCAGUCAUUUAUUUUAUUUAUCAAGUCCUGCAAUAUUAUCAUUGAUAUAUGAGCAUCAUCCUUUAUUCAUGACGCAUUCAUGCAUUCAUUAAUUAUAUCUUUUGUCCGAACUGUCUUGCGAGUACUUUCAAAGUACUCACCUAGCUUGUUGAUUUGGCCAGAUGUUGAUGAAGGCGAUCUGAUGGAUGAAGAGUUUGAUAGCGAGUCCGACGCCUAGAGGAGUCCCAGUCAGUCCCGUGCGAUCCUGUUUUGAUCACUGUAUUAUCCGCUUCCGCAACCCCAGAAUAAAAUUCAUCGAGCCUCACCUCGACGCUCGAUGAGCUGCCAGUUAGGAGUCAAGUUAUCCACCACUUAUCAUCGAGCUAGUAGCAUGCCACCACACCCUUGUGUCAUAACCACCCUUAUGUAAGAUAUUGGCGAGUUUGUAAUAGAUUGUUGAGCAGCCUUAGCUCAGCCCUGUAAUAUAUUUGAUGCUACUGGUUCUCUAUUUAUCAAGCUUUGUCUACCAAAAGGAUGACUUUUCCUAUACUGGGAUUUAAAGAUCGAUUUUCUCAAUAUUUAUUUAUUGAAAAAAGUCGGUCAUGACAGACUUGGUAAUCAGAGCCAGGCUGACUGUAGGAAGCCACUAGGUGCGAUCGCUAAUUUAAUUAUUAGCAUGACAGUGUUUAUUCUUGUUUUUACAAAAGGUAGUCAUCUUUCUGACAGUCAGCAUAAAAAUUUAUGAUUUGAUCACUCAGAAUUCUUGCCUACUUUUGUAGAUGGCCGGCAGCGACUGCGAGUCUCAAAUGUUCGCCAACGUGCCAGAGGGGUUCGUCAAACUCCUCUCCUUCAUCGUUCAGGUCGCAAUGGGGCCAUCCGUGCGCCCAGUCUUCACGCUUUAUCCACACAAGAUCAAUGACAGUCUGACCAUGCACCAAGCCGCGGUGCAAUUCAGGGGAGGGCGUGUUGAGAUGCGCCGCUUCCGUUUCUUGGGGAGAGCCAUGCCGACAGAGAGGCAUGCUAUGCAGAUGGCAGCCCACGAGGCGAUAUCUCGUCUUCGGGAUGUCCUUCCUGCAAUGAAGACCCGUCGCUAUCGCUACCUUCCAUGCCAUGUGCCUUACACCUGUCACUACUCAUUCUCUUGCCCCAAAUGAGAGCAAGACGAGGCCUUUGAGAUGCUUGUCGAGUACCUCCGAGCCCUGGAGGUAGCCUUUGACAGCAUGGUGGACAACCUCGUAGUUGUCCGCAUGGACUCAGUUCAUGGCUGUGCUGCUAACAGGAGGGAACUCCUACACACCGCUCCACCGCUGACCUUUAUCUCGUCCUCAGCUUCUCAUUCGCCUACCAUCCUCGCUACUGCACAUCGUCUGCCUACCACUGAGGAAUUCAACCAGGCUAUUGCACCCACUCCCAUUCACGCUGCACCACCUUUUGCACCCACUCCCAUACGUGCUACUCCACCUAUUCCGCCCACUUUUAUUCAGGGUACUCCGCCUACGGCACUUGCUCCAUCAGCUCAGCGCAGCGUUCUUCGUCUGGAACCUAUUAGCGAGGAGGAAGUUGAUUCCCCAACGUCACUGCGUCUCACCCUCGGCAGGCCCAGUCAGAUCCUCACCAUCUCCGACUAAGUACGCGUAGACGCCAUGCGAUGUAUCGACUUGUGUAAUAUGUUUAUAUGUACAUAGGUUGUGAGAAGUAGCCUGUUUGCGCAUCAUGUAGGAUCUGGAGGAGUGCACUAGUUUAAAUAACAUGUCAGGAUUAUGUACGCAUAUCCUGAGUGAUGUAAUGUAUAAUUAUGCCCGCGUGUAAGAUAUGUAAUAGUCCUCCGCGCGCAAUCGUGUGUUUCCAAAAAUAUCCUGGAAUUUAAAAUGUUCUUUGUGUGUGAUUUUAUGGAUUUUUGCGACUCUCUUUCUUAUCUUCGAGUUCACAAAAUAUAUCCCCAGAGUGAAAGAUGUCUCGUCCUUGGACGCGCUCCAUGCCAACUCAGCCAGAAGAAAAUUAUGGCACACCGCAGAACCACAAUUUCACUCAGGGUCAGACAAGUCAACAGGGCAGUGAAACAGCUUUUACACAAGUUUGUCAUUUGUAUGAACAGAGUCAGCAGCAACACCAGGAAAUGAUGAACCAAUUCAUCAAUAUGGGAAGUAAUCGUGGUCAGUAUCAACCGCAAUCCAAAUUAUCUGAGUUACAAAAGACGCGUCCUCCAACAUUUUCUCAUACCGACAAGCCUCUUGAGGCCGAUGACUGGCUUCGAGACAUGGAGAGAAAAUUAAUUAUCACACAGUGUUCAGACCGUGAAAAAGUACUGUAUGCACCACAUUAUCUCACAGGAGCAGCUGCAUCGUGGUGGGAAAACUUCCUGCACAUGCACCCCAACGAAAAUGAAAUCACCUGGGAAAAUUUCAAAGAAGGUUUUCGUGGGGCACAUAUUCCUAAGAGCGUCAUGAAAAUCAAGAAGAAAGAAUUUGAUGAACUCAAGCAAAGGACCAUGACAGUGUCAGAAUACAACAGCCAAUUCACUCUGCUGUCUCGCUACGCCAAUGAAGAACGCAUGACUGAGAGCAAGAAGAUGGAAAAAUUCUUGGAAGGCCUGGCACCCGCCCUUAAGUGCCAGCUAGUUGUGCAUACCUUUCCAGAUUUUAAAACACUGGUGGAUAAGGCCAUUACCCUGGAAAAUGAGCGACAUAACCUGGAAGAUUUCCGCAAACGAAAAAGGGACCAGACUACUUUUACUCGCAACCCCAGAAACAAGACGGAAAUUCAGAAGGGUAGAACACACAAAACCCCGACGGAAAAUUCACGUCCAAUCAAGAAUUUCCGUGCAAGAGACAAAGAAUUCACCUAUCGCCCAGGCGUUUCCUGUUAUGCUUGUGGAGAAGAAGGGCACUAUGCCAAGCAGUGCCCCAAGCCAAGGAGCUCAACCCCGAAGCUCAAUAAUGGUGGCAAUAAUUCAGCACCAAAGCGAAGCAAUUUCAACCCCAACAACAACCACCGGAAAGGUCACUUGAACCACGUGACCCGAGAGGAAGCACAGAAUGCCCCAGAUAUCGUACUCGGUACGUACCCCGUCAACACAAUACCUUCCAUGGUUUUGUUUGAUUCUGGAGCUUCUCACUCAUUUGUUUCGAAAAGUUUUGCUUGGCAAAAUAAUUUUUCGAUGCUUCCCUUGGAAAAAUCAAUGAUCAUCAAGUCCCCUGGAAUUAAGCAAGUGACCCGGAGUUACUGUCAAGGUGUGAUUAUUGAAUUUGAAGGAUUGAAGUUUUACGCCAACCUUAUUGUACUGGAAAGCAAAGGACUGGAUGUCAUCCUAGGAAUGGAUUGGUUAACCACCAACAAAGGUUUUAUUGACUGCUUCAACCGUACCAUGAUUCUCACACACCAUCAUGGGAAGAAAAUAAAAGUUUCAGCCAAAGAGAGACAAAUACCUCGGCAACCUAGAUUAAACAAGGUGGACGUUUCUGAGCUAAAGAAGGUUCCAGUAGUAUGUGAAUUUCCAGACGUAUUUCCAGAAGAACUACCAGGCAUGCCACCAGACCGAGAGAUAGAAUUCAGCAUUGAGCUAGCACCCGGAACCGCUCCUAUUUACAAGAAACCUUACAGAAUGGCACCAUCCGAAUUGGUAGAGUUGAAGAAGCAAAUAAAAGAAUUGUUGGAGAAAGGAUACAUACGAGCCAACUCCUCACCUUGGGGUUCUCCAAUUUUAUUUGCCAAGAAGAAGGAUGGAACAAUGAGGUUGUGCAUUGAUUAUCGAGCUCUCAACAUGGUCACAAUCAAGAACAAAUACCCAAUGCCCCGAAUAAAUGAUUUAUUCGAUCAGCUCGCACAGGCCAAAGUCUUCUCAAAAAUUGACUUGAGAUCAGGAUACCACCAAUUAAAAGUACGAACAGAAGAUAUUCCCAAGACCGCAUUCACCUCUAGAUAUGGGCUGUAUGAGUUCACAGUGAUGCCAUUCGGGCUAACCAACGCCCCCGCAUAUUUUGUUCACCUCAUGAACAAAGUAUUUAUGAAGUAUAUCGACAAGUUUGUUGUGGUAUUCAUCGAUGAUAUUCUGAUAUAUUCCAAAACACCAGAAGAGCACGCCGAACAUCUCAGGAUUGUACUCGGAGAACUCAGGAAACAUCAACUGUACGCCAAAUUCAGCAAAUGUGAAUUUUGGCUAAGGUAGGUGGGUUUUCUGGGCCACGUGCUAACCCAAGGAGGUAUUGCAGUAGACCCGGAAAAAGUCAAGGCCGUACUUGGCUGGAAACCACCAGCUAACGUAACGGACAUACAGAGUUUCUUGGGAAUGGCAGGCUAUUAUCGGAGAUUUAUUGAAGGAUUCUCCACUAUAGCAAAGCCCAUGACACAAUUGCUCAAGAAAGGCAAGAAGUUUGAAUGGACAGAAGCAUGCGAGAAAAGCUUCCAAGAGCUAAAAAGCAAAUUAACAACGACACCAGUACUAAUUGUGCCAGAUAUACACAAGAAUUUUGAGGUAUAUUGUGACGCGUCCCGGAAAGGCCUCGGAUGCAUAUUGAUGCAAGAAGGCAAGGUAGUUGCGUAUGUCUCUAGACAACUACGCAAGCAUGAGGAAAAUUAUCCCACUCACGACUUGGAAUUAGCAGCGGUCAUUCAUGCACUCAAGGAAUGGAGACACUUCCUGCUUGGGAAUCGUUGUGAGAUAUACACAGACCAUAAGAGUCUUAAGUAUAUUUUCACACAGCCAGAGUUAAAUUUAUGGCAACAACGCUGGUUAGAGUUGGUGAAGGAUUAUGAUGUUGGAAUCCACUAUCAUCUCGGAAAAGCAAAUGUUGUGGAAGAUGCACUUAGUCGAAAUCCCAGCACGGACGACGAUAAUAUACCAAAGUUGAGGCCAGAAUUUCAGCAGGAAUUUUCCCGACUCAAUCUAAUAAUGGUUACUGAAGGCAGUGUGUCGAAUAUAGAAAUACAGCCUACCCUGAUGGAAAGGAUCAAGGAAGCCCAGCAUGGACACCCCAGCAUUGAGGGCAUAAAAAGAAAAGUGAGUUUGGGAAGAGCCUCAGAAUUCAACGUAGAUGAGCAAGGAAUAUUGUGGAACAAAGAGAGGCUAUGCGUACCAAAUGUCAAGGACCUCAAAUAGUAGAUAUUGAUUGAAAGUCACACAGCUCCGUAUUCAAUCCAUCCUGGAGGGACAAAAAUGUACAAGGACCUUCAGGAAAAUUUUUGGUGGCACGGUAUGAAGAGAGAUAUAGCCACGUUCAUUGCAUGCUGUGACUCUUGUCAACGUAUCAAGGCCGAGCACCAGAAACAAGCCGGACUGUUACAGCCAAAUAAGAUACCCGAGUGGAAAUGGGACGAGAUUGGAAUGGACUUUAUCGUUGGACUGCCACGGUCACGACACGGAAACGAUGCCAUAUGGGUCAUAACCGACAGAUUAACUAAGGUGGCACAUUUUAUUCCGGUAAAGACAACUUACACCACUCAGAGACUGGCCAGACUUUAUCUUGCCCGUAUCGUCUGCCUGCAUGGAGUCCCUAAGACUAUCAUCUCUGAUAGAGGCACACAGUUCGUCUCUAUAUUUUGGGAUCACCUACAACAGGCAUUGGGAACCCAACUAGCCUUCAGUACCACAUACCAUCCCCAGACUGAUGGGCAGACGGAACACGUAAACCAAAUCCUAGAAGACAUGCUAAGAGCCUGUGUCCUCACCUACGGGAACAAUUGGGAAGAAAGUUUGCCAUAUGCAGAGUUCGCAUACAACAACAGCUAUCAAGCCAGCUUGCAAAUGGCACCCUUUGAAGCUCUAUAUGGGAGAAGAUGUCGUACCCCGCUAAAUUGGUCAGAGACCGGAGACAACCAUAUCUUUGGCCCAGAUAUGCUCAAGGAGGCCGAGGAGAAAGUUAAGAAAAUUAGAGAUCAACUCAAAACACCUCAAGGUCGGCAAAAGAGUUAUUACGACCGAAAGCAUCGGGAAAUCAGUUUUGAACCCGGAGAAUUGGUAUACCUGAGAGUUUCUCCUAUGAAGGGUCUGGAACGAUUCAAGAUUAAGGGGAAACUAGCACCAAGAUUCAUCGGACCAUUUCAUAUAGUGGCCCGACGAGGCAAGGUAGCCUACUAGCUAGACCUACCCGGAGACUUAUCCGGUAUCCACAACGUGUUUCACAUCUUGCAGUUGAGAAAAUACAUGAGCAACCCAGAGAAGCAAGUUUCACAUAAGAAUAUUGACGUGCAACCGGACCUCACUUACCGGGAGCACCCAAUAAAAAUAUUAGAAGAGUCUGAGAGGAGGACCCGACAGAAAACAAUUAAGUUUUUCAGAGUUCAGUGGAGCAAUCACACCGAGAAUGAAGCAACUUGGGAGAGCGAGGAUUUUCUUCAGACAGAGCACCCACACCUGUUUAAGGAUCAGCUGAAAUCUCAGGGACGAGAUUUUUCCUAAGGGGGCAGGUGCUGUGACACUCCAAAAAUUUUGUGAAAAUUUUUGUUUUCAGAAAGAGCAUUGCUUGGUUUGAAAGAAGGUCAUUUAAACCCUUCCUAAAAACCAUCUUCUAAGUUUGCCCUCUCAAAAAUCUUUUUCUUGAAUUUAGUUUCUUUUAAAAAGAAAACCUUUUUGAUUUUUGGUCUUUCAUUUGAUUUUUAUCCACUCUGGUUUUACCAUGCCUCCUAUGGUAAAACUCCCCCAAAAACCCCUCCACCCACCUUGGUACUACCCAAGCAUUCUGUCCAAACUAAUAAAAUCCAUUUUUGGAUUUUAUUCCAAUUAUUUCUCCUUCCAAAAUAAUUCUGUCUUUUCUUUUGGGCCUAGGUGAUUUGCAAAGCAAGUACCCUAAUGCUUUUGACUUUUGACCUCAACUCAACACCCCUGGAUAGUCCUUUGUACCCACAACCCAGAACCAUCUUGAUCCACUCCUCUCCUUUUCAAAUAUUUCAAAUUUCACUCACUGCAAGUUUGGACCAGAUUUGCCAAAUUUGGUGAAAUUCAUAUCUACACCUCUCCAAAAAUUCCACAAAUAUUCAGGCAGCCUCUAGAUACAAUGAGAGGCCCCUCCACCAAAAACCAGCUCAGGGAAAAAUCCCUACAUGCCUAGAUCAUUCUGUCGAACACCUUGCAUGCACUGUUUCUGUUCAUCUUCAGUUAAGUUCAGAGUUUCAGUGUCGAUCUUCGUCAAAAAUUCAGUCACAUGCUCACAGUGCUCUUGGCACGUUGCUCGCAGCCUGGCCUGCUUGUCCGGAGCUUCACACGCGCGCUUGGCGCCUUCCUGGCGUCGGUGGCGCCCUGGCCUGCCUGCGCCGGCGUGCUUUGCGGCGGCCGUAGCACCGUAAUGGCCGACAGGGAGCAAAACGGCGGCUCAACGCCGUUCGGCGCCGCCCAAGCGUCCUGGUAGCUCCGCAUGGCCACCUCGUUGCCAGCGCACGCAUGUGGCACCGUCGCCGUGGACUGGCACGUGCAGAGCGCGUUCUCUGCCGUCGACGGCCCAUGCGGCCGUUCCGUCGAGGGCAGGCCAUAAACCUUCCUCCCGUGCUGAGCUGGACCCUAAAAUGGCACCACUACUCCAUCUAGGCUAUGCUCAAGAUCCUAAGCCGCCCGUCCAGCCACAGCGCCGCCGUAAUCAACUCACCGGACUUAUCCGUUCGCGGCAACCGACUCGGGCCGGCUAUAUAUAGCACCCCGAGCCUGCACUCGCCCCCGCACGACUCCACCACCUCACUAGACCCCGCCUAGCCACUGGGAGAGCCUCGAGGGGCCCUUCUUCCCCGACUCCGGCCGCCCUGUUCCGCCGCGGCCUCCACCUCGAUUCGCUCCGGUGAGGCCGUCUCCGACGCCCUAACUUCGUCAGCAACCCUCUCGAGCAACUAGGAGACUAAGCCCCACUCCUAUUUGAUCACCGCAGCUCCCUCCGGCGAGAUCCACGACUGCCCGAACCGCCGUCCGCCGGAGCAAGGGCCGCCGUCGACACAGUGCUCGCCGGCGAUCACCACCACCUCCCACAGACGCGGAAUGGUGCCCUGAACACGUAGGUACUCUCCGAUCUCCCUGCCUCACCGUGGAUCGCCGCCGGCGACCACCGCGGCUCUCGGGCGCCGACGAGCCCCGACUCCCUCGUUUGAAAUUUCAAACCUGACGGGUGGGACCCGCCCGUCAGCCUCUCCUUUGUUUUUUUUGAAUCGUUUACUGAAAGCGUACUCUGGCAAAUACGCUUCCACUCUGAACCGUUUUUCUGGAUUUUUCUGCAAAGCCCCCUGGAAGUUUUCUGUUUCAUUACAGAUGGGUCCUUGGGUUAAAACCCUUAUAACCUUUUAACAGAAAGGAAUUUUUGAGUGAUUCUUUUUCUGUCCUCUUCAAAUUUUUGUCUAGUUUGUUAUCAUAUUUAUUUGAAAAAUAUUUGGAACACUUUUCUGUACACUCAUGGUAUUUAUGUUGCGUACGUAUUUUUCUUAUACCGUAGAUACCGGAGGAGGUGACGGAGCUGCAAACUUCGCACAGUUAGACUCCGACUACUCCGAACCAGGCAAGCAUGUUUGAACUCUUGAUAUGAUGAGUGUUGUUGCAUGUUUGCAUUUUAGUAUGGUCAUGGCAUGUUUAUGAACAUCACUUUGAAUGUUAUAUUUCAUGCACAUAAUCGGAAAGUAAGUUUCGGAAAGCAUUAUGUUGUUGGAUACAUAUUUGCAUAGCCAUGUGUUGGCAUGAGGAUGGGUAAGAUGGCAGUGUUGUGACAUGCCAGUCUUAUGCCAGAUUAUUUUACUUCCGUGUCAUCGUGAAACAAAUCACAUUCCCAUUCAUUCCUUCCUAUACUGUCACAUGUUUUUCGAAAGGAACAUGGCAUAGUAAGUUGCAAAUCGUUUUCCUGGUACACACUAAAUAGAGAGGCUGGGGUGAGGGUUCCAUGGCCCUGGAUUAAAGCCUGUCAUCCGGUCAGGGGGCAUGGGUGUUUCCGGUUGGGACCGAGAGGGGGGCACCCCUUAGAGCGCGCGUAUAGAAAUUUGAUCCCAUGCUAUUCGAGGUUGUGGCCUCCCCGUCUCAAAGUUUUUCUUGGACGUUGUCCAGGGUGAUUCCUGGCAUCGUGAGGUGAAAUGGGUGUGUACUAGUUAAAUGUGUUUCUACUUAAAUACCGUAAACGGAACUAGUCCUUCGUGACUACAGAAAUCCGUUGGCUGUGGUCAGUUCAUCCAAACUCUGCAGAGUCUCACAUCUUUCAAUUAUCUUGUGCUUUGUCCAAGUUCUAUAUUCAUCUUAUCUUGUCAGGUAUCAGCCUCAGUGACAAAAACUCCGGUGGGAUUUAUGUGUGAUAAAUCCGGUUAAAAGAUUAUUCUUGUGGAUGGACUAAUCUUGUUAUUUACAUUUAUUACAAGCCCUGUCUGCGAUGUCGCUCAGACGUCCGACGGUGGCAUACCUGUUAUUUACUUUUGUUAUAGGCCCUAUCUGUGAUGUCGCUCAGACGUCUGACGGUGGCAUACCUGUUAUUUACUUUGGUUAAAGCCCUUUAUGUGAUGUCGCCCAGACGUUCGACUAUGGCAUUUCUUUUAAAGCCCUUUAUGUGAUGUCGCCCAGACGUCCGACUGUGGCAUUUCUUUUAAAGCCUUUUAUGUGAUGUCGCCCAGACNNNNNNNNNNNNNNNNNNNNNNNNNNNNNNNNNNNNNNNNNNNNNNNNNNNNNNNNNNNNNNNNNNNNNNNNNNNNNNNNNNNNNNNNNNNNNNNNNNNNNNNNNNNNNNNNNNNNNNNNNNNNNNNNNNNNNNNNNNNNNNNNNNNNNNNGACUGUGGCAUUUCUUUUAAAGCCCUUUAUGUGAUGUCGCUCAGACGUCCGACUGUGGUAUUUCUUUUAAAGCCCUUUAUGUGAUGUCGCUCAGACGUCCGACUGUGGCAUUUCUUUUAAAGCCCUUUAUGUGAUGUCGCUCAGACGUCCGACUGUGGCAUUUCCUUUAAGCCCUUUUUGUGGUGUCGCUUAGACGCCCGACUGCGGCAUGCAUUUUAUUUAUUUACCUUUCGAGCGUCGCUCCAGACACCCGAUCGGUUUUCAGUCAUUUAUUUUAUUUAUCAAGUCCUGCAAUAUUAUCAUUGAUAUAUGGGCAUCAUCCUUUAUUCAUGACGCAUUCAUGCAUUAAUUAAUUAUAUCUUUUGUCCGAACUGUCUGGCGAGUACUUUCAAAGUACUCACCUGGCUUGUUGAUUUGGCCAGAUGUUGAUGAAGGCGAUCUCAUGGAUGAAGAGUUUGAUAGCGAGUCCGACGCCUAGAGGAGUCCCAGUCAGUCCCGUGCGAUCCUGUUUUGAUCACUGUAUUAUCCGCUUCCGCAACCCCAGAAUAAAAUUCAUCGAGCCUCACCUCGAUGCUCGAUGAGCUGCCAGUUAGGAGUCAAGUUAUCCACCACUUAUCAUCGAGCUAGUAGUAUGCCACCACACCCCUGUGUCAUAACCACCCUUAUGUAAGAUAUUGGCGAGUUUGUAAUAGAUUGCUGAGCAGCCUUAGCUCAGCCCUGUAAUAUAUUUGAUGCUACUGGUUCUCUGUUUAUCAAGCUUUGUCUACCAGAAGGAUGACUUUUCCUAUACUGGGAUUUAAAGAUCAAUUUUCUCAAUAUUUAUUUAUUGAAAAAAGUCGGUCGUGACACCGCCUCUGCUCGGGCAGAAGAAGCAGAGGGAGGGGAGACCAGUCAAAGCUUUCCUCCGCCGCAAAGCUCACCGCCGGCGAUUUCCUCCACCUCCGACGACCCUACGACCACUAGGAGGACCGUCGCUGAUCCGCGGAUCCAUCCCCGUCCUUAGCUCCCCGCGAGGAACCUCCGUUCACCGGCGAAAGUCGCCGGAGUCCCGCCUCUGCUCGGGCAGAAGAAGUAGAGGGAGGGGAGACUAGUCAAACAUGACUAGUGGGCCCCCUGGACCCACUGUCAACGACUCCCCGUGCAGUCCACGCAGGCAUAAGUGGAAACGUAAUUCCAAAGUACGUAUUCGACGUGUACAUUUCGAAACAUUUUCUUUUUCUGUUUUAUUUAAAAACCAGAAUAUUGACUAAACUUUGACUGGCUAUAACUUCUUAAAUAUAACUCCAAAUGAAUUGAUUCUUUUUCCUACCUCUCCAAAAUUUAAUCUAGUUUAUUUUAAGAUUUAUUUGAAGAUUUUUCAAAUAACUUUUCUUGUGCUGUUUUGAAAUUGUGUGUUAAUCCAAAUAUAUUUUAAAUAGGAUUUUUGGAGAGAGGAGAAAGCUUUCAAGAGUUUUGGAAUGCACCUUGCCUCCCCCACGACUUGAAGGCAAGCAUUCUGAACCCUGGCAUACUAUUUUGCAUGCAUUGUUUGACACGAUUAUGACACCACCUCAAUACGUGGAACUCGUUAUUUUAUGUGCUGAUGUGAUCGUUUGCAUAAAUGUUUAUUUGAAAUUUCCUUGCUGUUGGAAAUGGACAUGCUUGUGAUAAUGAUCAUCCUCGUAUGCCUUUCAUGCCUACCGGAAGGAAAACGGGAAAGUCUCUAUCUGGGGUAGACCUGAGCUUGUCCCUAGUUCCUCGUCAAGACGGGUGUGUCCAGCAUGGCAUGAGGGGUAUGAUGAGUGGUGAUUUGGUCUGUUGGAUGAAAUAUAUUUCGUUAUGCUAAUCAUGCAGGGAAUACUUAAAACCUCCUGAGUCGACCAUAGAUCGAGUCUUGUUCCAGUAACCCCCAUACUUGUUUCGUACUACCACUUGUCUCUACAACAAGUAGGGUACGGUUUAGUAAGUCAUCAACCCCUUUUGAUGCGGAGCAUCCCAUGUUCAUCCCCAUGUACACUCCGACUACUCCCCAAGCCCUAAGGAUACAUAAGAUGAGACCUCGACGAUGCGCCAUUGGACACAAGGUGAAUUCACUCCUCUUCGAACCGUCCCUUUCCGCAUGUGAGACAUGGCUACUACCUCAUGCAUGGACCUUGCAUAUACUCAGGUACAAUCGAGAUGAUCAUGGAGAAUCCAAGGAUCAAGGCCAAGCAUGGAAGAGAAGACGAAAGAAAGGAGAAGAAGACGGAGCUGCGGCUGAAGCUAGCCCGGACAUCCGGACCGCCAUCCAGAUCAUCCGGACCCAGCCAGAUCAUCCGGGUCCCCCUCCGGAUCAUCCGGGUAACUGCGCCGAAGACACCCGAAGGCUUCCACCGAAGCCGGAUCAUCCGGGACUCCAUCCGGAUCAUCCGGACCCCUGACGCCCGGAUCAUCCGGGACCCCAUCCGGAUCAUCCGGCCUUGCCUGCGCGCAUGACUUGGGCCGAGGCCCGUGUACCCCUUCGCCCCUCACUUACCCCUUCGUGGCUUAGCACUAUAAAUAGACCUCCUCCUCCCCACUUUGAGGGUUAGCGUUGAUUUAGCUCAUAUGUGAGAUAGAGCUUCGCUCAUCCAUCGGAUCUCCUCCUCGUGAGAGACCACGACCUCUUCGGAGAAGAUCCUCUCGGAUUCAAGACCCCCUCGUGGGAAGAUCCCCUUGUGGAUUCAAGACCUCCUCACGGAGAAGAUCGGUUACCUUUGUAUCCUUACCUUUGUUGACUUUGGAUCUCGUGUAUCUCUUUGUGUUCUUCGAUCUAGCACUUGUGUGACCGAUUCCUUGUUGGUUGAGUGUUUUCCCUUGUUCCUCCCCGUGAUUUCCUUGUGUUCUUCCGCUCGUUCUUCGUGUCUCCCCGUAGGAUCCACUCCAAACGUGAAAGAUCGACGCCAUAGGGUUCCACCCUACAUCAUCUUGGUAUCAUGAGCCACGUUGAUCACGUUUUUGGAGCCCCUACCCCUCUUUUUCUAGCUUGAUUUUGUCGUUUUCGUCCUAAAUCCGAAAAUCCCCACCAAAAAUAGCCCCAAUUUUUUUUUGUGAUUUGUUGGUUUGAUGAUGUUUUGUUGAUUUUGAUCCGUGGAUUUGCUUGGUUUCAAGUGGAUCUAGCAUUUCCCCAAGUUUCCCCACCUUCCAUCCACGAAAUCCAUCAAAUUUUGCCCCGAAAAUCAUCCAUUUCCGCCCAAAAAAAAAUUCGUCCCCGAGAGGAAAUCCCAAGCAGUUUGACCUGCCCGGAUCAUUCGGACCUUCUCCCGGAUCAUCCGGACAUCUCCUGGAUCAGCUGGACCCUCUCCCGGACAUCCGGAUACCCCACGCACCCAGAAAACAGAACCGGAGCCGACGAACCCGGAUCAUCCGGAUGUACACCCGGAUCAUCCGGACAUAGCCCGGAUGAGCUGGACCUCCUCCCGGAUGUCCGGUUAACCCUGACACUGCAUCGGCUGAAAUCUUGUUUUGGCCGUAACUAAUUCAUCCGAACUCCGAUUUUGACGUUCUUUAGCUCGUUUUGAAGCUAUUGACAUCCCCCAUCCCACAAAAAUACCACCAACAUCAUUUGACUCCAUCAUAUUUUAUGAAAUUUGGCAAGUUUGCCUAGGCCCUCCACCAUAUCAUCCGCAUUACCACCUCCGACUUCCGCAACCUAACCCAUUUUGUUCCCCAUAGCAUUAGUGGUUGCUUGAGUAGUGAUUCGAGUCCCCUAAUGUGUUUCGGCUACUUAGGGACGGUUGCUUCUUCAUCAACCACCACCACCACCACUUCCGCAUAACCUUGCCCAUCAUACACUUCCACCAACCCAACUUAACCCAAUUGUUGUUUGAACUUGUUCGAGUUGUGGCUUGUGUCUCCUAAGGUGUUUCGGCUACUUAGGGACGGCAACUUCAAGUUCGACACGUGUAUAGCCCAUCAUUUCACUUCCACAUUGCCAAGUGCAAACCACCACCGCUCUCCGCUACCACCAUUUUGACAUUUGACGUGUGAGAUUUUGAGUUCGCGGUUUUUCCGUUUCCUAAGGUGUUUCGGCUACUUAGGGACGAGUCUCCAUCAUCUUGGUAUCUACAUCAAGAACACCGCUACUCAUCAUUGUUAGACGGUAACCUCCAUAUCAUCUUGGUAUCAUGGUAUCCCUCCAUUGUAUAUUCCCUUGCUAUUGCAUUGUUAACCCCUAGCCCAUUUUGCGUUACUUACCUAUCGAGACUAGCCAUUUGAGUAUUGCCGGCAACGUGCCUUGUGCACAUUAGUGGUCUACACCAUCCAUUGCAUACAUACCAUAUCAUAUUGGUAUCAUAUCAUCCAUUGUGCCUCAAGUUUGUUCCCGCAUACACACAAUUGCUAUCUUGGUUUGUGCAUUGUGCAAAAGUGGCCAUAAAAAAAGAGAAAAAGCUUUUAAGCAAAACAGAAAGAGCAAAGAAGCUUGUAAGCAAGUGCCAUAGCAUCAUACCACAUUGCACAUAAGAUUGUCAUAUCCGAUCAUCUUGGAUCAUCUUGAGAGAAACACCGGGAACCAUACAUACAUAGCAUACUUGGAAUAGAAGUUUAUCCAUUUUGCAUCUUAUAGGUUGUGCACAAGUGUCGUAUCCGCCUAUAGAGCAAUCGUGCUAGUGUCUCUCUUGAGUUGUGCAACAUGAGCGUUUUCCGUGGAUUCCACAUUUUGUGCUCAUUCCUUGGUUGCACGACCCCAUUUAUCUAUCCGUGUGUGUGUUUCCGUGUACCUUUCUUUGCUAUUGGUCUACUUGUUUCGCUUGCGAAUUUGUGAAUCUCUUUCAACAUUAUUGACUCUUGCUAACAUUUUGCAUCAAAUUUUUGUGCCACUAUCCUCACCGAGCUCCACUAUAAGCUUUACUUGUGUAGGUGUGAGAACCGACAAGAAUUGGUACCAAAAGUGCUAUUUCAUUGUCCGCAUUUGAGUGAACUUGAUUCAUUUUCAACAUCGGUCAAGGUACAUUGGUAUAAGUUCUUCUCUUUCUCCCACCCAUAUUUGCUCGAGUCGUGUGAUGGAUAGGAAAGGCAUUUCCUCUCCGGUCCUCGACAACAACGACGGCAUGAACACCUACAUAACCAAAGCGUCUAUCUUCGAUCUACAACGACAAGUGCAAGGCACACAAUCAAGAUUGCGAGAGCGCAUCGAGGACAUCUCCAUCGACAUUCAUCACUCCGAAGCAAGGAGAAGGGACUACUUCGACAAGAAGCUUGCCACACAUAAAGAGGAGCAAGAUGCAAGGAUGGAGGAGAUUAGAGCGUUGAUCAAGUCUACUUCCCCUUCGUCAUCUUCAAGGCGGCGGCGACCAAGUCGAUCAUCUUCGGAGCACAAACAAGAUGCAAGCGCAAGUCAUCCAAGUCAACAUCGAUAUGGUGACCACCAUCACGUUCGUGAUCAACAUCGUCAUGAAGGGCAAGUCACCUCCAAGCAUCAUGUGCACGACAACGACGAACGACAUCUACUACGAGCUCAAGCACGACAACGACAUCAUCAUCAUGAAGAUGCUCCACAAGCGCAAAUGCACAAGUCCCAACAAGCCCUACUUCACGCCAAGUCCAAGCUUCAAGAGCACAAAAGAAGACCGCGAGAUGACCACCACCAAGACGACGCUACGGCUACAACAACCACUUCGACAUCUUCGCCAAGUGUUCUCAAGGCAUCUUCGCCUUUGGACGUACGACAUCUUCGCCUACUUCCCACGAGUACGCCUACAUCGACUUCAUCAAGUCCAAGGCAACCACCUACAAGAGAGGGCGACACUUCCAUCUUCGGAAGCCCCCCAAGGAAGAUGGCCGAGCAUGGGAAAUUCCCUUCGGUCAUGGAGACGAGCUACGAGGUGCCACAUCAUAUGGGCCUCCAACACCAAGAGGGUGACAAGACAGUUGAGCAAGGGCCAUCCCCUUCGACCACGGCGACGAGCGCGAACCUCUUCAACACCAUGAAGACGGUGCCCAUAUUGGACUCAUACUCCGAGUCAAGCUACGCGACCGCGCAUGGAUACAUUUGCACCUACAUCUCUCCGACACCCACAUAUGUUGAGAUACCCCAUUUGUCAUGUGAGGAGAGCCACCACCCCAUGAGUUACAUGAGUGACUCCACCAUACGUGACAUUGAGAGCAUUUCCUAUGAGAGGAUGAGUGUGACCACCACUAGCCCCACACAAGAGAGCAUGCCACACAUCCUAUGUGAGGUUGAGCGCCAUUUGAGUGACUCCACCAACCAUAUGAGUGAGAGCACCCUUGAGGGAGUGAGUGAGCCACAACACUUAGUGAGUGAGAUAGUUGACACGGCUUGUGAGGCCACUAUAAUUUCUAACGACUUAACCUCUACUCCUAGAGUGUUUUCUUCUUUGGUGCUAGGUAUCCUACAUGACGACAUGCCUAUCCUCGACGAGUCCAUCCCUCCAAUGGAAACACCGAUGGCCAUGGUGGACAAUGAUGCACCCCCCACAUGGUUCCAUCAAGAUGAAGAUGACAAUGAUUGCAUCUUUGACACCUCACCUACAACACAUGAGCGAUGAUCCAAGGGUAACAUAGGUGAUGGUGCUUCUCUUGUCCCACUAGCAGACUCUCUUCACAUUGAUUGCUCCCAUGAUGUUGGCCCACCUAUUGCCAUGCUUCAUGCUAGUGAAACUUCUUCAUGUCUUGACUUACCUAUUUAUGAUGAAUAUUAUGAUGAGCAUGUUGAGUUUCCUAGUUGUGAUGCUAUGCUCCAUAGGAUAACUUGUGAAAAUUCUAUUGGUCACAUUAUGCUUGACAAUCCAUUGAACUUGUCAUAUGCUAUGAGUGAGAUCUCCCAUAUUGCUUCAUUUCAAUCUCAACAUAGUAACUAUGCAUGCCCCAUUAAGAUCAAUCCCAUUUGCACUUAUGGCAUAGAUGACGAGAUGAUGGUCAUUGGCUUUUGCUUCUCUUGUGAUGAUAUUGCCAUGCUUCCUUUACAUGAUUUGUGCAAUUCAUCUACUAUGUCAUGCCAUGAUCACAUUGUUUCGAAUAUGCAUUGUUUUGGAUGUUGUCAAUAAUCUCCAUGUGAUGUUGCUCAUGAGGAGACCCCCAUAGUUUCCUCAUACAUAUUAGGAGAUCUUGAUGCAUUUCAUACUUUGCAUGAUUCCCAUGAUUGCUUGCACCAUAUGCAUUCCAUGAAUAACAAUUCUCUAGAUAUUUCUCAUGAUGCAUUACACAAUUUGAGUCUCCACUAUGCGAUACAUAACAACAAACCUCUCAUGAUGGAUGACAUGUUUCUAUAUCACGCAUCUCAUUUAUUUGAGCAUUGGCUAUUUAGUACUAACCGACACAUGCACGUGCGCAUCAUGAUGGAUGAUGUGUACAUAUACCAUGCACACACAAUUUUCUCUUUGUCUUUGUUUUGUGUAGGUACUUAUGAACACUCGUCAACCUCACAAUCCCAUGAGUUGACGAAACGAGCUCUUGAGAGCAACGAUGACUUGGGAUCCCGUGGACUAUCCUUACCACCAUUCCCUUCGCGCAAGGACUACGCGCAUCUCUUUUACUUGGCUCUCACACGGCUAUGGGCUAUUUACCACUUGUCACCUUAUGCCCACACUAUUGUGUUCACUUUGCAUGUUAUACUUGCUUAUAUGCAUUUUCCAUGCAAUUGUGACCCUUGCUUGCAUCUACCCAUGAUUCACCAUUAUGAUACUUCUAUGUGUAUUUGCAUGCUUGGUGGAGAUCCUUGUUGCUUUUGCCAUGUUUAUCAUGUGCCCCAUGCUAUUGUUGAUUGUUGUGUUGGGAGAGUCAUGAUGCCCCAUUGCUAUUCACAUAUGGUCUCUCGCCAAUACAUUGAUGAUAUUUUGCUCAUAUCUUGCUUUCAUGUUUGUGCUAUGUCAUGUCCAUUAUUUAUGCCCACUAUUUGCACACAUGACAUGCUUGCCAUGAUUCCUUCUAGUAUGUUGCAUCUUCACACUACUAGCUUGCUUGACGUGAUUGCUAUGAUUGCUUGCUUGGUUGCAUCACCCAUGUUCCACUAUCACUUGCUUUCUUGGGUUGAUGACACAUAUGCUCAUGCCUCUCACUUGAUUUGUCAUAAUCAGUGCCUCUUGUCUCCAUUAGUUGCAUCUCUCAUAUCACCUUGUAUUGAGUGCCAACUUGCUAUGCUUAUUGAUCUUGGAGACUUGGACAUUUUACUUGUGAUGCAUGAUUGUUUGAUUGAGCCUCUUGUAUUUGGUUGUUCUUACAUCAUAAGCCUUCAUACUAUGAAAUGCUCCCUUGUCCAUUCUUAUGAUGAGCAUGAUGCAUACACUUGUUGGGUAUCUUACCACACGAAUGAUAGGUUUUGCACUUCCGCUAACCUCAUUUGUUUUUCCGAGUGUUUGUCAUGUUCUUUCAUUUUGAAGGAUUCACAAGGCGGUACCAUCACACAACAUAUUGGUUAUGUGAAGGCAUACAAGAUGCGCAACUACAUCAUCCUUGUGACACUCUUAAAGGUGAACUCCUUCUCUUUGAGCCAUCCUCAAUUACGCAUAUUGGAUGGGUCACUCUUUCAUUGUUGUUUCCUUCUUGUUGUCUACAUGAUACAUCUCGUGAACGGAGGAACGACAUUGGAGAUUGGCUACAUGGACCUUCACAUUGAGGAGCGCUCGCACUUAUUGGAUGCACCUUCGGUCUUCCACCCAUGCCUCGAUAUCGAGCUUUGGUACACCAACACCUCCAUAUUUGUUGAUUGCGCUCAUACAUGUCAUGCUCGAUGGACAUAUCAUACUCACCACAAGUUUGCACACUAUGCAUGGAUUGACUCACAUUAUGAUUGCCUUGUUGCAUCUUGUAUUACCAUGUCAUCCAUGAUAUAUGAGCUUGUUCACUUCCUUAGCAAAUUUGUUGUGAUCUUCCUUGAUGGCAUAUUCAUACAUCAUGAUCAUAUUGCCCACCAUCAAUUGCAUGAUAAUAUUCACAUAUUGAGCAUCCGUUGCCAUAUUCAUGCAUUUGAUAAACCGUCUCACUAUGACAUCAUUUUGCACCGUGGUUGCAUUGAUCAUAUUUACAACACAUUUGUGUGCACAAUGAUUGCAUUUCCUCCCAUGAAUGCUUUGCAUCUCAUUCUAGAUCAUCUUGAUAAGCUUCAUGCGCUUUGUCACGGCCAAUCUUGCCGCACAGACUCAUUCUUGCAUGAUGGACACUUUGUGUGCGCUAACCAUGGUAUUUCCGAGUGUUGUUUGUGUUUGUUUCUUUUGCAUGUAUACCACUCCGGCUACCCCUUGGACUACUUGGAUUGCGCCAUGCCUUCCACCUCGCCCAACUACAAGUCCGUUCACGACAACCGUUUCCAUGGUGAUGAGGAUCACGAUCCGAGGUCGGAUCUUUCACAAGGGGGGGGGGGGAGAUGAUGCGGAGCAUCCCACGUUCAUCCCCAUGUACACUCCGACUACUCCCCAAGCCCUAAGGAUACAUAAGAUGAGACCUCGACGAUGUGCCAUUGGACACAAGGUGAAUUCACUCCUCUUCGAACCGUCCCUUUCCGCAUGUGAGACAUGGCUACUACCUCAUGCAUGGACCUUGCAUAUACUCAGGUACAAUCGAGAUGAUCAUGGAGAAUCCAAGGAUCAAGGCCAAGCAUGGAAGAGAAGACGGAAGAAAGGAGAAGAAGACAGAGCUGCGGCUGAAGCUAGCCCGGACAUCCGGACCGCCAUCCGGAUCAUCCGGACCCAGCCGGAUCAUCCGGGUCCCCCUCCGGAUCGUCCGGGCAACUGCGCCGAAGACACCCGAAGGCUUCCACCGAAGCCGGAUCAUCCGGGACUCCAUCCAGAUCAUCCGGACCCCUGACGCCCGGAUCAUCCGGGACCCCGUCCGGAUCAUCCGGCCUUGCCUGCGCGCAUGACUUGGGCCGAGGCCCGUGUACCCCUUCGCCCCUCACUUACCCCUUCGUGGCUUAGCACUAUAAAUAGACCUCCUCCUCCCCACUUUGAGGGUUAGCGUUGAUUUAGCUCAUAUGUGAGAUAGAGCUUCACUCAUCCAUCGGAUCUCCUCCUCGUGAGAGACCGCGGCCUCUUCGGAGAAGAUCCUCUCGGAUUCAAGACCCCCUCAUGGGAUGACCCCCUUGUGGAUUCAAGACCUCCUCACGGAGAAGAUCGGUUACCUUUGUAUCCUUACCUUUGUUGACUUUGGAUCUCGUGUAUCUCUUUGUGUUCUUCGAUCUAGCACUUGUGUGACCGAUUCCUUGUUGGUUGAGUGUUUUCCCUCAUUCCUCCCCGUGAUUUCCUCGUGUUCUUCCGCUUGUUCUUCGUGUCUCCCCGUAGGAUCCACUCCAAACGUGAAAGAUCGACGCUAUAGGGUUCCACCCUACAUCACCUUUCUAGCACACACCGUACAGAGAGGCCAUGGUGGAAGAUACGGGUUGUAGCUGGUAGGCAGGCCACCUGGUCCGGGGGCAUGGGUGUUUCCGGUUCAGACCGAGAGGGGAGGCCACCCCUUAGAGCGCGCGAUAUAAAUUUGAUCCCAUGCUAUGCGAGGUUAUAGCCUCCCCACUUAGAGUUUUGCUUGACAGGUGUCGUGGGUGAUUCCAGACACCGGUAAGGUAAGCUGGUGUGUGCAAGUUAGGUGUGUUUUCAACUAAAAGGCCGUAGAUGGAAUUAGUCCCGAUGGACUAAAGGAAUCCGUUACUCGUGGGUAAACAGUACACCCUCUACAGAGAUUAAACCUAUGCGAAUAGCCAUGUCCAUGGUUAAGGAUUACAGUCUGGGAUGGGUCAAGUGUCGGUCUUCGGAGGAGAAACUGUUAAACCAGAACUGGGAUCAUGACUUGAGACUUGUGAUGAUAUGAUUAUUAUUUUGUUGUGGACUAACGCGUUAUAUUUUUGGCAUAUUCAAAUAUCCCUGGGAUGGUUCUACGUCCUGGAUAUUCGCUGUGAUUAUUUAUAAGCCCUUUAUGUGGUGUCGCUGAGACGCCCGACUGUGGCAUGCCUGUCAUUUAUUUACAUUAUAAGCCCUUUAUGUGGUGUCGCUGAGAUGCUCGACUGUGGCAUUCUUGUCAUUUAUUUACUUUAUAAGCCCUUUAUGUGGUGUCACUGAGACGCCCAACUGUGGCAUGCUUGUAAUUUACUUAUUUUAUAAGCCUUUUAUGUGGUGUCGCUGAGACGCCCCACUGUGGCAUGCUCGUUAUUUACUUAUUUUAUAAGCCCCUUUAUGUGGUGUCGCUCAGACGCCCGACUGAGGCAUUUCUCUUUGCUUACUAACCUUUCGAGGCGUCGCUUCAGACACCCGAUCAGUGCAUUUUAUUAUUACUAUGUUAUUGCAUAUUCAUAAAUAACCUGCUUGCAUGCAUCAGAAUUUUUAUUAUCUUUUGUGACUGACGUCAUGAAAAUAAAAUAUUUCAGAACAUCGUUGUUAUAUUGUACCCGUGUUCAUAAUGUUUGCGAGUACAUUCAAAGUAGUCACUGGCUUGUCCCUGGCUAUUGUCUUGGCCAGAUUUCUUGCUUGGAGAGGAGCGUUGCGAUGACAGCCCCGGAACCUAAGCAAUGGUGAUAGCAACCUCGCGACGAUAGGAGUUAACCUAGUCAGCUGUUCCUGUGGGAAAUGGAUUCCCAUAGACGCUGAUGAUCCACAAACCGCUUCCGCCAUCAACCACUACAAACCAAUUUGUUUUACUCACAGGCCAGAAUGGUCUUGUACUACAUAUUUUGCUUUUUGCUUGGAAUUUCUGUAUCAGGUUGGUGCCUCAUCAGCUAACAGUAAUCCUGGGGCUGGUGAGUACAAAGGCCAUUUUCUGGGAAAUUAGUACCCAGAAAACUGGUUGUCACAAACUUGGUAUCAGAGCCAGGAUGACCAUUGGCUAAUCCUAUCUUAGCCAGGUCGGAAAACCUAGGUAGGCCAAACCACCAGACCUUAACCAAAACCCAUCCAAGCUUCUCGUGCAAGAUAGCCACACAGUGACUCCGACACUUUUGGUAGUCGGUGUCCAACCUAUCAACCUAGCCUCUCUAUCACGCGCCAGUGACCGAUGCCUAUAAUGUCUCAUUCGCAAGCGUGCGAAGGAAGACUUCGUCCCCUUUUACUAUAAAAAGGGCACGCUAGCCUCAACCCAGCACAUCACAACCUCUACCUCAAACCGAGCCAUAAUGCCUGGCCUCGUCGUGCACAAUGAAACCACAGCAACCAACCUUGGAGGUUUUGUGACCAUACUCGCAAACCUCACCCGUCGUGCCUAUGCGUUAGAAGAGCCCCCAGAAUAUGUUGUGUACCAAGGAUCCAUGAGCGGUGAGAGCCGUCAAUUCUGGGCCACGGUGCACAUCUACGGUAGGGAUCUAUCUCUAGAACGCCCCUACAGGUUCACCGGAAGGACAACUUCCUUCGAGCCACAAGCCAUCCAACUAGCUGCUCGAGAGGCUAUAGUUCAACUCCGGCAGUUGUCGCCCAGAGUUAUCUGUCGCUCGUUCUACUACUACCCCAGACGUGAAGGGUAUGGUAGACCAACCCAAGUUGCCAACGGGGAUCACGAGACGGAUCCUGCAUUGUUGCACCUAGUGCGCUAUGUAGGUGCACUAGAGGCACUAUUCGAUCAAAUCACCAUUGAUCUGAUCGCAGCUCGUGGAGAACUAGUUCGCCGAGCCCCGACAAACAGGGAAGACGAGCCCGACUCCGACAACCCAGUCGUGCUGUUCGGACACCCGAUCGAGACCCUGAGGUCAGCCCCAGCCAUCAACCAAGGUGCUUUGAUGACCCCAGAAGUGCUUCGUUGCCUUUUGGGAGCACACUCCAGCGAGAUGGUGGCCAAUAAUCCCCACGAUGAUCAUCAUCGCCACCCCGACCCUACAGCCCCUCAACCACCUCCGGCAAAUUCCAACGGUGAGACCCGUGGAGAAACCUUGACAUCCACAAGGCACGCCCAUUUGGAUAUAAACGAGGUAGACUAAGUCACCCGAGUAGUGCCGAGUCUCAGUGUAUCCUCGCUUUAUAAUCGUGUGACCUUGUAAAUAAGCGCAGUCUGUUGUUGUGCCUCUGUUUUAAUAGUAGCCCUUGCAUAAUUGCGUCAGCCUGCAGUUGUUUUUUUUAUUUCAGGCACAGCUACCAAAACCAACCCCGACGACACCCACAGUAACACGUCCCUUUUGUGAGAUAUGUGUAUCUGUGGUUUUGACCCCGACCGUUGGAGCUGAUCUGGCAAAUUUAUUACCUUUCACCACGGUAAAUAACCCAGCCCGGAUGCUAUAUAAGAAGGCCACCUCGUGACCUUACCCAGCACUCCUCACCUUGUGCACCACCCUCACAACCAUUUCUUGCCAUGCCGAGCCCUAGUAUUUAUCUGAGAACCCCAGAUGCAACCCCGGGUAGCUUUGUCAAAAUAUUGUGGGACUUUACCUGCAGUACCAUGGGUUCUACCCAGCCACCCCAGUACGAGCUGUUCAAAUCGAGAAUCACCCCUUCCACCUCGAAAUAUUGGGUAGCAGUACACAUCCCUCCCGUAGACUCCAACCAAGACCCAACGGAGGUCUCCUUCGUGGGGAGAUCUAUGCCAACACCACACAUGGCCAUAGAAGCUGCUGCGUACGAAGCGAUUGCUCGUCUUCAAUUCACGGUACCCUAUGCCAGCGAACGAGGGUAUUAUUACUUACCGAGCCGUGCAGCACCCGGAGGAGUAACAUCUUUUCCUGGUGGACGAUUUGAGAGAGACCCAGUACUGGCCAACCUUGUCUAGUACAUCAUCGCUCAAGAACGUUUGAACCAACGAGUAAUGGAUUAUCACCAGAGUCUCGCUGAUUUGAAUCCUCAGAUUGCCAUCGGCAGACCACUGAGGCCCGACCAGGAGAGACACAUACAUCGACUGGUCAAUCCACUUCCUCCGAUAGAAGAGGAGUAUGUCCAAGUACCAGAGACGUUUUCUCAGGACCCCGUCCAGUUACCGUUUUCAUUUUAGACGUCACUGCUAUGUUUAUUAUUGCAACAUUUAUUAUUGCGUUGUAACUUAUGCAUGGUACACCGAGUUUGUGCGGCGAGUCGAUUAUUUAGUUUCUAUUAAUAUGAGUAGUUCUGUUGCGGUUUGACUCUAAUAUAUUACUAUUGUUCUCUCGCAAAAAAUCCUGAAGUGAGAUUUCUUUUCCUUGAGUUGCUGCAUCAUAUAUCUUCUCACGACGUGGAUUAUUUUAUUUCACACAGCACCACGGCAGCAGACUCACAACCGCUCGAACACCUUGCUUGCAAAAACUCGUAACCAUGGAGUAUUUGUUUCUCAAAACAGCUCUUAACAAAUCUCGAGGACGAGAUUUUUUUCUUAAGGGGGGUAGUGUUGUGACACCCCAAAAUUUUAACCUUUGUUUUAUUAAUUAAAUUUUUUCCAGGAAACUUAAACUUUUGUUUUCUGGAUUUUCUUUUGAUUUCAGAACCUUUCUUCCCUUUAUUUUUUAUGGAUUUUUUGCCUCAAGUGAAAAACUUCCCAAUUUUAUUGGACUCAUUUGCCCUCUCAAAUAAAACAAUUCUUUUAUCAGUGGGAUUAUUUGCAUAAUUAUUUUUCCCUGAUGCCUUAUUUCUUUAAAAAUGAUUUUUUUAGCUUCAGUGCCUCUUUUGCACUACAACCAUUUGAUAAAUUCAUUCAAAAAUUCCACAAAAAAAUUGGAGAUGUCAUGUGAUGUUUUUAAAACACUUUUAUGCAAAAAUAUAUUUCAUUCCUUGGACAUUUUGAGUUAUACACCAAGUUUUCAAAUCUGUUCCAGUGGACAGUUUUGCACUACAGCCUAAUUAAAUAUUUCUUUAAAGCCUCCACCAAAAUUAUGGGAUGUCAGUGGUAGCAUGCCAUCCAACUUUAUGCAAAAACCUAGUGUUGUUCUUUGGAAAAAAUUGAGUGAAUCAACCUUUUUUUCAUUCUGGACCAGCCUUGUGUUUUCUACUGCAACCCUAUUUAUUUUUGCUCUAGUGACCUUGUGCUUUCACCUGCUUCUAGUCAACCCUGCAAAACCCCUAAGUCCAGGAGCAUGCACCCUUUGGGACAUUUUCGGUUCAUGUAAUGAUGCUAUUUACUCCCUGUCCAGAAUUGAAGUUUUGCAAAACUUGCACUAGCAAGUUUCUUCAAUUGUAAAACUAACCUCACCACCCUCUCUUGCAUCUAAAGAGACCCCACUCUGGAAGUUUUGACCACCCCAAGUACUUCCUAGAUGCCUCUGGCAUUUUGUCGAACACCCUGUGUGUAUAGACAGAUUUGGCAUGGUUGAAGGUUUUGUGUUGUGAACUUUUCCCUUGCCCCAAACCAAGUUGUCCAGUAGCCUUCUGCAUGCCUCUAACCUAGUCCUGUGGAUUUGCAGUGGCUCUCUAGCAACUUUAGUCGCCCUGGCAUUUCGUUGAACGAGUGCCGUGCACGCCCAGAGCGCGAGCAAAGCACACAUUUUGCACGUGCUCGCGCCCGAGCCAACACCCCCCCUGGAUAAGUUUCCCCGAGCUCAUCCAAAUUCUCUCCCUCUCUCCACGUCACGCUAGAAGCCCCGACCGCCUCCUCGCCCCCUGCAGCGCUGCCAGCAAGCCGCUUGGCGGCACGCCCGCGGCCGCAUCUGCCACCGCCAUGGGCAGCACCGCCCAAACCACCACAGCGCGCCAGCUCGCCUCCUUCGACAGUGGAGUGAUUGUCGUUAGCCCCUGGAGCUAGCUAGCCACCGCCACGUCACUCUGCAGCACAGUAGGGCGGUCCACCGAUGAGCUCAUCCACGACCACUGUGAACCGACUUGGAAGAGCUAUAAAAGGAAGCCCCUCGAGCUCCUCCGAGCACACAGGCAGCCUCACACGAUUCCCCUAGUGCCCCGUUGCCAUCAAUUGAAGAGGCGAAGGCCAUCUUCAACCUCUCCGGUCAACUCGGCCGCCGCCUCGUUCCGGUUCACCCCGGCGCCACCAGGGCCUCCCCCACCCUUCCAUCACCACCACUCGGCUCCACAUCGUCUUGCGGAGCCGCCCAGACCCCAAACAACGACGGAGCAUCACCCUAGCCCGAACCCCCAAAUCCACCGAAGCUUUCCUCCGCCGCAAAGCUCACCGCCGGCGAUUUCCUCCACCUCCGACGACCCUACGACCACUAGGAGGACCGUCGCUGAUCCGCGGAUCCAUCCCCGUCCUUAGCUCCCCGCGAGGAACCUCCGUUCACCGGCGAAAGUCGCCGGAGUCCCGCCUCUGCUCGGGCAGAAGAAGUAGAGGGAGGGGAGACUAGUCAAACAUGACUAGUGGGCCCCCUGGACCCACUGUCAACGACUCCCCGUGCAGUCCACGCAGGCAUAAGUGGAAACGUAAUUCCAAAGUACGUGUUCGACGUGUACAUUUCGAAACGUUUUCUUUUUCUGUUUUAUUUAAAAACCAGAAUAUUGACUAAACUUUGACUGGCUAUAACUUCUUAAAUAUAACUCCAAAUGAAUUGAUUCUUUUUCCUUCCUCUCCAAAAUUUAAUCUAGUUUAUUUUAAGAUUUAUUUGAAGAUUUUUCAAACAACUUUUUUUGUGCUGUUUUGAAAUUGUGUGUUAAUUCAAAAAUAUUUUAAAUAGGAUUUUUGGAGAGAGGAGAAAGCUUUCAAGAGUUUUGGAAUGCACCUUGCCUCCGCCACGACUUGAAGGCAAGCAUUCUGAACCCUGGCAUAAUAUUUUGCAUGGAUUGUUUGACACGAUUAUGACACCACCUCAACACGUGGAACUCGUUAUUUUAUGUGGUGAUGUGAUCGUUUGCAUACAUGUUUAUUUGAAAUUUCCUUGCUGUUGGAAAUGGACAUGCUUAUGAUAAUGAUCAUCCUCGUAUGCCUUUCAUGCCUACCGGAAGGAAAACGGGAAAGUCUCUAUCUUGGGUAGACCCGAGCUUGUCCCUAGUUCCUCGUCAAGAUGGGUGUGUCCGACAUGGCAUGAGGGGUAUGAUGAGUGGUGAUUCGGUCUGUUGGAUGAAAUAUAUUUCGUUAUGCUAACAAUGCAGGGAAUACUUAAAACCUCCAGAGUCGACCAUAGAUCGAGUCUUGUUCCAGUAACCCCCAUACUUGUUUCGUACUACCACUUGUCUCUACAAUAAGUAGGGUACGGUUCAGUAAGUCGUCAACCCCUUUCUAGCACACACCAUACAGAGAGGCCAUGGUGGAAGAUACGGGUUGUAGCUGGUAGGCAGGCCACCUGGUCUGGGGGCAUGGGUGUUUCCGAUUGAGACCGAGAGGGGAGGCCACCCCUUAGAGCGCGCGAUAUAAAUUUGAUCCCAUGCUACGCGAGGUUGUAGCCUCCCCACUUAGAGUUUUGCUUGACAUGUGUCGUGGGUGAUUCCAAACACCGGUAAGUUAAGCUGGUGUGUGCAAGUUAGGUGUGUUUUCAACUAAAAGGCCGUAGACGGAAUUAGUCCCGAUGGACUAAAGGAAUCCGUUACUCGUGUGUAAAGAGUAUACCCUCUGCAGAGAUUAAACCUAUGCGAAUAGCCGUGACCAUGGUUAAGGAUUACAGUCUGGGAUGGGUCAAGUGUCGGUCUUCGGAGGAGAAACUGUUAAACCAGAACUGGGAUCACGACUUGAGAGUUGUGAUGAUAUGAUUAUUAUUUUGUUGUGGACUAACGCGUUAUAUUUUUGGCAUAUUCAAAUAUCCCUGGGAUGGUUCUACGUCCUGGAUAUUCGCUGUGAUUAUUUAUAAGCCCUUUAUGUGGUGUCGCUGAGACGCCCGACUGUGGCAUGCCUAUCAUUUAUUUACAUUAUAAGCCCUUUAUGUGGUGUCGCUGAGAUGCUCGACUGUGGCAUUCUUGUCAUUUAUUUACUUUAUAAGCCCUUUAUGUGGUGUCACUGAGACGCCCGACUGUGGCAUGCUUGUAAUUUACUUAUUUUAUAAGCCUUUUAUGUGGUGUCGCUGAGACGCCCGACUGUGGCAUGCUCGUUAUUUACUUAUUUUAUAAGCCCCUUUAUGUGGUGUCGCUCAGACGCCCGACUGAGGCAUUUCUCUUUGCUUACUAACCUUUCGAGUCCCAUAGACGUUGAUGAUCCACAAACCGCUUCCGCCAUCAACCACUACAAACCAAUUUGUUAUACUGACAGGCCAGAAUGGUCUUGUACUACAUAUUUUGCUUUUUUCUUGGAAUUUCUAUAUCAGGUUGGUGCCUCAUCAGCUAACAGUAAUCCUAGGGCUGGUGAGCACAAAGACCAUUUUCUGGGAAAUUAAUACCCGAAAAACCGGUUGUCAUAGUGUCCAGGUCUUCCACAAUUGUAGCAAUUAUGUUCACGACUCAAAGAUCUUUUGUCAUUGUAGGAUCUUGACUUGGAGCUUCUUUCCUUGCUUCUACUCUUGUAGAAUUUGUUGAAAAUUUUCACCAUUAAGCUCAAUUCCUCAUUGAAGGUUUGUUCCUCACUUGAUGAUGUAGGAGCAUCACAUGAGGCUUUGUAAGCACCACUUGACUUGUUGUGAAGCUCUUCCUUAUCCUUGAGUGACAUCUCAUGAGCAACAAUUCUUCCAAUGACUUCCUUUGCUUGAGGUCUUUGUAAUUGGGCAUCAUUUGGAUCAAUGUGCACACGGUAUCAUAUUUUCCAUCCAAGGCUCUUAGGAUCUUCUUGAUGAUGAAUUUGUCGGUCAUCUCUUCACUUCCUAAGCCGGCAAUCUCAUUUGUGAUGACAUCAAGCCUAGAGUACAUUUCAGCGACACCUUCACCAUCCUUCAUUUUGAACUUGUCAAGUUGACUUUGAAGCACAUACAAUUUGGAUUCCUUGAUGGAGUCGGUACCUUUGUGCAUAUCAAUCAAAGUGUCCCAAAUUUCCUUUGCAUUCUCAAGACGACUGAUUUUAUUGAAUUCUUCGGGGCACAAUCCAUUGAAGAGGAUAUCGCAAGCUUGAGCGUUGUAUUGCAGCAUCUUCAACUCUUCCACGGUAGCUUCACGGUUCGGUUCUCUCCCAUCAAAGAAUUCACCUUGCAAGCCAAUACACACAAUAGUCCAAACGACAGGGUUAUGUCCAAAUUAGUACCAUCAAAGUAAGGACCUCUACGGUGGUAAUUUCCCUCGCUAGGCGCAAUACUCUCCUAGGUUGUGAAACCAAGGCUAUGAUCACCAAAAGCUAUGAAAAUCAAGGCAAAUGGAGACCAAAGCUCUGAUACCAAUUGUAGGAUUGAAAGUUUGUCUAGAGGGGGGUGAUUAGACUACUUGACCAAAUAAAAACUUAACCUUUUCCCAAUUUUAGUUAUUGGCAGAUUUUAACAAGAUAACACAAAUCAAGCAAUCUUAACACAAUUAAAGCAAGCAUGGAAAGAGUAUAUGAGCAGCGGAAAGUAAAGCAUGCAACUUGCAAGAAUGUAAAGGGAAGGGUUUGGAGAGUUUAAACGCAAUAUGAGACAUGUAUGUUUUUGUCAUGGUUCUGAUAGGUGGUGCUAUCGUACAUCCACGUUGAUGGAGACUUCAAUCCACGAAGGGUAACGGCUGCACGAGUCCAUAGAGGGCUCCACCCACGAAGGGUCCACGAAGAAGCAACCUUGUCUAUCCCACCAUGGCCAUCGCCCACGAAGGACUUGCCUUACUAGGGUAGAUCUUCAUGAAGUAGGCGAUCUCCUUGCCCUUACAAACUCCUUAGUUCAGCUCCACAAUCUUGUCGGAGGCUCCCAAGUGACACCUAAGCAAUCUAGGAGACACCACUCUCCAAAAGGUAAUAGAUGGUGUGUUGAUGAUGAACUCCUUGCUCUUGUGCUUCAAAUGAUAGUCUCCCCAACACUCAACUCACCCUCAUAGGAUUGGAUUUGGUGGAGAGAUGAUUUGAGUGGAAAGCAACUUGGGAAAGUCUAGAGAUCAAGAUUCAUAUGGUUGGAUUGGAAUAUCUUGGUCUCAACACAUGAGUAGGUGGAUCUCUCUCAGAAAAUGAGUAGUGGAAGUGUAGGCACGAUCUGAUGGCUUCCCUCACGAAUGAGGAGAGGGUGGAGGGGUAUAUAUAGCCUCCACACAAAAUCUAACCGUUACACACAUUAUACCAAACUCGGUGGGACCGAAUCACAAAACUCGGUCUGACCGAUUCAGUACGUAUGUGACCGUUAGGCAAUUUCGAUGGGACCGACAUGUCAUCUCGAUGGGACCGAUAUCAUUAGGGUUAGGGCAUAACGUAAUCUCAGUUGGACUGAUUACACAAACUCGGUUGGACCGACUUUGGUAAUAAGCUAACAGAGAGUUGGUCAGGCAAACUCGGUGGGACCGAUUCUCUCGUCUCAGUGGGACCGAAGCAUUACGAAAAGGAAACAGGGAGUUUGCAUUGCAGACUCGGUGGGACCGAUCGCUCAUCUUGGUUAGACCAAAACGUUACGAAGUGAAACAGAGAAUUUGCAACCCCACCUCGGUGAGACCUAAAUCCCUAUCGGCAAGACCGAAGUUACUAGGGUUUCUAGCAGUGGCUAUGCCAAAUGAACUCGGUGGCGUCGGAUGGAUCAAAUUGGUGGGGCCGAGUUUGACUUUUGGUUUUGGACAUAUGUGGAUAUGAGAAAGUGGUUGAGGGCUUUUGGAGCAUAUCAUUAAGCAUUUUGAGCAAGCAAGCCAUUAAGCAACACCUCAUCCCCUUUUAAUAGUAUUGGCUUUCCUAUAGACUCAAUGUGAUCUUGGAUCACUAAAAUAUAAAAUGUAGAGUCUUGGACUUUAGAGCUUGAGCCAAUCUUUUGUCCUUAGCAUUUUGAGGGGUCCACAAUCCUAAUCCAUGCCAUGCCAAUCAUUGAACUUUCUUGAAAUAUUUAUCUUGAGAAGGCAUUAGCUCAAUGAGCUAUAUGUUGUUAAUCAUUACCAAAACCACCCAGGGAUAGUUGCACUUUCACCAUUCCAUGCCAAUCAUUGAACUUUCCUAAAAUAUUUAUCUUGAAAAGGCAUUAGUUCAAUGAGCUAUAUGUUGUAAAUUAUUACCAAAACCACCCAGGGAUAGUUGCACUUUCAAUCUCCCCCUUUUGGGUAAUUGAUGAUAGCAUAUAGAUCAAAGUUUCGACAAAUAAUAAUAGGAUUGAAAUACAUCGUUGCUUUGAGAAGUAUGUGAUAAGCAAGAGCACCCCCUAAAUUUCUGCAUUAUUUAAAAUUUGCAUUGGACUGCAAAUGCAUAAUGUGUUAGGAUCUUGGGUCACUAUUCCAUGUCACAUACAUCUUGGUGGAGCGCUCAGAAUGAUAACUAUUGAAAACAUGCACUCAUCACCAAGCAAAGUGAAUGAUCAUAAAUGGAUAUAAGGGAUAAUAUGAUUCAAGCACACAUUAAGGUAGCAUAUGAUCAAGCACAUGAUCAUCCAAGUAUCUCACAAAAGACAUAAUGUAUCAAGCAAACACACAAUAAAGUUCAACCCAAUAAAGCUCAAAGAGAGACAAAACAACUCUCUCUCUCUCUCUCUCUCUCGAAGACUAUGAUCUAUACAUAUUUCUCCCCCUUUGGCAACAAGUUACCAAAAAGCUAAAGUUAUGCAUAGUGCCAUGCGUCUCUCAGGCUUGGCCUUCAUGAGGUGGUGUAUAGAUGACUCCAAGGAGGAAAGCUUCUAUAGAUGUAGCUGGAGCUGGUGGAGUGGCUGCUGGAGGUGGCACUGAAGCUGUGGCUGCUGGUGCACAUGUAGUGGCUCUAGUAUCUGGAACUGGCACUGCAGCAGACCUCUGACUUCUCGGCACUCUUGUGAAAGCAUCUAUAGUAAACUUUCCUUUCUUCUCCUCCACUUCCUCCUGGAGUUGCUCAACUACUGACUGAAUCUCAGUUACUUUGACAUCAAGAUCAUAGAAUUUCUAUUCAAUGAUCCUCUCCAAACUCUCCUGAUUUUGAGUCAGGGUGGCCAAGCCCUUCUCGAUCCUCAAGGUGGAUUGGAUCAGAUAUCCAAGUUGAUCUUGCUUACUCUUUAAGAACACCUGAGAUGCCUCUUCAGCACUUGGCAUCUUUGCAGCUUUCUCUACGCUUGCCCUCUCUCUCUUAUCAUGUGCUUGCACCGAGGAAGGAUCUUCCUCAUCCAUGACAACAGUGUUAUCCUCAAAAUCUGGCUUGAGAGGUAAAUGCUCCUUGUCCAACAGAUAAGUGCCUGUGCCCAUCUUGGAGUUGAUGAGCAUCUGAAUUUGUGGAGCAUACCCACAAGACCUCUUUUGAUCUGCAGCUAUCCUCUUGAUUGUUUCCACAAUCAAAUACAUCACUUUGAACUUCUGAGGUACAUCAAAUAUGUGCAACAAAUUGAUGGAAUGUCCUCUUAUCAUUCUGUGAUCUCCAGACUUGGGCAAAAGAGUAUGCCCCCGGAUGGUAUUGAUUGUAGGCAGGCCAGGCAAUAAGUUCUUCACUGAGCCAAACUUCUGAGUUUCCAGGUCUGCAUCAGGAAUUUCUUUGUACAUGCUUGUCAUUGAGUUAUGGUCUUUCUUCUUCUUGGCAUACACAUCCAAGUCAUCUCCAUGAGCUGCUGGGGCAUUGAUCAAUCUGGCCCAUUCAUCAACAGUGGAUUGGUACCUAGUACCUCCUGACAUCCAUACAAUUCUGCCAUCAGGAUAAAAGUGAGCACUGGAGUAAAAUUGCAUGAUCAGCUCAUCAUUCCACUUUGUGAGUUUCUGGCCAACAAACUCGUCCACUUCACAAGCCUUGAAGCUGUCAUAGACACCUGGGAAGUGAUCUUCAUUUUCUCUAAUGUAUGUCUAGUCAACUCAUUUCAUGUCACAUACUAUGGGCUUCUUAUCAAGCAGAAUAGUCUCAUAGAAGUCUUGUUGUUCCUUGGUGUGGAACAUGUAAUCCACAACAGUUCUCCUCCUUACAACACAUGGGUCAUUCUUCCUCCAAAGUCUUAGACCUGCAUCCUUCCUGAUCCUCAUGUCCUCUGCUACAGGAUGUGUAUCAUUGUGCUUUGGAAUCUUUGGCUUGAUCUUCCUUAGCACUUGGGCUUCAUCUUCCUCUUCUUCAACUUUAGGCACUGGGGCCUUGUUCUUCUCCUCAGCAGGAAUGUUUCUUGUACUCCUCUUGGGUGCAGUCUUGGUGGCUAGAGAAGCACAUUUGGGAGCAGGUUUGGGCUUAGCAACAACCCCUGACUUAAUUACAUCUCCCAUUAGCUUUUGUGACUUAGGUGUUGGAGCAACAUCCUCUUCCUCUUCAUUAUCAGAUCUCACCAUAGUAGACUUUACAAGUACUUUGGUUAUUGUGGUUCUUGCCCUCUUCUUCUUCUUGUCAUCACCAGCUGCCUCUCCAUCAGAUUCAACUGUGAACUUCAUAGUUUCUCCUGUGGCAACUUUUCUUGGCUUGGAUGUAGGCACUCUCCUUGCUAGUGCCUUUCUGUUCAUGCCUGGCUUAGUAGAUGCAGCAGUGCCAAACUCCUUCUUCACCACCUUCUUCUUUGAAGUGGCCUCAUCCUCAGCUGCAACAUAGUCUUCAUCCUCCGAAUCUGAAGUUCUCUUCUUUCUUGCUCUAGUAGUUGCCUUAGGCAAGUUACUAGGUGUGCUCCUGCUGCCCUCAUCAUAGCUGAUGGAGGGACUAGUGCCCUGACUCAACUGCUCUUGCUUUCAAGAUCUGUUCUGGCUGUCACUCUGGUCAGACAUCUUGCACGCAAACUGUCAGCAGACCCUGUGAAUAGGUUGUAGAUGAGGUAGAGUAGAUGAGCAUCACAAGGUACAAAGGUUUUGCAAAACAAUUUGAGUCAAAAACUUAGUUUUAUUUCUCCACAGAAAUGAUCUCGAAGCUACCGAAUUGACAAACUCAGUGAUACCGAAGCAACACUUGGAACCUAAACUAGUGAUCUCGGUCAGACCGAGUCACAGUUCGGUGGCACCGAGAUUGCUAGGGUUUCACAGAAUCUUGAACUCGUCACACCGAUUUGCAAUUUUCGGUCGGACCGAAAAGUGCAUGUGCAAUGGCCUAAGCCGAAUCGGUGAGACUGAUUUCUACAUUUCGGUCAGUCCGAGAUGAGUUCUGCAGAGAGCUAACCCUAAUUUUUUUGAAUCAAUCUAGGCCUAAGAAAGAUUUAGCUGGAUAGGUCAAUCUCAUUCAUGGCAAGAAACAUGGCAUUGUCCUUGUGCUAGGAAUCAGAGUUAAAAAUGACAGCACAAGGGGUCGAACACGUACCCUAGAACGGCGGGUGUUUGCUACGGCGGCGACGAACAAGCAGUAUCCAUCAACGGCGGUAGAGUCCAACAGUGGAAGGUCAUUGGCGGCGAGGAGACAAUCUGGAGACCCAAGGAGGCAGAGCAGGAUGCGUGCGGGCUGAGAGGAUUUGAAGUAAUUUCCAAAAUCUCACCCAUGGGUAUCUAUAUCCCGACCUUGUCAGUGUGACCGAGUGGAACAACUUGGUGGCACCGAGAUUGCAGAAUUGCAAGCGGUUGCUGCAACUCGGUGUGACCGAAGUGUUCAAAUCGGUUCCACCAAGAUGAAAACCUAGAUCAACUUAGUGAACUCGGUGUGACCGAAAUGGAUGUCUCGGUCAGACCAAAAUGCACAAAGAGGUUUUGGAAGUUUAAGUCUAUGACGAAUCGGGGACUCCGAGUGCUCCUCACAUAGAGUGGGCUGAAUCUGACUUGAUCAAUCUUUGUGAUGUAGCAUGAAUAGAGUUUGAGACGAGAAAAGCAUAGAUAGCUAGAGAAGGUUCUUAGGCAUUCUUGUCCAUCCACUUGGCAAAAGAGAAAAAGAAACCAAACAAACAAAACAAAAAGUGGACGUCCUCGAAUGAGUAAAAUAUGAAAAUGACAUGCUCACACAAUAAAAUGGCAAAUAAAACAUGUGACAAAGCAUGCACAACCAAUUCUAGCAUCUAUCAAAAAAUUGGCGAUGACUAGGUCAUCUAUAUAUGAGUAUAUUGACUUAGGAGUCAAAUGAGAACAUUUGAUCAUAGGUCAUACUCAUCGUUUAAGAACAAGUGGGGUUACCACUUUUACAUAAAGCAUUGCUGUGUUCACACCAUUAGAGCUGCUUUAGCAUAAUUCUUUAGAGUAAAGCUCCCCCUAGAUGUGAGAUCCCCCCUAAGAGAGAUGAACUAACCUUGGGUUUUGUCGAUGAUGACUUCAUGUAGGUGUUGAAGAUGUGGAUGCUCAAUGUUGUUGUAGAUCAUUUGGAGUGAUCCAUUGGAGUCAGUUGCACUUUCAAUACCUACACGGGUUAGUCCCACAAGGAACAAACAAGGAUAUCCAUAGACAUAGAGAGAAGCACACAAAAGAUGAUGUCCAUGAAAGCAUUAGUUUACCUUGUCCCUUGUCUUACCAACAAGAGGGUUUGUGACUCCUUGAACUAGUGCAAGAUGUGGAAGUAGAUUGCACUUGUCCUUGCCAAAAUGAUAUGAGUGAAGAAUAUUGGCGGAGUCACCUUCAAGAACUCUCUAGUCAUUCUUAUUUGGGAUCCACAUCAUCUUGAUGGGAAUCCUAGGGGUUGUAGUGGAACUUGAUGAAGUAGAAUUUGAUGUAGUCUUGGGAACCCACUUGACCAAGGCCUUGGGAGCUUCUUAAAAUGCAUCAAUCUCCUCUUGAAGCUUGUCAUUGCCUUUUUUCUUGUGGUCUUGUGGUGGAAGAUCAUCUUGAGCUUGUGUCCCUUGGAAAGAAGUAGGAUCAUACUUCUCUUGUUGGGGAACAAACUUCGUCUUGGGGUAUUGAUCUUCUUCCCACUCAACUCCAUUGGAAUUGAACUUUAGUUCAAAACCAACACCUUGAUUCUUCCGGUGCCUUCCUUGCUUGCGUACAAUUUCCUCAAAUUGCUUACUUCCGGCAAAGCUCUUGUAGACACCCUUCUCUACAAUUCCCUUCAAUAAGCUAUUUUCUUGCUCAAGUGUAACUUGGCUAAGAGAAUCAUUAGUGGAAUCAAGAGAACUACUAGAAGCAACAAACAUUGGAUUUAGCAUGAUUAUUGUUACUACUAGAAGAAGAAUCUUUCUUACUCUUGUUGCUAGAUUUUACUUGAGGCACAUGCGUAGAUAAGAGUAAAUGCUUGGCAAUGUAAGAAGAACUGUUCUUGCGAAGAUCAUCAUUGAUUGCCUUUAAAAACUCAUGCUCUUGCUCAAGGUUGAGAUUUUCAAAGCAUAACUUCUCAUGAGUCUUUAAAAUUUCUCGAUGAUCUUCCAAGAUAGUUUCAUGAGCUAACUUAAGAGUGUUUAGUUAUUUAGUUAGAUGCUCAAUCUUCUCCUUAUCAUCGUCAUUCAUUUUAUCUUGAUUAGCAUGAUUAAUUGACGUUUCAUCAUAGUAUUCAUCACUAGAGUUGUCAACAAGUAAAUCAUCAUCACCUAACAAGUCAUCUUCAUCACUAUUGAAAUCAACAUACUCGGGGUGUGAUACCUCUGGGCCUUUAGCCAUGAAGCCUAUUCCAAUUCCUUCAUUUGGUGAGUCAAAUAUGUCGUAGGAGUUGGUUGACACAAGUGCUAGACCGGCAACACCUUCAUCUUGAGUAUAUUCGGAGUUGGAGUGAUAGCUUCUCUCGGAGUGAUGGUCAAAGUCGGAGUCGGAUACCCAUUCACCAACAUGAGCUUGAUGUCUUUGCUUUGUGUAGCUCUUUGAUGAUUUGUCCUUCCUUUCCGAAUCCUUGCUUCUCCGGGAGGUUCUUCGUUCAUAACGACCAUCUCCACUCCUCCUCUCUCUUGGUGGUGAUUCUUCUCUUCUACUUCUCCUUUUGGGUGAAUCUUGUCUCCUUUUGUAAGGAGCCGUACACUCAUUGGAAUAGUGUCCGGGUCUUCCACAAUUGUAGCAAUUACGUUCACGACUCAAAGAUCUUUUGUCAUUUUAGGAUCUUGACUUGGAGCUUCUUUCCUUGCUUCUACUCUUGUAGAAUUUGUUGAAAAUUUUUCACCAUUAAGCUCAAUUCCUCAUUUAAGGUUUGUUUCUCACUUGAUGAUGUAGUAGAAUCACAAGAGGCUUUGUAAGCACCACUUGACUUGUUGUGAAGCUCUUCCUUAUCCUUGAGUGACAUCUCAUGAGCAACAAUUCUUCCAAUGACUUCCGUUUGCUUGAGGUCUUUGUAAUUGGGCAUCAUUUGGAUCAAUGUGCACACGGUAUCAUAUUUUCUAUCCAAGGCUCUUAGGAUCUUCUUGAUGAUGAAUUUGUCGGUCAUCUCUUCACUUCCUAAGCCGGCAAUCUCAUUUGUGAUGACAGCAAGCCUAGAGUACAUUUCAGCAACACCUUCACCAUCCUUCAUUUUGAACUUGUCAAGUUGACUUUGAAGCACAUCCAAUUUGGAUUUCUUGAUGGAGUCGGUACCUUUGUGCAUAUCAAUCAAAGUGUCCUAAAUUUCCUUUGCAUUCUCAAGACGGCUGAUUUUAUUGAAUUCUUCGGGGCACAAUCCAUUGAAGAGGAUAUCGCAAGCUUGAGCGUUGUAUUGCAGAAUCUUCAACUCUUCCACGGUAGCUUCACGGUUUGGUUCUCUCCCAUCAAAGAAUUCACCUUGCAAGCCAAUACACACAAUAGUCCAAACAGCGGGGUUAUGUCCAAGAAUAUGCGUUUUCAUCUUAUGCUUCCAACUAGCAAAAUUAGUACCAUCAAAGUAAGGACCUCUACGGUGGUAAUUUCCCUUGCUAGGCGCCAUACUCUCCUAGGUUGUGAAACCAAGGCUAUGAUCACCAAAAGCUAUGGAAAUCAAGGCAAAUGGAGACCAAAGCUCUGAUACCAAUUGUAGGAUCGAAAGUAUGUCUAGAGGGGGGGGGGUGAUUAGACUACUUGACCAAAUAAAAACUUAACCUUUUCCCAAUUUUAGUUCUUGGCAGAUUUUAACAAGAUAGAAGAAAUCAAGCAAUCUUAACACAAUUCAAGCAAGCAUGCAAAGAGUAUAUGAGUAGUGGAAGUGUACCCACUUGACCAAAGCCUUGGGAGCUUCUUAAAAUGCAUCAAUCUCCUCUUGAAGCUUGUCCUUGCCAUUUUGCUUGUGGUCUUGUGGUGGAAGAUCAUCUUGAGCUUGUGUCCCUUGGAAAGAAGUAGGAUAUACUUCUCUUAUUGGGGAACAAAAUUCGUCUUGGGGUAUUGAUCUUCUUCCCACUCAACUCCAUUGGCAUUGAACUUUCGUUCAAAACCAACACCUUGAUUCUUCCAGUGCCUUCCUUGCUUGCGUGCAAUUUCUUCAAAUUGCUUACUCCCGGCAAGGCUCUUGUAGACACCCUUCUCUAUAAUUCCCUUCAAUAAGAUAUUUUCUUGAUAAAGUGUAACUGGGCUAAGAGAAUCAUUAGUGGAAUCAAGAGAACUACUAGAAGCAACAACAUUGGAUCUAGCAUGAUUAUUGUUACUACUAGAAGAGGAAUCUUUCUUACUCUUGUUACUAGACUUGACUUCUGGCAUGUAAGUAGAUAAGAGUAAACGCUUGGCAAUGUAAGAAGAACUUUUCUUGCGAAGAUCAUCAUUGAUUGCCUUUAAAAACUCAUGCUCUUGCUCAAGGUUGAGCUUUUCAAAGCAUAACUUCUCAUGAGUCUUUAAAACUUCUCGAUGAUCUUCCAAGAUAGUUUCAUGAGCUAACUUAAGAGUGUUUAGUUCUUUAGUUAGACGCUCAAUCUUCUCCUUAUCAUCAUCAUUCGUUUUAUCUUGAGUAGCAUGAUUAAUUGACGUUUCAUCAUAGUAUUCAUCACUAGAGUUUUCAACAAGUAAAUCAUCAUCACCUAACAAGUCAUCUUCAUCACUAUUGAAAUCAACAUACUCGGGGUGUGAUACCUUUGGGCCUUUAGCCAUGAAGCAUCUUCCAAUUCCUUCAUUUGGUGAGUCAAAUAUGUCGUAGAAGUUGGUUGACACAAGAGCUAGACGGGCAACACCUUCAUCUUGAGUAUAAUCGGAGUCAAAGUGAUAGCUUCUCUUGGAGUGAUGGUCGGAGUCGGAGCUAGAUACCCAUUCACCAACAUGAUCUUGUUGUCUUCGCUUUGUGUAGCUCUUUCAUGAUUUGUCCCUCCUUUCCGAAUCCUUGCUUCUUUGGGAGGUUCUUCGUUCAUAAUGAUCAUCUCUACACCUUCUCUCGCUUGGUGGUGAUUCUUCUCUUCUACUUCUUCAUUUAGGUGAAUCUUCUCUCCUUUUGUAAGGAGCCUUACACUCAUUGGAGUAGUGUCCGGGUCUUCCACAAUUUUAGCAAUUAUGUUCACGACUUGAAGAUCUUUAUUGUUGGAUUGAAAGUAUGUCUAGAGGGGGGGGGGUGAUUAGACUAUUUGACCAAAUAAAAACUUAACCUUUUCCCAAUUUUAGCUCUUGGCAGAUUUUAACAAUUUAGCACAAGUCAAGCAAUCUUAACACAAUUCAAGCAAGCAUGCGAUGAGUAUAUAAGCAGCGGAAAGUAAAGUAUGCAACUUGCAAGAAUGUAAAGGGAUGGGAUUGGAGAGUGCAAAUGCAUUAGGAGACACGGAUGUUUUUGGCGUGCUUCCGAUAGGUGGUGCUAUCGUACAUACACGUUGAUGGAGACUUCAACCCACGAAGGGUAACGACUGCGCGAGUCCACGGAGGGCUCCACCCACGAAGGGUCCAUGAAGAAGCAACCUUGUCUAUCCCACCAUGGCCAUCGCCCACGAAGGACUUGCCUCACUAGGGUAGAUCUUCAUGAAGUAGGCGAUCUCCUUGCCCUUACAAACUCCUUGGUUCACUCCACAAUCUUGUCGGAGGCACCCAAGUGACACCUAACCAAUCUAGGAGACACCACUCUCCAAAAGGUAAUAGAUGGUGUGUUGAUGAUAAACUCUUUGCUCUUAUGCUUCAAAUGAUAGUCUCCCCAACACUCAACUUACUUUCAUAGGAUUGGAUUUGGUGGAAAGAUGAUUUGAGCGGAAAGCAACUUGGGGAAGGAUAGAGAUCAAGAUUCAUAUGGUUGGAUUGGAAUAUCUUGGCCUCAACACAUGAGUAGGUGGUUCUCUCUACGAAAAUGAGUAGUGGAAGUGUAGGCACGUUGUGAUGGCUUCCCUCACGAAUGAGGAGAGGGUGGAGGGGUAUACGUAGCCUCCACACAAAAUCUAACCGUUACACACAAUAUACCAAACUCGGUGGGACCGAAUCAAAAAACUUGGUCAGACCGAUUUAGUACAUAAUGUGACCGUUAGGCCAUUUCGGUGGGACCGACAUGUCUACUCGGUGGGACCGAUAUCAUUAGGGUUAGGGCAUAACAUAAUCUCGAUUGGACCGAUUACACAAACUCGGCCGGACCGACUUUGGUAAUAAGCUAACCAGAGAGUUGGUCAGGCAAACUCGGUGGGACCGAUUCGCUCGUCUCGGUGGGACCGAAGCGUUACGAAAAGGAAACAGAGAGUUUGAAUUUCAGACUCGGUGGGACCGAUCGCUCAGCUCGGUUAGACCAAAACGCUACGAAGGGAAACAGAGAGUUUGCAACCCCAUCUCGGUGUGACUGAGAUCCCUAUCGGUGAGACUGAAGUGACUAGGGUUUCUGGCAGUGGCUAUGUCAAAUGAACUCGGUGGCGCUGGAUGGAUCAAAUCGGUUGGGCCGAGUUUGACUUUUGGUUUGGGAAAUAUGUGGAUAUGAGAAAGUGGUUGAGGGCUAUGGAGCAUAUUACUAAGCAUUUUGAGCAAGCAAGCCAUUAAGCAACACCUCAUCCCCUUUUAAUAGUAUUGGCUUUCCUAUAGACUCAAUGUGAUCUUGGAUCACUAAAAUAGAAAAUGUAGAGUCUUGGACUUUAGAGCUUGAGAUAAUCUUUUGUCCUUGGCAUUUUGAGGGGUCCACAAUCCUAAUCCAUGCCAUGCCAAUCAUUGAACUUUCUUGAAAUAUUUAUCAUGAAAAAGCAUUAGUUCAGUGAGCUAUAUGAUGUCAAUCAUUACCAAAACCACCCAGAGAUAGUUGCACUUUCAGCGAGCCUCUACGUCAUCUCACCCUCUUCGUUUCCUUCCUCGCAUGCUGUAGUGACUGCACCAAGCUCGCCUACACUCGCCGCUGUCUGCGUUCGCUGCCGACGCACCUCCGGUGACCAAAUGGUCCGCCCGACGUGUCCAUCGCCGUCGCUGCACCACACACGCACCCCUAGUGCCUAGGCUCGCCUGCUCGUGCAUCGCAGCGCUUUCCAUGCCCUCACCGAGCUCCGGCCGCCGCGGCCGAGCUCCUCGUCGUCACCUCUGGCCAUCCUAGGCCCGGCUGGCACCACCGCCCGACGCGCGCUAGUCUGGGAUCUCGAACGAGCCUAGCCACACUUUGAACAGGGCACCACAACGCAAUCCUAAGCCCCGCCGCCGCGUCUGGCCUCGCCGGUAUAGAGCCGCCGAUGUGUUUGACCCCGUGGGACCAGGGAUUUCACCCCCUGUGUCACUGACAUCACUACAAAAAAAAUACACUUCCGUGAUGAUACGUGUUUGUCACAGUAGGUUGCGAUUUUUGUCAUGCACGUACAUCCAUGACGAUUUUAUGACAGAAUCAAGAUAGUCAUACCUGUGCUGUCGUAGAAGUGUUCCAUGACAUUACCAAAAUUAUCAUCACGGAAGUGUCCACUUCCAUGAUGAUAAAUCACGUGUCACAGAAGUGCUUUCGUCAAGGGUGACCGACAUGUGGCAUCCACCGUAACGGAACGCCGUUAAGCUAUUGGGUCGGGUUUUGGAUCCGAUAACCCAUUAACUGCCCCGACCAAUGGGGAUUUUCCACGUGUAAAAUCAUCAUUGGCUGGAGGAAACACGUGUUGGCUCACCGUUGGGACAGAUGUCAUCUGCUUAUUGGACCGAAGGCGCCUAUGAUACGGCGACACAUGGCAUGGCCCAACAGAGGCCCAUUCCUGUGAAAAGGCCGGCCCGUUUGACUUGGUGAAAAGGUGGCGGGCCGGCCGACGGAAAGCCUGUUAACGGCCUAUUCGCAUAUAGCCCAUUUAUAGCCCGCUAACCCAGGGCCUGUUACGCCCUAUCCAAAUUAGGCCCAGUAGUGUCAUUUGGGCCGUCCAAUAUGAUUCCAGCCCGUUUUAACUUCCAGCCCAUGUGUGUCCCAUGACUUCUUUCAGCCCAUAUGAGGCCCUUUGUAACUCUUGGCCCAUUAACGGCCCGUGGUGAAACUGGCCCGUAAUGAACAGUGUAUCACUUUAUACCCAUUAACGACCCAUUAUUGUAUUGGGCCGUUUCCAGCCCAAGUUAUCUUUCGGCCUUCUCAGGGCCAAUUGAUUCUUGGGCUCAUUUGUAGCAUUUGGUUACAUACGGCCCGUUACUGUCAUUUUCUGCUUGUGGGCCAAAUUCAGCCCGUCGUUACAGUCGGCCCGUUUGCGGACCGUUAAUACGUUGGGCCGUUUUCAUGUCAAAAAAACCAAUUGGGCUGUUUUCAUAGAGUUAUCAAAUACGGUCUAUUAACGGCCCAUUAUGGUCCACGAAUAGUACAACCCAUGAUUGGCAAAAUGAUGAUACGCCCCGUAGAAGGCCGAUGGAUCCUACGACCCGUAUGAGGCUCAUGGAUAGUACGACCCGUAGAAGGCCAAUGGAUCGUAUGGCCCGUAGAAGGCCCAUGGACCCUACGGCCCGUAGAAGGCCCAUGAAUCCUAAGGCUCGUAUAGAAGGCCAAUGGAUCCUACGGCCCGUAUAGAAGGCCAAUGGAUCCUACGGCCGGAAGAAGGCCCAUGGAUCAUAUGUCCUGCAGGAGACCCAUGGUUAAAACAGUCCGUGUGUUGCCAUGAUUAUUUUGGCCUAGUUACCAAAAAUAGGCUAUUUUGGCCACUAGAAAAACACAAAAAAAGAUCUGCAGUGACUACAAGCAAACAACUAAACAAGACAAUAAGGAAAUAAAUAAGCAAGCAAUUAACACUAGCCUAUUACCGCUAUUACACAUAUUACAUUCACUGGGCAUCAAAGUUCGCCACCAGUGCAAAUAUAGGGAACAAAGCAGCAUAUUACAUACACUAGCCGUCAAAAUUGGCCACCAGUGCAAAUAAACACGGCAGCAAAACAAGAGCAUAACUGAAACAACUUCAGAAGAGCCCAAGAAACAUUACCAUGGGUAUCCACCAUGCUGGCAAUAAGCUUAGCAAGCUUAUUAGCUUUGUCCUGUUUGGCGCUAAAAUCCUCCAACGCUUGUUGUUGCUCCAGAAAGUAUGCAUCUGAAUGCUCCAGGGACUUCCGCAGUCCUUCCACUUCUUGUCGCAGCACAGCUGAUCGAUGUCUUUCAGCUUGUAGUUGAGACUCAAGAAACCGAACUAAUUCAGACAGUGAGUUUGAAUAGCUUGUGCAAGCGGUAGUGGCCAGUAACUCGAACACUAAACCAAGAAAUGACUUUGGGGUUGUCUCACUGUCUUCAAGAUAGUCUCCCUUAGCUGUUUUAUCAGCUUUGUUGGAGACCAACAAGGACGUGUCACUAUCCUGAACCUUAUCUGCAUUUCUUCAUUUACCAUUGCUUAAUAAGGCACUCUUCCCCAAUAUUCUUUCAGCAUUCUAAAAGAAGAAACAAGCAGACACAUAACAAGUUUAGCAUGUACUAGUAUAUGAAACUCAUUUUGGUGAACCAAUUCAUUAGUAAGGUGGACAUGAUUAAAAUACCAAGUCUUCUAUUGCCAAGUACUAGUACAUAAUAAAAGCAUCAAACAAACAUAUAUCUAUGUCCUAUGGUCACUGCAUUGUCUUGCCAAAUCAAAAUAGAGAUACGGUUGAAAUCAAAUUAGUUCAAGACAAAGCAGCAGUGAAAGAAUACAAAGCGUGGGAAACUACAGAGCACAACAAGAUUUUAGAUGGGUACCACGGGUCUACAUGUACAACAACACUAUUGGCUCUGUUGUGAUGCUAGUAAUGUGCAUGAUAUGAAAGUCAACUGUAUACACAAUUGGAAUUGAAAUCAAAAGAGCUAUUGAUAAGAGCAAACCUAUUAAAGAAACAUGCGUGAACAUACCGGCUGUGCCAUUGGAGUUUCGAUUGGAUCCUUCAAUUUAAAAAUAAGUUUGUAUGAGUAAAUAUAGUGAUACAAGAGCAAAGCAAUCAUAGUUAAAAAAAGGCGCGCCUAAGCGAGCGCUUAAGCGCGCCUAGGCUCUAGGCGUUGGCAAAAUGCAUUGCACAUAACUACGCUUAAUCUGUGCAUAACUAUGCAUAAGCAUGCACUUUUGUUAGUAAAGCACAAGGCAGUGGCAAAACACACAAUUAACGCCUAGCGCUUUUUUGAACUAUGAUAGCAAUGGAAUCUUAAAUUAGAACAGUUGUUCUUUAGGUUUAGGCACUUGUUCUACAUGAACAGAGUACUGUAAGACGCAAGAAUAUAAUACUUAAAAAUAGAAAAUGAGCUCAUAGACCUUACCACAUUCUUGGUUCGGGACUAGUACAGAACAAGGCGUUCCCAGUCAUCGUCCAGUAAAUGUGUCUGAGGAGAACGUAAGGGAAUUUCAUGAGUUUCUUUGCCAAUGAAGUUCGUUUUCUUCAGGUAAUUCCGAUACUGCUACCAAGCAUUCCUGAAGAUAGUAGAGGUAUUAGCACAGGUUACCUCAUCCCGAGUUUCCAAAUCGGUCCUUCUCUAUAGAGAAAAAUGGGAAAAUUUGCUGUAUUAUAACCAUCAUGGAGGUAGGAUGUAUGGGACGAAGCAAAGUAAUUGCCAUGAAUAACAUUACUUACACAUAACUCCUAGACAAACACCUGCAACUGGCAUUUUCCUUCAUCUUCAGUAUAAUAUUUCCAAGAUGGGAAGAUACGCACAUCCGAUUUAACAACAUCAAAUGCAAUAGAUGCUAAACUACGACUAGCUGGUUGUGCUUCCUCCAUAGGAAUAGGCGUACUAACUGGUGGAGUUGGGGUUCGCCAUGAUAGUACUGGCCCUUUGGGAGUGGAGCUUCCUUACUAACUACUCUUGUUUGGGAGCUUUGUGGUGGAGAUUGUGUUGCGUCAACAGGAACUGGGUUACUAUCGGCUGGGGUUGGGGUUAGAUUGGGUGAAGCUGGUUCUCUAUCCAUCGUAGUAGGGGUACAAUCUGCGAGAGUUUGGGUUAUGUGUGGUACGGCUGGUUCUUGUGCAUGUACAACCGGGGUGCUAUCUCCACCAAGAGGUAGCACUGUUUUAUUUGAAGACCGUGUUUUUAGUCCGCUAGAUACUGGCAUCACCCGCUCCAAUUCAAAUGGCUGAUAAACAGGAAACAUAGUUGAAUGUACAGACAUUGUAUGAGAGACAGAUGCAAUAGAUAGUGUGGAAAAAAGAGGGAAUGAAAUAGUUGACAUGUAUAUUGUUUAACUAAAACGGAUAGCAUGCCAUAAUUUCACAUAUAUGAUGUCUAUCUAAACUGGGUAGCAUAGCAUAACAUAAUUCAAAGAUAUGAUGAAUAACUAAACAUGAUCGCAUGACAUAAUUCACCUACAUGUUAUCUAAGUAAUCAGGAUCACAUCAUUUAAUUAAAAUAUGUGAUUUAUAUGCUAAACAGAGGGCAUUCGAUAUGAUGUCUGAACUAAACAUGGUGUUGAAUAUUGUGUAUAUGAUGUUUAAACUGUGCAAUGCAAGACACUGUAUGCAUGAUAUGAGCAGUAUAACCGUGCCAAGUUAGAGCAUACACCUCAGUGGGGGAAUAGGACUGGUCAUCUGUCUCUGAAUCCAUCUCUCAGGAGCUAUCGGGACCCAACAAGAGAUCUGCUUCGAAAGGUAGCACUGUCUACUCUGAAGGCCUUGUUUUCACUCCGGAUUUUUCCAUCUCCCACCCAAAUGGCUGAUUCACAGGAAGAGUAGUUUAAUGUACAAACAUUGUCGACAAAUGGAAAUGUAAUGAAGAAAAGGAUGGGAAAGAUAUCAUUCAAAUAUAUGAUGCCUGGUUAAAUAGGAUGGCAUUGCACAAUUCACAUAUAUUAUGGCUGGCUAAAAGACAUGAGCCAACAUAAUUCCCAUAUAUGAUAUAGAAACUAAACAAGUGGCAUUGUAGAACAUGUCUAAACUAAGCAGAUGACAUAUAUCACUAAAAAAAGACACAUCCGUGACAUUUUGGGCCGAAUGAAUUUUUUUUCUGUCAUACAUAUGACACUUCUAUGAUGAUAAUUGUGACAAAACCGGUAUCAUCAUAGAUGUGGUGGGCUCCUACUUCUAUGACAAAAAAUCAAGACAGAAAAUGGGCUUUUCGUCCUGGGCGGGCUGGAGAAGCAGCUGCAUGACAUUCUUGGGGCCGUCCAUGACGGGAAAAACCGUGGUAGAAGCGAGGGCGAGGAAAAUUUCGGGGAGUUUCCGGUUACGGUGGGUGGUCGGGGGCCGAGCGAUGCACGUUUCUCUCGUAUGUACGCGCGUGUGUUCGAGGCAUUGCACUCUAACUGAACUCGAGCGAAGUGUUGGGCUCUAACUGAACCCGAGCGAUUGCACUGAUGGCUAUGCGUUACUGAACCCGAGCGAUCAAUCGAUGGCUGUUAACUGAACCCGAUCGAGCGAUUCCUUCACUACUGCUGCUAACUGAAGCCGAUCGAUGAUGCCUCUCUGGAUGAACAAUGAGUNNNNNNNNNNNNNNNNNNNNNNNNNNNNNNNNNNNNNNNNNNNNNNNNNNNNNNNNNNNNNNNNNNNNNNNNNNNNNNNNNNNNNNNNNNNNNNNNNNNNNNNNNNNNNNNNNNNNNNNNNNNNNNNNNNNNNNNNNNNNNNNNNNNNNNNNNNNNNNNNNNNNNNNNNNNNNNNNNNNNNNNNNNNNNNNNNNNNNNNNNNNNNNNNNNNNNNNNNNNNNNNNNNNNNNNNNNNNNNNNNNNNNNNNNNNNNNNNNNNNNNNNNNNNNNNNNNNNNNNNNNNNNNNNNNNNNNNNNNNNNNNNNNNNNNNNNNNNNNNNNNNNNNNNNNNNNNNNNNNNNNNNNNNNNNNNNNNNNNNNNNNNNNNNNNNNNNNNNNNNNNNNNNNNNNNNNNNNNNNNNNNNNNNNNNNNNNNNNAACAGGAGCCCGUGGAGAGAGGUGGUUGAACAGUAGCCGAUGGAGUAGCGCGCGGUGGAGGCUGGAUGAACAGGAGCCCGUGGAUGAAUAGUCGCAGGUGGAGGCUGGAGGAGGUCGACGGUGGAUGAACAGUAGCCCGUGGAGGCUGGAGGAGGUCGACGGUGGAGUUGAUCAGUAUCCUGUGGAGUCCCGUUUUGCGGUACGCCACACCCCUCCUGAUGAAUAGGACCCCCGUUUCGACCGUAGCGCUCCAACACAAGUCCGUUUCGUCCGUUUUGCGGUACGCCACACCCCUCCCGAUCAACAGGACCCCCGUUUCGACCGUAGGAGGUCCGUUUCCUCCGUUUUGCGGUACGCCACACCCCUCCCGAUCAACAUGACCCCGUUCCGAACGUAGGAGGUCCGUUUCCUCCGUUCUGCGGUACGCUAGGCCUUGUUUCCAUCACCUGUUCCGUCCAAGCCCUCCCGAUGAACACGACCACGCAUUCCGUUUCGACCCAGCCGGUUGGCUCCCACGCGUUCCGUUGCCUCUCCAUGAACACGGCGCAUUCCGUUGCCUCCACAUGAACACGACACAUUCCGUUGCCUCCCCAUGAACACGAUGACGGCGUUGUUUCUCCCUUCCGCCCAAGCCAUGUACACGAGCCCUGGCCAUACGUAUGCGCGAGUAGGUGUUCGAGACCCCGCCCGUAUGUAUGUACGUGGCCGUAUUUUCUUUCUUGCACCCUGGCCGUUGUACGUACGUGUACAUGCUACAUGCGCGCCUCUACUACGACAUGUGCGCGCCUCUACUACGACACAUGCGCGCCUCUACUACGAUACAUGCGCGCCUCUACAUCGACCAAUAUGUACGUACACGUUCGCGACCAGAAUGACAACACUACGUACGCUUCGACCAGGUGGGUCCCGACUUUCAGGCACUUCCUUGCGUGUGAAGAUGUAGCUGGUGGGUCCCAACAGUUAGGGGGGCGAAUCGUUUUUUUUGCCCGGAUGCACUUCCUUGUGUGCUAAGAUGUAGCUGGUGGGUCCCAGCAGUCAAGGGGGCGAAUCGUUUUUUUCCCGGACGCACUUCCUUGCGUNNNNNNNNNNNNNNNNNNNNNNNNNNNNNNNNNNNNNNNNNNNNNNNNNNNNNNNNNNNNNNNNNNNNNNNNNNNNNNNNNNNNNNNNNNNNNNNNNNNNNNNNNNNNNNNNNNNNNNNNNNNNNNNNNNNNNNNNNNNNNNNNNNNNNNNNNNNNNNNNNNNNNNNNNNNNNNNNNNNNNNNNNNNNNNNNNNNNNNNNNNNNNNNNNNNNNNNNNNNNNNNNNNNNNNNNNNNGCAGUCAGGGGGCGAAUUGUUUUUUUUUGCCCGGACGCAUUUCCUUGAGUGCGAAGAUGUAGCUGGUGGGUCCCAGCAGUUAGGGGGAAAUGUUUUUUUCGCGAAAUACGGUGGCCCAUCCGGUGGGUCCCCGCUGUUAGGUGGAGGAAUAAUUAUUUUGCGCGUAAUAAGGAGGCACUUCCUUGUUGCGGCCGUGGACCCAACUGUCAGCCUCUCCACGUACAGUCCACGUCUGAUGGAAGCCGUUCCUUGACCACGUUGACCACGCCGCGCCGAGAGCACCAGGGCGGUGGACGACGGCGAGGCCUAGCAAGGGGACGAUGCGGAGCCGGGGAAGACGCGAUAGUGGAUGCCCACGCGUAGAGGAGUACGAGGGUUCACUGGUUUGCUGCGGUGUGAGGCUGCUGUCGCCGCAGAAUAAUAGGGGUGUGGGUGAGUAGAGGGAUGGCCUGGCCAGUGGUGGCAGUAGUAGGGGGCGGUGAGGAAACCGCCGCAUCGCAGCCGGCCACGGGAGGCAGGCGCAUGAGGCACGACCGACGCUGGUUUGGGCGGCUGGAGCAAGAAGACCAGAGGUUGAAGAAGCACUACGGCCGUUGGAUGGACAUCGUACGGUCACUGGAGCUAGAAUCGUGCAUAUUGACUAAGUUGACAAAGCCCUCCGUCCCCGUCAACUUAGUAGGCCCACAAGUCAGCCUGCCACUAUACUGGGUCCCAACUAAAAGGGGGAGUUGACUGGUUCGGCUGCCAUCGCCGGAAAAUAACAUGAGGUGUGGGUCAGUAGAGGGAUAGAUAGGCCAGGGAUGCGAGAAUGAUGGGGCCGUGAGGCCUGCCCGGCAACACUGUCGGCCACGGGAAGCGGGAGCAGGCGGUUCCGAUGGCGCUGGUUUGGGCGGCUGGGGCAGGAAGAUCAGAGACUGAAGAAGCAUGAUUGCCGUUGGAUUGACAUCUAAUGGUCUGACGCUGGUAGAGUCGAUUGUUCACUAAGUUUCUUUUUUGAGAAACCUUGUGUACGCAUGAACUUAGUAGGCCCACAAGUCAGCCUCCAAAUCUGUGGCAGACAACAUAAAGCCCAUUUGCUAUUUUUUAUAAUUUGCAGCCCACUUGCUAAUUCUUAAGUAAUUUAUUAUAGCCCAUUUUCUGCCCAGGACCACGAUCAAAAAGUUCAACCUUAUUUUGCAUAUUUCGGUGGAGUCCGAACUGUUGUAAUCCCGAAAUGAUAAACAUUUUUAAGAACUUAUUGAUUUGCCAAAAAAUCAUUUUGUUUUUGUAAGCAAAUAAGACAUGGGACAAUUGAGUUGGUUUAAGGGAAAACCAGUGUAAAAAAAUCAGCGUUGGGUGGGAAAAAACACCAAAAAUAAGGAUGUAAAUAUGAAAAGGGAAUUUUAUGUGUUUUCAAUAUAAUGAUACAUGUAUAUGAACUAGUAAAACUAUAGGUAGAGAUUAGAAAACAGAUAUAGGACAUGCGUUUCAAGAGGAAAAUAGAACUAUGCUGUGUGUUUGAUUCAGUAAAAAAACUGCCUGUGGAUGUUGUAAGACAAAACAUAACUAACGCUGGCGGGCCAGAGGCCAGUAGAUACCUGCUGGAUCUUUGUGCCCCAUUGUCGUCAUGGGCUGGGCCUGUUAAAAACAAAACCAACCCUGGGCAGUGUACAGCCCAGUUGAUACUUGCUCGACCUGAAAAAACAAUAUACGUACUCAAUAAACGAGAGAAUUCUGCAAGUACAGAUUGAUAACUGGGAUGCAGCACGGAUAUAUUUUUUAUCGUGAUAAUAAGUGCAUGCACUUGUUUCCAAAAAAUUGGAGAACUGGGAAUUCGAACGGCAGGUGCUUAUGCUACCCAUCAAAUAAAAAUAAGGUGCCUGAAAAUUCAUUUCGAAACAAAUGAUUCAGCUUUAUAUCCAUGUCGACCCUCGGCAUGAUGGUUGGAAGCAAAUGCAAGUUCAUAACAAAAGAUCGUUAACAACAAUACCAACUUGCGGACGACAAGGUAGUACAACUACCAAUACCAAACUAACUUAUAAUCUUUUUACUCCUGGCCCUAGUGUUCGUCUGGUAGAAAUUCUUGCAGAGGACCAGCUCCUGCUCCUUCUCUUGCUCCAGGUCCCCGAGGUGGUACUGGUGCAUCACCCAGUUGGUCCUCUACUGGUCGAAGUUCUUGUUGGUGUGCAGCACCAGAACCUUUUUUGCUGCCCGUCUGCCGGCCGUUGACCAUCACCAGCAAGUUAUUGCCUGUCUUGUGCCACAUCGCGUGCAUGCCGCACUCCGACUGUAUCUUGCGAUGCAUCCACGUGCCCCUUUUGAACACCCUGGAAUUGCGCUGGAAGAAAUGCUUCCUUAGGCCACUCAGUGUGAUAGCUGCAGUAUUGUGGAAUACAGGUUUUAGUGUAUGUAGUUGGCAUUUUCAUAACAUCUUUGGCAUGUUGCAGUCACUUGUUUCACUUUUUAUUAACUGUAAAAUUGUAAUUGCGUCACCAGGUCUGCGUCUAAAAAGAAAAAUAGAGCUACAAACAAAGGAAUAUGUUUGUGCAAGUAGACGGCCGAUCGGUGUCUUACCUAGAAGUUUCUCAGGUUGGGUGUAGCAUAUGUCGUGCUCGCUGUCGAUGGUUGGUAUGAACAAAUCGAUGAGAGACUAAAAUAUCGCGCUGUCAGCACUCACUUUGGCCUCAAGGUGCUCGAUCAGCUCCUGAUCCAUGGGAUCGAACUUGAUGCCAGCCGGCAACACCGGCCAAUCCUUCUUCGACUUGCAUCGGUAAUUCCAGUUAUGGUACUCAAUGUAUGAUCAAUCGACUGUUUUAAGUGAAUGAUGAAAGAUUUCGAUAGAUAAGUGGUACUCCAAAUCUGAAGUCCAGAAUACCCGAACACGCCGUUGGGAUUCUUGUGUCACCUCACGCGUAGCGUGUUGUCACGUCAAUUCAAUGUGUGGACAUGAUGAAUAAUUUGACCAACGUAUACUAGUACUGCUACCAUACUACUUACUAGUCGUAUUUAGUGUCACAAUUUAUACAUAGAUUUAACUAACAAGUACGCACUUGAAGCCUCUAACUGAUAUAUAUAUAUACAUAUAUGGCUUCUACACAGCAUCUCCAUCAUCAUUAUCAGUACAUCCUACGCAGGUGAGUUAGGAUGCACUUGAUCCCAGGAAGGUAUCUACUAUCUUUCAAACCAGAUGAGUGCUUCAAACUAACAACAGUACAUAAUAUCCAACAAAAGAGGGUCGUGCUACAACAACAGAAUACAUGGCUCAUACUAGAUAUCAGCACGAAUCAAGUUGUGCAUAUUUGCUGUUGGCAUGAACUACAUCGCCACAUGUCGGGUUUGCAAAAGCCAUCCAUCGCAUGGAAGCUUGAUGCCUUUCACACACUGAAGAUUAUCUGGCAACAAGUUGUGUCGACGAAUCUCUGGAUAUGGUGAUUCAUGAAACCCAUGGUAUGAUGUGUAAACACAGUCCCCCCUCGCAAAUGGAAGUUGCAUAGCAUGGUAAUCAUCGCAGGUGAUAUGAUCGAUGAUUGGUUGGAUGAUCAGAUGAUUGAGCCCGAGGAACAAGGAGUGGUUGCCGAGGCUGUAAACCCGCCUCCAGUUGAAUACGCCUGGCCCAACGGAGCUGGGAUCUUUCUCGAACACGAAGCAGCCAUAGCCAUCAAUGUCACAAAUGCCCCACGCAUUGUACUACAUGUGGUUUGAUGUAAUGGUUUGGUCAAUUUGGUACGUGCGAAUGAGCAUCAAAUGACCGCCGUCAGCUGAACAAGCGAUAAACCACCACCCAUCGGCUGGUACGAUUCCACGUCCUGGAAUCAUGAAGGCCAAUGCAUUUGCGUCUGCUGCAACAAUUCAAAUUGGAGACCAAAAGGACAAAAAUAAACAAUCAUGUUCAGAGUAUGUGUGGAAUUAAGAAUAUUAUAACAGUGACACAUAUCAUAGACAGAGAAUUGCAAUGCCGUGGUCAUAAUCAUACACCAAGUUAAAAAAUAAGCCAAUGGCUUUCAUAUUCUAGCAAUAUGUCAUGGUUCAAACAUCAUGUAACAAUGAGAGGAAAAUAGCUAUGACAACGCCUACUCAUAUUCUACCAUAGCACUUACUACUACUGUUCUCAUAUCAACUCUAAGCAAUAACAUGCGUUGUUAUAAAAAUCUUGUAAACGAGAGUAACAUAUAGCAAUCAUGAUGUUAUGCUCAUAAUAUGUAUUCUAACAAUCAUUAGAUGCCAAUUGUUCUCAUAUCAACUAUAACAAUAACAUGUGUGGUCAUAAAAAUCUAGGAAAUGAGAGGAACAUAUAGCAAUGAUGUGGUUAUAGACAUGCUAUGUAUUCUAAAUUUGUAACAAAUGAACAAGCAGUUGUAUUCAUAAGGUAAAGAUGAGAUGAGAUAGAACAAUUACACGAUGAUAGAUUCCACAAGUAUAGGCAGCCAAUCUGUGCGUCGACCGCGUAAACGAUGCCAUCGUGCACUAUAGCAUCAGACAGAAAUGUUGCCUCAACAGGAUUGAUGAUGAGCCAUAACCAUGUAUGGCGACCGGAUUCCAGAUAGACUAAUCACAUGUUGAACAAGGCAAUGAGCUUGUAAUCCAUGUAGUCUUCUGAUGGUGUGGGCACUUCGCAGAUUACAACUUUCUGCAAACAAAGGUCGAGCCAAAAGUUUGACGCGUCUCGUGCAUAGUAGGCAGGAGUGUCCGGCGGGCCGCGAGGCUCGAUGGCGGUGGUAUCCAACAAUGGAAGGGUGAUCUCUCGCUGGGUGUAGAUAUCCACAAGACGCCACGGACUACUGGAGUGGUGGAUGAGGAUGAUCCAGUUGGCCUUCAUGCCUGCCCAUUAGUGGUCGCGCAUGAAGGACAGGUGGACGGGUAGUGGUAGCAUGUCGAGGGGCACCACGGCAACCUCCGUAGGAUCGUCAAGUCGGUGUCUGGGCCACCUGCGAGUGUCGGGCAUCAGCAAGCAGGGUGUCUUGAAAAGAACCGGUCGGUUGCAGACGAGUAGAUGGUACAAAGACACCGAGCAUGCGGCCAGACGGACGGUGCUGAGUAGGUCCAUACGACUAGAGAUCUGCUCCAAGAGAACAUCGGGGAGGGAAUUCCAAUCGCGGCUCUGCGUGUCAGUCGGUUCUACCAUUGGGGUUUUUGGUGCCUGCGAGCUAGCAGGGAAGUGGAUUUGGGUGGGCGAGUGAAGAAGCUUCUCCUUGUGUGGCCGAGCAGUGAGCGGGGGGAUAUGGUACGCGCGAGCUACCAAGGAAGAUGGCGCGGGCGGGCGAGCAGUGAGCGGGGGUAAAUGGUGUGCGACCGACAAUGGGGAAGAGAGGAGAAGAAGAAGAGAGGAGGAAGAAGAGUGGAAGACGGGGAAGAAAGUGCAUUAAAUCUCAAUUCUACUAGUACUACUACCAGGAUAUACCGUCCUUCGGAGUGUAAAUAGUUACAACGAUGACAUGUGGGUCUACCACAAGAGGGCCCAUAUGUCAGUUAAUGGAGGGCAGAGGUGUGUAGGACUAUUUGUGGAAGCAUGCUCUACUGGCAAACAUGAUGGCAGUACUGGGUAAGGCUGAUUUAGUAACACCAACAUGCUGGUUCAACUUAUUAAUUACGUGUCCCAUCUGCUGCAGCGUGUAUUGUCACUUCACUAUGAAGACUACUUGAAUAGUUCUCUCUGACCGAGAUGGGGAAUAAUGGAUCGCGAGGACUUCCUUUGUACAAUAUCCCUAUGCCUCUACGCUCACUUAACUCAUUUUGCUCCGUACCUAGUCACUUGUUGAAAUCUGUAGAAAGACAAAUACUCCGUAUUUGGGAACAGAGGGAGGCUUUUACUCCGUAUUUGGGAACAGAGGGAGUAUCACCAUAUGGAGGGAACAGAGGAAGCUUGAAAUAUGAACAUGUCAAUGGGAGGGAGUAAUCCCCAUGCAUGCAUGCAUGCAUGCAACAUGCAACACUCACACGUACACAUGGACGAACGCAACACUCACACACCCAUGCGGCACACAUCACACGACGCAACACACAUGCUCAUGCUCAAGUGCUCAACCUACUCCCUAUGUCCAUGAAAGACUGUACAUUUCGAGAUUUACACAUUGACCAGGGCAUAAUUAACGCCCAAAAGUAUCAUACUUAUGUGUGCAUGCGACCAUUGAGAGAAGAAGAUUAAAUGAAGGUCGUGGCAUGCUGUAAUUAAGGAUAGACAUGUAGCCUAUACCUACAACACAAGUUGGUGCAUUAGUCAAUCAAUAUCGAUUUAGAUUAAAGGCUAAAUGCAUUGGAAGUGUAGAUGUACAAGUUGGUGCAUUAGUCAAUCAAUAGCCGAUGUACACUCUUUGUUGGAAGACCGAGGGAGUACACGUGCAUGCACUCACAUACACAGCCAGAGCGGUUCGCGCGCAAGGGUUGGACUCGUUUCGCGCCUGUGUAAAGUUUUGUUUAACUGAUUUCUUUGCUCUGCCAACUGAUAGGUGGGACCCAGAAACCAGGUGACAAUUUAACCAGUCAACAAAGUGCCACGUCGACUAUGUGGCCGGUCAGUAGGGUGCAAUAUGAUGCUCUACGAUGAGCUAGUGAUCGUAUAAUCACCGCAAAACUAUAUAUAGUGACCGUAAAGAGCGUAUUGUUACAUACGUUGACUGCCAGUGUAGUUUUCUCGUUUCAAAUUAAGCCAUAUUAAUCGGAAAGGACACAGUAUGGACUACUACUAGUACUAGUACUGCUUUGAUGUGUCCCGUUAACUCGCCGAACGAGGAGAAGCUUGCUUACUACGCCUCUCCCGCACCCACGAGCAUGGUGGUUCGCAGGACGAGGAGAGGGUUUUGACUACAGCGCCCUCUCCCUCUCCCUCGCCCUCGCCCUCGCCCUCGCGGUGGACGUGCAGCAGUUCAAUCAGUGUCAGAUUGCCAGAAGCAUAUUGUACUGUAGUAUCAUCAUUGUUGGACCUUCCGAAGAGGCGAAGAGCCAAGUGCAAGGUUCACACGAGUACGAACUGUUGAACAUCCCGAAGAGGCGAAGAGCGAAGCGCAAGGUUUUAUAGGAGUUGUCAUCCUAGUAGGAGUGUACUACAACUAUAGUGAACGAUGCUACUGUAUGAUGCCGCCACGUCACGUAUAUCCAAAGAUGUGCCACCUUUUUUUCUCAAAGAGCAUGUUGGAGCCCAUGCAACAACCACACAAGUUGCACGUACACAUAACACAAUUACUAGUAAUAAAUUCUAAAGGACAAAUUUCAGUAUGCCACACAAGUUCAUCUCCAAUUCAUGUGAUAAAUUUGUGCAUGACUAGUCCACAUAUAUUCACAGCGCUACCGUUCACAAUUACCGUACUCCACUGACACGUUAUAGAUGGGCUACAUGUCCUCCUCUAGGUUCCAGUCCCAGGUGUUCUUCAUGGAUGGCACGAUCCAUAGCGGUGGGCAACGGGAAUCAUUGUCGCAACUUUCUAGUCCGGCUCCACAUGAUGGAGACUCAUCCAAGCUGAAGCGGCAUAAAUCAGGGAUAACGUGUCCUAGCAUGUCGUUCAUUCGGCGGUGCGCAAUGAAGACACAACCAUGCUUCAUGAACGGCAGGCCUUCCGUGUCGUGCACGGAAGGUGGCAUCCGCUUCACAAUGGGGUAGCUGUCCCCGAUGAAAAGCGAGUACUCUCCAAGAGUGUUCCUCGGCACCCACGUAGCAUCACGGGGGUCGAACUCGGCGCCGUUCAUCUUGUACCACGCGGCAUCCCAGAUCUGGACACAUGGUGACAUACAUAGUCAAGGUCCAUGCAUAAUAAUGUUGUGCUCAAAUAUGGCGGUCAGUAAUACUGUGCAGCAAAUAGUACUACUCCGGUAUAGAGGAAGUAAAAUAAUCGACUUAUUAUAUAUAGCCACUCUUGGCUACAUGGAUGAUAUAGUAAGACAUGGAAAAACAAAAAUGGUGGCAGCUAGUGGGUUCAAGUCUUCAAGGGCCUAGCUAGCUAUACGGGUCCUCCAAGGUAAAAAUUACUCCUACUAGUACUACUAAAUAUACUACUAGUACAACAAUGAAAGAGAAGGCGAGAGGGUUAAAAAAUGGAAUACCUGGGUAGAUGGUGACGGUCCGAUCGUGGUAGAUUGUGUGACCAUGUUGCACAUCAGUGGUACCAUGGGUAACGACUGCUAAGAUAGAUGAUCCCAAUAUGCCAAAGUCAGCUACAAGGUUCCAGAUUAGACCGAAUCGCGGAUGCAAAUGCACAUCCAGGAUCGGCGAUCUUAUUUUGAUCGGGGGAUGAUUGGUCCCUGCAAAAUAAUGGAGUACCGUUAGGGAUGCAAAUGAUGGUUUGUGCAUUCCGUUUGUAAUCUCCCGUACCGUAGGAUGGCAACCAGAUGAAACAAGUCCCCUGGCUUGUCACCGUGAAGAUUCAGCCUAGAUGGCGCAUGGCGUAUUCGAACGUGUAGGGGUACAAAUCUGCCGCCGCCAACAUGCGCCAGCCUCUGCUGUUACUGCCUCUUGCGUUGAUGGCAAUCCUUAUGUCGAACACCGCAAUGAGAUAGUAAUCAUCCUUGCCGCGUCGCUUUGUCCGCUGGUCUGCAAUUGCGAUCUUCUUCAAUCUCAUGUAGGCAUCAUCAUAUGUAUUCAAGCCCAGCCAGUCCGGAAGGCCGAUCCCAAUGGUGGAGAAGGGGUCUACCAGAACGGCCGCACUGCUAUGGAUGUUGUGCAAAAUGAUGGUGGUAUCCGGCCGGAGGUAUGCAAGCCAAUAUUUGUUGGCACCGACCCAGACCUAUAUAUAAGACGGUGGGCAGCAGAGAAAUUACGGGAUGGAAAUGGAAUAACUAAGUACUACAUGAUCAAACACCAUUACUAACCUCCUCAUCAGACAAAAUCCGACUACCUCUCAACGUCGGCAACUCUAGCGGAGUGAACGUGCAACCAUGGCCAGGGAGCGGUGGACUAUUCGAAGGAUUGUCCCAUAGAAGAACCUUCUCCUCGAGGACGCAUGGAAGACCAACAAGCAUGGCCUUUUCCCAAGCCUGUUUAAGCAGCAUCUUGAAAAAGUUGGUGCAGGAAGGACCGAGUCUUGCGGCGGUGAGGACGUCGAAGUGGCGUGCGAUUUCUCCCAGAGGAUCGUCAUCCAAGGUCUCCCAGCCCCGAUGAGGAGGAGAACCGACUGGCGAAUCCAUGGGAGCAGCAACGAACUGCCUUCUCUUCGGGGGGAGGGGAACUGGCGAGGAGGAGAUAAGAGCGUAGUAACCGCAGGGCCUCGUCCCUUCCAACUGUAGAUCGUUCCUCAGCGAAGGGGUGAGGCUAUUAUUUACUACUACUGGUACUAGCAUUAUGGAACGUUAUGGGAUUGCAUUAUACUGUAAAUAAUAGCACCAGUAAGAAAUUUUUGGCACUAGGUAUUAGUUUUUGGCGUGGAUUAAGAAAUUUUGGGUAUGUUUUUGCCAUUUUUUGUACACGCUAACUAGUGUCAAAAAACGUCUUACAUUAUGUGAUGGAGGAGUACGUACUCAUACUGUAGCAGUACUAGUACUACAUUUCUCAACUAGUAGCGUGAUGUACUGUACUUCUUGUCUAGUUCUAGUAUAGUGCACCAGUUUUGAACUCUUGAAUCUUAGGGCCAAGGAGCUACAAUUGGAAGUGGAGGGUACUACUGUUCUCUAGAAACAUCGCUGUACUAUCAAUGCAGGGAAAGUACACCUGCGUAGUGGCCUAGUGGGUACUCUCGGUGCUCUAUUCAGCCGCUCCUCUCACGUAGCUGGCCUACUCAGCCGCUCCUCUCACGCACACACUAGCAACCUGUUUAUCAGCGACGGUUACUGCGGGGGCAGAACAUUUGACUUAUUUGAUACAGCGAGACUAGGCUUUUCGCUUCCAUUUGUGGAGGUGUAAUGGAUCUCGUCGAACUUUGUUAGUAGUUCCUUCUUUACGAAUGAGAUGAAGCAAAGCUUUUGCCUCCAUUUAAAAAAACAUGUCAAUAGGAAUUUCUUUUAUAGUAGAGCCGAUAAUGGAAUGAAGUCCAUGCGUGCAACGCCACAAGCUACAAAGUAGUAGUAGAGCACUUUACGUACAGAGCCAUAUUGCACAGUUCCCAAUGCCCCGCCAGGCUUUUCUGGCUCCUCGGGCUUAAUUGGGAGGCGCUAGUUUGAAUAUGCUACUAGCUGAUGAGGAAGCUGCAGGCAAGGUGCGGCUAGGGCGAGCACAUGAGCCACGGGAUGCUGGGAAGGAAAACCCGUUCACGUGGCUAGGCUAUCCAGUGCACCCAGAUUGUGGGGCCGCAUGUCCGUUUGACUCUAAAACUCAAACUACCCAUGUAAAAUAUUGGCUCGCAGCAAAGUGUAGUAGUACUAUUUUUAAAAAAAGGCCGUCGUGCAUUCGGCCGGGAUCGAACCCACGAAACAAGGUAUACACUCCCGCGACCACUAGUAGUACUCGUAGGAGUACAACGCAACCUAGAAUUGCCUUUUGUCGCUAGUAGUACGUACAUUGUUCCUUACAAGAAACCCCUAAUAAUGCAAGAAACCACUAAAAUGCCAAGAAACUACUACCACUUGCAUAUGUGGCAGACUUAAGAUAAGACUACCUUAUCAACCAUUGUACAUGCUCUUACCAAAAAAAAAA